rnacentral:lncRNA from 1 species
ACAUGCAGUCUCACUCAAUCUCACUGGUGAACGGUCUCAAGACUUGCUGAAUUUCUCCCUACAAACUGGCAAAACCUUCUAUCUUAGCUCACUCAAGCUACAAGGGGACGACAAUAUACUCAGCCUCCCUCCCUUUGUUACCAUGCUGGCUGGUCUUAAUAAGCUGUGCCUUUCAUUCCCUCAUCAGCUGAGAAGUGACAUUAUUGCUGCCCUGAGUGAAAUGCGCGGCCUGAAGCAGCUGAAGCUGACUGCAACUCAACUGGAGAAGCACAUCAUCGGAAAAGGUGCAUUCGGAAUCCUGCAACACCUAUGCAUCACGGUGGAAGUGAUGAGUGAGCUGGAAAUCCAAGAUGGAGCUCUGUCAUGCCUCAAGUCGCUCCGGCUGCUAUGUAAAGAUCUAGAUGGCUUUUCCGGCACAUCGGCGAUCAAGUACUUCAAACAUCUCGAGGAGAUUGCUCUUCAUCGUGAAGUGGGUGGUGACACCAAACAGGAGUGGAAAGAAGCAGCAAGGAAACACCCAAGAUGUCCCAAGAUCUUGUUUGUCUAAAAGGCACAUCCACAUCCAGGUAAUGAAUUGUGUCGUACUUGCCUUGCAUUGAGCUUCCUUCUCACCUCUCUACAGUGGCACAGUUCACAUCCUGGUAAUGCAUGACACUUUUUUAUUGUGCAGGCAGUACAGGCUGCGACUUGCUAAUGGCACAGUUCACACUCUGGUAUGCUGCAACAUGAUCAAGUGCGUCAAAUAAUUUAGUCCUCUUUGCUCUCGUGUCGAUUAAAUGCGUUCCCCGCCGUUUGUACUUUUAUGUUCAGUCACCACUAGGACUUAUUUAUUUUUAAAGAAUCGAAGUUAAUGACCUGUUAAGCGGAGCAAACGAUUUUCUUUUCAAGAACUAUGGGACUUCCUGCUGUAAUAAAUAAGUUUACUCUGUUUGUUGUUGGACAUGUAUUUGGCUAUUUCGGUUCUAGUCAACUUAAUUGGCUUCUACGGAGUAUUAUCUCUUACAAAUUUAGCACUACAAAUAUCCUAGUACUUGUUUGGGAUAAAUUCUGAAAUCUUAACUAUUGGCUGGUAAGGUACCUAUCAAUUCUGAAAUCUUUCUAUUUAUCAAGGAUAAUACACACUAGACUGUGUGAUACUCGAUCUACGGCGUCAAAAACCCGAGCUACCUAGGUAUAGACCGAACAGGUAAGUAUGAAGACGCGACAAGCGACCUCUACCGCAACCGCCGCCUCCAGCUUGAUCGAUCAUGAACACCAGGUACACCAAGCUGGAGCUGCAGAAACCAAGCAAGCAAGCCAUCCAGUGCUCAUUGGUUGACAAUCACACACCAAACCAAUCCGAUCAAUGUUUUAGUGAUCUGUGUAGUUGGUUUAUAAAAAUUACUGGAGAGGUUAGAAAUUUGAUGGCUGUCAUAGUUGCUGCUUUAGUUUAGAGUACAUGGAUAGCUAGAAAUGAUGUCUCCAAAAACAUGUUUCCUACUGCUAAUGGCUUUUCAAUGUCUCCAGAACUGACUGAUAGAGACUGCAAUUGUGCUCUUCUUCCUCUGCUUUUUCUAAACUCUGAAUGUUCCUGUAGUCCUCCUCUGCUCUGCUCUGCUCUGCUGUGUUUUCUCAACUCUGAAUAGUUGCAUGCCCCUUCCUCUGGUUUUGCUCUGUUCCUGAGCUCUCACUAUUUGGCUGUAGACUCCACACGGGGCCUGACAGACAGAAAUGCACACAACUAUAUAAUAUUUAGAUACAGCGCUGGAUUGACAGUUUUCUCAGGAACCCAACACUUACAUAUCAAUCGAGCUCUGGGACAGGAUGGUGCCGGCGCUGGGCCACCGCCACCGCUGGACCAAACCGUUCGCUCGCCGCUUCUCCGCAGCAGAGUUCAGAGAGACGCCCCCGUGUGGCCGUGUCAGCGGCGACCUUUGCUCACACGAAUCGCGGCGUGAAUCUGACGGCCACGGAACUCGGUUGCUGCUCCGCAAUGGCUCUUCUAUUUUCAGAUAAUCCAUAAUAUCGUCACCAAAGCACUCGUGACAGUAUAUCAUGUCGUGCUUCAUCAACCAAACACAAAUUAAGCUUGAACUUUUAUUUACUUUCAUGCAAUUAAAUUUAAGCUGUGUGGUCAAACGCCAGCCACCGUGUAGAGACGCGAGGAUGGCGGCCCCCAGCCUGCGACGCACCACAUGGCAAGGGGAGGAGGAUGCCCGAGAUCCACGCCCAGCCGAGUCCGACGGCCAGCCACGCCUCCGCCACCACCACACACCCAUCAUCGAAGUCGCUGCAGCCCUCCAUGCCGAUGCAGCAAGAGUUGCAGUGCUUCCAUGCCCCAUGCAGCAUGGCGCCUCCGCCUGGCGAAGUCAUCCCGAACCAACCUCCACCACGUGGAGGAGAGAGGAGGCCUCGCCGCCGCCCAUGCCGUAGGGCUUCGCCCGCUGGCGAGAUCUUGCGGCGGCUGAGGGAGGAGGCGUGAGAGGGGCCUAGGUCCGGCGGCGGUGCAGGUUGCCCCUUGGUCGCAUGCGGGCCAGCGCGGGUGGGGGGGGGGGGGGGGGGGGGGGUUGAAGUCUAGCAGGCUGGGGUUCCUUCUCUUGUUUUCUUUAAAUUGGUUUGUGCUUUCUCUGCUUAAGUGAUGAAUGUGUGUUUUGGUUCUUGCAUCUUGCAAUGAUCAGGUAGGAGGGGUAGUGGCAGUGGGUAGGUUCUCUAUCUCUCCCUCGCCGCUUCUCGCCUCUUCCUCUGCCUCUCCAUCGCCGCUCCCUCUACCACCAUGCUGUCGCGCAGCCGUGCAUCCUCGGGUUAAUGCCGCGUCAGUGUGUGCCCCUCCGGCACCUACUACGCCGAGAUCCGGUCCGGCGACGUCCGCCUCGACCUUGGCACGUUCAUGACCGCGCACGAGGCCGACCACACGUACGACGCGGCGGCGUGGCGACUAGGAAAGCCUCGCGCGCAGAUGAACUUCACGAAGUCUACACGCGCGAGCAGGCGUAGAGCCUCGCCCCUCCCCCUCGUCUGAUCACGGAGCAAGACCGUCAAGAGCACCGUCGACAGCAGUGUCGGCUCCUCGUCGCCGAGGAGGACGAGCGAGCCAUGGCGGAGUGACGCCGGCACCACCCGGAGGACGUCGCCGCCGAGAACGCCUACUGGGCGGAGAGGACGACAACUCGGCAAGGCGUCGCGCGGAGCAGCAGGACAGGCGUCGGCGCAAGUUACUUGCCAUAUCGCAGUGCGGAGCCGUCCAUCUUCACUUCCACGAUGAACGUUGGGAGGCGCAUUUCUAUCUACCUCGGACAGCACCCACAGUGACGACUUGGAGUAGUUUUAUCUAUAUAUGCUAGUUUUAUUAUCUAUGUGUUGAACUAGUUUUAUUAUCUAUAUGUAAUAUAUUAUCUAUAUUAUCUAUGUUUUAUUAUCUACAUGUAAUAUAUUAUCUAUGUUUUAUUAUCUAUAUGUAAUAUUUUAUCUAUAUUAUCUAUAUGUUUUAUCUAUAGACAACAAUGGACUAUAUGCGUGUCGGACAAGUUUUUGAUGUUAUUUGCAGCGACUGCUGGAACGGUGCGCGCGCUAAUUAUGCUGCGACCGCUGGAGCCGGCGCUUGUCGACGCCUUACAAAAAGCUAACCGCACACUGUAAAUCAUUUUUUGAACGCCGGUCGAAGCGUGAGAUGCUCUUAGUAGGUAACCAUUAUGUGAAGGGUUAGUGAUAAGGGAGAUACACAUGUGUUGCUUGCCUGACAAGGUCUCGAGAUAGGAUUUGUUAUAUGGGAUUCAGGUAAGGGAGAUACACAUGGUCUUCUCACAAUUUUCCUUCUUUUCUCUGUAGCUUUGGCAUUAACAAAAGAUACAAAUUUAAGUAACUUGCCUUCACGUUCGUGAUACUUGGUUUGAUGCUCAUAAUAGUUUAGAGGACUUGUUUCUUUCUGAUGGUUGUUUGUGUUACUCCCUCCGUUAAUGAAAUCUGGACAAUGCCUAAAGUUUAGGCCCUAAACCAGGCUGAUUUGUCACUGGUGCCUCUGCUUUGCUUGGUAGCUCCUCAUCCAAUAUUUGUUUCUCUGCUGUUUGUUAUCAACAUUUACUUUUCAAAAACCAGGUUGAUCUAAGAAAGUUACAAGUAGCCCACUACUAAUAAUUUUGUAUGUACCUACAUGUGCACUCACCCCUUCUAUAUACAUAUGUUUUAAAAGCAGGUGUUACUGUAGAUUUGUUUCCUUUGCUCCAUACAAAAACUAUAAGUGUUGUUCCUGGUAUUUCCCUUCGCCUAAAUAUACAACAGACCCUCUCCAGUCUCCACACCCUCGUUUGUUUUUUUCCUUUCCCUAAAUAUACUAUAGACCGUUAUGUAUGCAGUCCUGACUAAUUGGUGUAUACAAUAUUUUGUGAUCGAUAGCAUAGCACGGACAUCUUACUACACUAGUAGAAAAACUACUUUACGUGAGAUACUUUCGUCCCGGUUUGUAAACAUUAGUGCCAGUUCCAAUGGCUAGAGGGCCGGCAUCAUUAGUCCUGGUUCGUGUUGAACCUAUGAUACUGGUUCGUGACACAAACUGAGACUAAAGGGGUGGUGGCAGGCUGGGGCCCCACUAGCACCUUUAGUCCAGUUUGAUAACAAUAACCGAGACUAAAGGGUCUACCUUUAGUCCGGAUUGAUAACACCAACCCGGACUAAAGGUCCUUCAUAGGCUAGUCCAAAAGCAAAGCAUCUCACCUAAGGUCCCACGUGCUUUGUAGUUGGGGUGGUAAGCUGCCUAGGACAUACACAUGAGGUCUUGAGUUCAAAUCCCCUAGGUUGCACUGGUGGGAGCAUUACAUUUUUGUAGCCUGAAGGACCUUUACUCCCGGUUGUGACAACCGGGACUAUAGGAUCAUGCUUUUAGUCCCGAAUCCAUAGUCCCGGUUGGGAUAACCGGGACUAAAGGGGGUUGGGAACAGGACUAUAUGUCCUUUUUCUACUAGUGCUAGUAUGAUAUAUAAUGCUUUGACGGCUUGCUGAUGUGCUAACGUCUUUUCUAUGAUGUAUGUAGUUGCUGCUAAAUGCAUUGUAGGAAGAGGACCAGAGGAAAGCACAUAACAAGGGAGGGGCAACAUGUUGGAGAGAACACAAGGUUAUAAGUAUACCUCCAGUUUACAUUUUAGCAUGAUUUAUGUUGCCUGUCUCCGUACAAUUGUCAGACGAUUCUGGACAUGUUGUUUGUGGAUGCGACUGGUCACAUAUGUAUUUCUUUCUUACCAAUGAUUGAAAUAUAUCACAAUUGAUAUUUGUGGUUUCAAGAAAGAUUGUGUAUGUAUGUGGGGAUACUAACUAGUCUACUUGUGGUUGAUGCCCAUUUCUCCUAUGGUCAUGGAUUCAUGGCUUAUCUCUGUCCAUGUACUUUAUAUAAGUAGUGUUAAUGGUGCGAAGCUUAUCUCUGUCCAUGUACUUCAAUAAUUAUAGAAUUUACAUUUUGUGUUUGUUCCAUUGAAUAUUUCUUAGAAGGAAGGUGGAAUAGCUGAUCAUGAACUCAUGGUCUUAUUUUGAAGUGAAAACAUGAGUGUGUGCUGAAGGCCAACUACAGCAACCACUGCUCCAACGACAAAUGGUGGAUACAACUUUUAACUUGAGUCCAGAAGAGGAGCUAAGGCGACGACUAAAAGCUGUGCCAACGACGAUCUAGCCGUUGUGUCAAGACCGCAUCAUGACGGUCUUAUUUGGUUCAACUUGUUUAGUUUUGUUUUAUCUCCCCAAAAUAGUAAAUAUGCCUUGUCUGGAUAGGCUCCAACAGGAUUCUCCAUGUGUGUUUCUCGCUUUUUUUGGGUUCAUGAUCAGAGUGAUUAGGAGAACAAUUUAGUUGUGAAUGCACUGGAUCCAACCUGUGUUUGUAUGGCUGUAUAAGUGAUGGAUAUUACAUAGUUGUGGGCUCAACUGAAGUUGCCUGUGUUUUGUUUUUGUUUUCUGGAAUUAGUACUACUCACGAGCUGUAUGAAGCAUUCGUCACAAGUGCAUGCAUUAGCACUGGCGGGCAGUACCAGGUACCAGUGGCCGGCCAAAAUUCAUGCCUGCCACUGCUACCUAAUUAGCAGUGGUGGCCUGGGUCCGCCACUGUUGGCCUUUUACCAGUGGCAGGAAGUCAGUGGCGGGUUUGCUUGGGCCAGUAGCCCUUCACUGAUGGCCAUUUUUCAGCCGCCACUGCUAGCCACUUGUGCAGUAGUGGCAGCAUCGGGGAGGUGGUGCCAUCGCUAGGACGUCAUGUAGGAGCCCCACUCUGGAUGAAGAUUUUGUUGAAGGUGCAUGCAUCCCGGUCUCCCGUAAGGGAACUGCUGUCCCUUGCUCCCAGAGGAAGGCACCCCACUUCUAGGACAGCAGAAGAUGUCAACUUACGUGUUUAUCACAAUGAUGCGGAUGCGAAUGCCACAUAUGCCAACGCCUUCAAGAAGAAAUAAGCGCCCUCGCGCCAUCAUGUUCACACCUGGCCGAAGAAGACUAGGACAAGGAUUUUCAUCCUACAUGUCGACACUGACCACCAAAGGCUAGCACAUUAGCAGGGGUGACUGCACAUUGAACAAGGUAAUGUCACAAGUUCAUCACUACUGAUCCCAACCAAUAAAUACAACAACAAGAGUUUACACCCAGGACAUGAAGCGAUGUUCCAAUCAUCGUCUUGAACAUGGAUCUUUUGGGAGUUGGCAUGUAUUCAAUGCCAUUCCAGGAAGGCAGGGAGUGGGUGGGAAGUAACAUCCACCUUGACCCCGGGACCGUUGGACCAACGUCCUCUACAUGAGCCACCUACACAACAUCGCACGCCACUCGACCUACCACUCGCAGCCGCCCAAGGUCGUCGCAUCAUUGUCUGCAGCAUGCAGUCCGCUCACACCACCACACUAUCUACCGUCAUAAGUUGUUAUGUUCCCGAACCACCAGUAAUAGAUCGAGAUAGGCAAGUGAACUGAAGAAGACGUCACCAACACCAUAGCCGAUGUAACCAUGGUGCACACCACACCGAUAACUCACAUAAGUCGACGGAUGAGAGGUAGAGGCAUCCCCACGGCAUGGCAUGCACUGUCAUGGGAGGUUGUCUCAUGAACUCGAUGACUUCUUAUACGUCGUCAUCAUCAUCUAUGAUCACACUUUCUCCUUCGAUCCUCUCCCUCCUUAUUGAGACCUUCCAUGUCAAUGGACAUGGGGUCAGCCGCCUAUACCACCGUGAACACUGCCCUGCUACUGCCACAAGAGGUUGGGUUAGGAUUAAUGUUGCAAUUGUUGUAGUCUCCCCUCCCUCCAUAGCGGUCGUGUCGAACCCCAAUGUAUGAGAAACUCCUACUAGAGUAACCAAUAGAGUCGAUGGUGUAGUUGUCGGUUUGGCCUCGCGUGUGUACGUUACGACCAUCACCUCGCGUGGAGAAGUCGCGAACAUGGUCCCUAUAACCAAUAUGUUUCUAUCUUCCACUGCCGUACAAGCUUGCACUGCCGUCUGCAUGGCAGUCACUGUGGCCGUAGUCUCUAGGUGCUGCUCCAUUGAAGAAAAACAUGCCAGUGAUCGUCAGGGAAGACUUGGUGGUCGGGAGGAAGAGAUCGCCUAUCUAGUUUAUCUUGAUUGGGAGGUUCCUUUUUUGCCAACUGGCUCUCAUUGCUUUGGUCUUGUACCACUUUGUUAUUUGCCAGCAUUUUCUCAUUCUGUGUGUCCGUUCGAGCGUAUCCUAGUUAUGCAAACGUCGGGUGUGCAUUGGUUGUAUUUGUAUCCCCUUAAUGCUUCAUUUUGAGUGAAUAAAAUCCAUUCUUCAUUGAUCUUUUGGAAUUCCGACGACUAUUAUUAUUGUCUGUAGAUGUUGUCGUCCUAUUGGCUCCUUAUCAUUACGUGGUACUAUGAAGUUAAUGUUGGGUUUCAGUUCUUUUAUGCCCUGAUAUUUUGUGAGAUGAGUCCUUGAUUGCUAAAUUCCGAAAGCUAAGUUAUUUUGCUUAAGAUGGGCCAAUUGUCGUUUGUGACCUGCUACUCGCCGAGGAGGAUACCAGUUCCAUGUUUCAUCUCCCCUUGUCUAGUGUAGCCUUUCAGGAGUAUUGAUGCAUUGUCAUACAUGGCUUGGAGCAAUCACAGGAUGGGUGACCAACUAGAAAGUUUAUCCAAAGUGUGCACGAGCGAGUACAUAGUGCACAUGAAAUACUAGUAUUGUCGUAGAUGGUAGUCAGGCAUACCGACCAUACACAUGCUAAGGAAAAUGUUGCACGCGAGAGGAGGACAAGCAUGACGACCUCACCUCACAAAGCAAACUUCAUCAUAUACCAUGGCACACAACGCAAGCUGUCAAACUAGAUCACCACUAAAGACACAUUUUGAAGCAACCACCACUGUCUGCACAUCCCCCAUGCCGAAGACCCGACCACGACCACGUUGUCCCAAGGUGACACCUUCAAGAAGGACAUAAUGUCGGGGUAUCGUUGCCGCACAAGCCAAGGAAUUUGAGAUUUCACCUAGACCCACGAAGGAGGAGAGAAGGGGAUGUACUUCGAUGUCGCCUAUUGGAAGGAGGACGACGCUCCUAGUGUCACCGUGACCGCCAUAAUAGGCAAAGAGUUUUCCCCGUUCCAGAGCCCUAUCCCCAACCACCCCCAACCAGCCACCGAAUUCGGAAAAACCAGAGUCGGCCGAGAUCCUGGGUCAGCGGACCGGAUGAGAAGCGCGUGCGAAGAUGCCAUCUUCAGAUCCCACGAGAAGGGUCAUCGGGGCAGCCCAUGCGCCAAGAACAAUGCAUGUCGCCGCCUGCACGACCAAGGGCAUCUCCCAGCAGCACCCACGGUAGUUACCCGCUGCCAAGAUGGAGACGCUCUCGCAGCCGUGCGACCAAGCCCGACGACAACCUCUAGGAGUGGCAAGGUGAGGGUAUAGGAGGGGAGAUGGUAGUGGUGGCGCUAGGUUUCACCCUCAUGCCGCCAAGAGUGAAUAGAGCUAUCUACUAACUUGCAAGGGAGAUCGUGCGCGGGAAAAUCUUGUAGGAUACCCACAAUUGCAUGCGACUACCAUAUUAUUAUUAGUAUAGAAAGGCCACCAUACACAAUAUAUGGCAUCACUUCAACAAUCUCGCCGGAAACCUUUGUGAGUUCGAAGAGAGUAUCCACAUCCAUCACAAUGUUAAAAGUAUAGGGGCUAGUGGGUCACACUGAUGGAGUCCACCUUCGUCAUAGAUUUUUGUAGCGACCUCAGGUCAAGAGAUGAAAUUACGGACCCCACCGCACAAUUUCUCAGAAGAGGCCUUCAUUCUUAUAUAGUAUCCCUUUGUUUUUAAAUAUAAGAUUUUUUAGAAAUUUCACUACGGACUAUGUACGGAGCAAAAUGAGUGAUCUAUACUCUAAAGUAUGUCUAUAUACAUCCGUAUGUAAACUAUAGUGAAAUCUCUAAAAAAAACUUAUAUUAAUGAAGAGAGCAAGUAUAAGAUAAGAAAGGUAGUUUCCAUCCAACGAGUUUUCUUACGUAGCACAUGAACUAUUGCUUGCCAAAAAUGGACAGUAGUGUAGAUGUAUUACUGCCAGUAGUUUCAGGUUCAGCACGAGUUAUGUCCUUGAUAAAAUUGUCAAGAAAAUAAUGCAGCAUCCGACUAUAUAUGUUAUAUGUAGAUGAGAAAGAGUAAUAAAGUGCAACUGAACUUUUUACCUACUGGUUAAAAGGAAGGAGAGAAACGAAGAAAAGUGUUUACCUUGGGUUGGAUAAAAAAGGACGACCCUCUCCUCCUCCUGCUCCUCCUCCAUAACGCCAUGAUCCAGCAUCUUGUUGCGGGCCUGGCUGCACUUUGGGCAGGGCGCGGAUCCCACCCUCUUACAGGCUUGGCACACGAAGGCGCGGCACGGCCUUGGGGCGGCGUCGAGGAGGUGCCGCAGCCCGCCGGUCUGGUGCAGCUUCCUCACAUGGUCAGGGCCGCCCACGGGCCGUCCACCCACGAGGAGCUGCGGCAGGGAGAAGGCGCACCCCCGAGCCGCAAGCAACGACUUGAGCUCGCUGUGGUGUGCUCUGCUGGUGGAGACGUCGCGCUCGUCCAUGGUCAGGCCGUAGCCACGCAGCAGGGCGCGCAAGGCGUAGCAGCGGUCGGCCGAGGUUUGCCCUCUGCGGCGCGACGCCGACGCAGACGCCGUGUAGAGAACCACCUCCGGCUGCAGCUCAUGCUUGCCGUGCGGCCCGGACGACGAAGAGCUGCCGUCCGGCGGCCUCAUCGGCGAAGUAGAGCGUAGUGGCGAGAGGAGAGCGGAAGCAGAUGAUUGAGAAGGGAACAAGCUAGUGGUGCCUACUCUACUUUUCAUCUCCUUACAUUGUCACAUGCAUCGCCUCUACUGCCGUGCCUGCUGCCCUGUGUUUAUUUUAGUAACAAAUUCCUCGGACGCCAUGCCUCUUUGUCGAUUGCCAGUGCUGCGUUACCUUGCCAGUGCUGAUUACUUCUAAAUACUGAAAUCUGAUUGGACACUCUUAUUGGAUUCUUCUCUGCUCCCGAUUUGAAAGAAAAGUACUUUGCUAACUACUCUCUUUGUCUCAAAAAUAACUGUCACAACUUUAUACUAUCUUUCAUAUAAAAUUAUAUUAAAACUUAAAUUACACAUGCACCAAUUGAUUAUUGUUUUCAAAGAGAUUCUAGGUCAGCCGGCCCACGCAUGCAUGGAAUGAGACAAUAUGGCACAAUAUGGCACGGUCGCUCCUCCGUGUACCCUCACCUUCAUCACAACAUGUCGCAUGCACAUGACAAAGAGUCGUUACGAUCGUUGGUGGGACGAUCCAUGCCAACACCAUGGCGAAAAGGUUGCUCGGAGUUAAUUUGCCCGUGACUCUUUUUGACGGUUGGCAUUAUUAAUUCUUGCGGCAUGCUGCUGAUCGCUUGUUAGGUGCCAUAUCUUUUAUUCUGCCUUUAUUAAUAACUUGAAUUUAUUCAUGCUCGAUGCCUUGUCUAGAUCUUCACAUCGCUAUUACAAGAGUCAUGUAAACUAUUCAAAAUUCAAAGAUCCGGCAAACAACAAAUUAAUGUUUCCACAAAUGCUAUUUUUAGGAAAACAUCAUUAUUAAUAAUCAGCUAAGGGUGUCAUCAAGAUAGACCCCCAAACCGCCCGCAUCCGCAUCCGGACCGCGGGAGUUAUUCAACGCAGGUCUAUAUCGGUCCACGAGACGAUCCGGACACGAUUUCUUCCGCAAACCGGACACAAAAGUGGGGGAGCUUUGCGGGAGUCGAACUUGGGAAACAUAGGAAUCUGACACCCCUGACCCACCCAAAACCCUUUCCGUACCCGCGACUUCAUCCUCCCAAUUUUCUCUUGUUCCUUCUUUCUUUCUUGCCUUUGCAGGCGCUCCACCCCCCAUCAUGCCACAUCCCCACCCAAACUCUAUGUCUCCGUCACCUCCAGCGCUCCAGCAAGGCUCCAUCCCCUCUUCUGCUCCGUCUCGGUUCAACCCCUGUUCUCCAGUCGCCCCGCCAGGUUCCAUCCGCUACUGCUAUUCCCGCCAUGCUCGACCACUGUUCGAUAAAUCACCGGAGCUAAAAACACUUGUCCCUCCUACUUUUUAGCAAUGAAUUCUGAUUUGGAGUACAUAUACGAGCAAUAUUGAGCCGUCGGACGAGGAGUACUCCAAUAAGAUGGUGAUGAUGCAUGCGCUCCUUGAGGAUGUGGAGUGUGCGGGGGGAGGAUGUUCUCAAUUUCAAUGGCUUGAUCAAGGGUCACUGAGUGCUCAACCGCAAUAGUGCGCGCACCCAUUUGACACUGAUGGCCGACUACUCUACCCCCAGUGCACUGACAUUAUUGUCGGCGUUUUCAGAUAAGUAAGGGUGUCUACGAUCGUUUGUACCAUGACGUCCGGUCCUCCAAUGACUACUUCAUCCCAAAUAAGGACUUUGUGGGGAUGAUUGGGUUCUCUGGUUACCAGAAGUGCACGCCGCUGAUUCGUGAGACAAGUACGGAGUACCUUUGGAUGUCUGAGAGCACAUGCCGAAAUGCCAUGUUCAGGUUCUCUACUGCCGUGGUCGAGGUGUUCGGACCUGAGUACUUGAGAGAACUAACUGUGGGAGACGCCGAGAGGUUCUUGGCAGUCUCAGAAGCAAGAGGGUGGCUAGGUUUGCUUGGAUCUCUUGACUGCAUUAAUUGGAAAUGGAAGAACUGUUUGAACGCUUUACAAGGGCAAUAGUGGGGGGGGGGGGCAUAUUAAGAAUACCACCACCAUUCUUGAAGAAGUUGCAUCUCAAGAUCUUUGGAUUUGACACACUUUGUUUGGCAUGCCCAGGUUUCACAAUGACAUCAUUGUGCUGCAACGAUCACCGUUGUUUGCGAGGCUGACUGAAGGAAAAGCUCCUCCUUGCCACUAUAUUGUCAAUGGACAUGAGUACAACAAGGGUUACUAUCUGGUUGUCAGUAUCUAUCCUCCAUAGGUUACCUUUAUCAGCACCAUCUCAAACCCAAUUGACCAAAAAAUGCCUCACGUUGUCCAAAGACAAGAAGCAACUAGAAAGGAUGUCGAGAGGGUAUUUGGAGUUAUGUAGGGCCGUUUUGUGGUUGUUUGUGGAUUUUCUAAACAACAGGAUCCGAAAACCUUGUGGGAGGUGUUGGCAUGUUGUGUGAUCAUGCAUAACAUGAUUGUUGAGCAUGAGGGUGACAAUGCUGCCGCAACUCUAGAAUUUAAAAACAUGGGUGAUUAUAUCCAAUCUCCGGACCAGAAUUUUGGCCACAUUUGAAGAGUUUAUCCGAAUGCAUCAAAAAAAUUGGCAGCGACCAACUCACGAGCAGGUGAAGUAAGAUCUAAUUGACCAUGAGUGGCCGGUGAAAACAAUGUUUGGAUGUAAUUAUUUUUUUUUAAUUUGAACUAGUGUUGCAUGCAACUAUUUGAACAUUUAGUACACUUUUUAUGAGGCAAUUUAAUCACACAUAAUUAAAAGAAAAUGAAGAAGGCCGGAUGUAUGCGGCUACGGUUCGAUGGUUGUCUCUUGCAUCCGUUUCCACGGACUAGUACCCUUGUCCGUGGACUGAUGCAGAAAAAAAGGUGGGUUGCCGUUGGAGAUGCCCCAAGGAGUCAGGCCGCACACCAUUCAAGCAACUUCCAGGGCACAGAGGAGGCAGAUCCACCCGGGGCCUGGUGUAUCAUCUUGAUAUUAAUAUGUUGCACUUGAGCUUGCGGUGGCCUCUCGCUCCAGCUCAUUCAAAAUAAAUACCUAUGCGGCCGGUCGCUCGCAUUUUGUCAGAGAUCGGAAGGCUCACAGUCCUCACAUUCAGUCAUCCAACUACUCCCGGUUCUCCGCAUCAGGACCUCCAUUGAGGUGGGCUCCUGGACCUCCAGUAUAUUCUGGUUCGACCGAUGGGCGGGCAAGACCCCCUUUGUUGCCGCUUCCUCGACAUGUUUGCCAUCGCAGUAGACCCACCGAUUUCCGUCAGGGCAGCCCUUAUUGACUUAGGACGAUUGACUUUCCAUAGUCCAUUUGGGCCCCCGGACACCGUCGCAUGUCACAAACUCCUUGCGACCGUCGCCCUGCACGAACCGGACAUCGACCAGUCUGCCGAUCACACUUUGUGGCAUCUAUAGCCUUCGGGCAAGUUCUCCGCGAAGUCUUUAUACCGGGCCAUCGUUGUCAAUCCCGCUCCGAAGCCCUUUGAGCUGAUUUGGAAGAACAGGCUCCGCCUGAAGAUUAGAAUCUUCAUGUGGCAGUGUAUCUGCGGACGGGUCCCAUCCGGAUUGGAGGUGCUCAAGCGACACGGCCCGGGAGACGGACAGUGCCCCCUUUGCGGGAUUGCAGAGGACUCCAACCACAUCUUCUUCUCGCGCGUUUCCGCGCAAUUCCUCUCGUCCUGCAUCCGUGAGACCAUUGGGGACCUUUGGUAUAACACCAACUUCCCCGACCUAUGUACCGAUAUCCAGGCCUCCCCUUCUCCGUGAGGGCACAUUAGAUUGCUGGUUAUUGGUGUCCUCGUGUGGACGGUCUGGACAGUCCGGAACAAGCUUGUUAUUCAACGUGUGCCUCUUCGACGGGGAACUGACGUGGUGUUCAAAAUGUGUGGCUUUAUGCAGCUCUGGCGGUCGCUUAGCCAUCAACGGGACCAGGACGCCAUCAACUCCAUCAUCGCAGACCUCCGGACGAUGGCCAUCCGCUUAACGCCGCAGCUACCCCACCACCCCCGAGUCAGAUUAGCUUUUGCAUUCGCGGUCUUUUCCGCAUGUGUGUUGUUUUGCUUUUAGGGCUUGUUGAGUUGUGCCCUUAGCAGAACCCCUAGUACUUGGCGUCGUGAUACCUUAGAGUGUGUGUGCUCGAAUUUGAACCUAUGCUUGUACUCGUAGUUUGGUGGUUGCUUUAUAUAUAAAACGGAACGAAAACCUAUUUCGGUAAAGCACACUAAAUUAUAUCAAGUGAAUUUUCCUGGGAAAGUCAUGUUUCAGGCUUGUUCUAUUUCCUCUCUUUUAUUUCUUAUCAAAUACUUUUUUUGAUGUAUUUCUUCUUGUAUUCCAGGCUUGGUAGUAUAUAAUGAUAUUCAUAUCAAUUAAAUCUAGAUCCUUGACUUCUUCGCAAACAAUUAGUACUCCCUCCGUAAAGAAAUAUAAGAGUGUUUAUAUUAGUGAUCUGAAAGCUCUUAUAUUUCUUACAUUGAGGUGCUAAAUUCGUGACAAAAAGUAUUCCAAUUAAGUUGACUGGGAACAAAUACAUAUCCAACAACAAAGUAAAAGCAUUUGCUACAGCAGGAAGUUGAUGCUGUUUAGACAAAAAAUUAAUAAAUCUUGGGACGUCUUGGGUGUUUCCUUGCUGCUUCUUUCCACGUAUGCUCUGUGUCAACACCCACUUCACGAUGUGUCUAAAGUACUUGAUCGCCGAUGUGCCACAAAAGCCAUUUAGAUUUUUACAUAGCAGUCGGCUCAACUUGAGGCUCCGUGUUACACGACGGAGCUCCGUCUUAGACUCACGCCAUUUUUUCACCAUUGCCAGAUCCUUCGUAUUGGCCACAGCUCAGUUGCAACCUUGGGAAGGGCAGAAAAAUAAAAAGGAUCAGAUGCAGCUUAGAGUUCACUGACCUGUUACUAAAGCACUACAAGCAUCCUGAGAGCAAGGUUAAUAAUAUAGCCAACUGCUGGAUAUAAGCCAUCUUAUAACUCAUCUUAUAGCUAGCUUGUACAAUAGUUAGCUAUAAAAGAGUACUACUUUUAUGGUAUAUGAUCCAUCUUUCAUUCUCACAAAGCACCUAGGAGCACGUGCUAGAGCUAGCUCUUCACGAAGAGCCCGCUUCCCUUCUCUCUCCUCUUCUCUCUCAUCCAACUCAACAAAAUUAUAAUAUUCUAAUCCUUACAGCCUGCUGAUUGUACCUUAUUGUACUUGCUCUGAGUCUUCAUGUAAGUUCACAGUUACCAACAAAAGAUAUUACUUGUGGACCGCUGCAGCGCGUGUUCAUAGGUUUUCUAACUCAUCUCCCAUGUCUCCACCCCAUUGAUCCAAGCUGUGUAUUAGUUUAGUCUCACUAGUAGAAAACAGGCCUUUGGUUCGGGCCUGGCCAGCCCAUUAGUCCCGGUUCUUUAAGAACUGGGACCCAUGGGGGGCAUUAGACCCGGUUCAUGAGCCCAGGGGCCGGCCGGGGCCUCGUGGGCAUUGGUCCCGGUUCGUCUGGACCCAUUUGUCCCGGUUCUAGGCACGAACCCGGGCCAAUGGACCGCGCUCCUGGCCCACAUCCAUUGGUACCGGUUCGUGCCUUGAACCGGUUUAGAAGGGGGGCUUUAGCCCCGGUUUAUGCCACGAACCGGGAAAAAUAAUUUGCCUAUAUAUACCCAUCGCCGCGGCAGAGCACUCUGUUUUUUCUGGUCGACGAUGGGAGAGCAUUUGGGUGCUCUAGCUCACCUCCUAUGCACAUGAGGUGUUCGAUGAAAUGCCCGAACCACACUAGUUAAGCUUUCUCUUCUUGAAGCUCGACCUCGGAGCUCCAUUUUUCCCGAGAUUUGUCUAGAUUUAGCGGUCCGUCACGCCCCGUCCCCGUUUUCACCGCUGGGGCACGUUCAUGUGUAUGUCCGCAAUGUCGUCUGCAAGCUCCUCCGCAGACAGUGAGGUAAGUCGAUUUGGAUUUUCGGUUGACAUUGGAUUUGGGGUUUUCUCAUCUAGGGUUUCGCGGGAUGGGCCGUAGUAUGCGCCUUUCUGGCUCGUAGGUGGAUGGCUGCGGGAUUGUGCAGUUCCAAUCCGAGUUUUUCAUUCCCAAUCCAAGUUUCUACGGCCUUGAGGAGCGCUCGAAUCACCGUUGCCCGGGGCAUGGGCUAAUUCCUGCUCGCCGUGUUUCUUGGGGUGGAGCAAGCACGGGAAGAAGGUUUUUGGGUUGUCCACUCGAUGUAAUUCCUCAAAACAUCAUUUGGUACUCUGUUUUCAUCGAUUUAUUGCAAAGUUAUGAAUUUCACCUAAUUAUGUGAACUCUGAUUUAACAGCUUCCUGAUGAGUGUGAUUCGGUUGUUUGGAUUGACCCCCCUCCCACUAAGCUAGUGGGGCAAGCUUGCAUGCNNNNNNNNNNNNNNNNNNNNNNNNNNNNNNNNNNNNNNNNNNNNNNNNNNNNNNNNNNNNNNNNNNNNNNNNNNNNNNNNNNNNNNNNNNNNNNNNNNNNAGAUCCUGAAUUCUGAUACCUUUUCAAUCAUCUGCUGGUACCACUUGAGCCUCCUGGGAGCACGAAUGACAUCAACACAAAUGGUUUUGGGGAUAACGUGUUCUAGCACAUGAGGAAUGACAUACUCAAUUUGCUUCUGCCACUUGAGCUUCUUGGCAAUCUUAGUAAGACCCAUCUUGCGAACGGAUCUGCAUUCCAGAAGCUCAAGGGACACAUGGUUGUCAAUAUAAUCAAGGAUGUCAUAGGAUAACUCUUGUGCCUCUUUCAUCCAGCACCUCACCGCCAUGGGAGGGUCCUCCACCUCUAACAGAUCUUCAAGGUAUGCACUUAUUUCUUCAACAUUAUCUUUUAGGAGGUGAAAUCUGUCAUGGAGCCCCUUGGCUAGCUUGCAUCCUUGAGGACCUAGCAUAAUGUCGAGCUUGUUAAGGAGGGAUCCCAUGGCGCCCAGUGAAACACUGAAGGGGGCCUCCACCUCUCCGUGCUUGCCUUCCAUUGAAACAUCUGGAUGAAAGAUAGACAAAAAAAAAUAGUUCACUAGCACAUUGAAACAGGAGAGACAGCAGAGAGAACAAAUUGCAGAAAGACAUGGAGUAACACUUUGAUUGGUCAUAAAGUAAAAGAUUAAAUGUUGCUUUGGAGUUAAAGUUUGUCAAUUAACUACCAAAUUAAAGAACUAAAACUUCCUCCUACCUAAAGAAAAUAACCGUGUAACUAAAUACAGAGCACAUGCCUAGCUCUGCAGCUGAAGGGACCAAGGAACUCACAAAGUGUUUAUUUCCUUUGACGUGCAAGGCAGGAGCUCUGCCGAUUUCAAAAAGAGAAGAAAAACAUUCAGAGUGAUCGGGUUUAUAAGGGAACUAGGCCGGCAAACACAACAACUACAAAAGAAAAAGAGAAAAGAACAACCACCAACGACAACCCAAGCAGACCAUGACCACCUAGCAUGCAAGCUUUUGAGAGAGGUCGAAUGCAAGAUCUUCAUCAAUAGCUUCAAGAAGAAAAACAAUGUCCGAGUAUGUCGCUGUCACCAGCAUCACCCACCCUGGACCAUAAAUCUUUCUCCCAGACCCUCGCACGACUACCCCACCGAAGCACGAAAAUGGUCACCCUAUCCAACAACCUCCACACCACUUCCAUCCAAACUGGCCACAACCAUAUAUGCACUCUUCGAAAAUGCCUCCACGGAGGAGAACGCCCACGAGCGGCAAUAUCAAUGACAAAGACCCCCCCCCCCAUCGAAGAACAAGGCUUUCGGCCAAAGUCUUAUGCUUUGCCACCUCUGACGUUGGUUGACGCCAGGCCGCUGUGAACCUUACUUUCACAAAAAUGUGACAAGAGCAAACCAGACCAAGAGGAAUAGAAAGUUGCAAUGGCCACCACAUCAUGAAUUAUCGUUGGCACCACAAACACCACUGCUACUACGACGGCUUUGUUAAAUUACCACAUUAAAACAGGAAAUGUCUGACGAUGAAUAUUGGGAGUGCGAAUAUUGCGGCGACUAUCAAGUUAUCUGCGACGCGCCGCACCUGCGAGACGACAGGUUCUUCAGCAUGAAGCUUGACGAGACCUUUAAAGUUUGUAUGGUACGCAAUGAUGACAAGUGUUUUUUCGUAAUUAAGCAUGCAUGACUUCUAUUUUUUUUUGUCUUCAACGUGUAAUUUUUAUUUUAUACAAUUCGACUAGUUCCUUCCUUGUCAUGCAAGAAUAUAUGUGUUGGAGAGGCUCGGUUUUGAAGACCACGAGCGUAUGGAGACGAGGAGCGCUAACCUGAGGACUAUACAUGGUCACACAUUUGUGAUCAAAGUAUUUAAUUCAGUUUUUAACACAGAAAUAGGGUGCUCAAAGUGGGAAAAAUCUUUGCAAUGCAAAUGGAUUUCAGGAGGGUAUGGAAAUAACCUUCGAUCUUUGUCCUGAAGAUAAUAUGCCAGGCAACAUCAACAUUUGGGUGGUUGUCGAUAUGCUUCCUGUUUUACCUCCAUGUGGGUUCCUCAACCAUAUUUGUCAAGUAAUUUGCAUUCUAUAAUUAAAAAUAAUUGGUGUUCAUCCAUAUACUAAAUUUGUCAAAUUAUAAUUUACAUCUUUAGCACAAUUGCUUUAUAUGCUCCAGCGCUACUGCUAAUAUGUAUAUCAAAUAUUAGCUUCAGCGUUACUGCUAACAGAUUAGCUGUAGCGCAAUUGCCGCCUUUCUUCUACUAGUGCACCCGCACAGCGAGCUAGACGGACAAAUUAACCAUUUGUUGGGACAAACCCACCGGCGACCCAAACGUCGGACGAAGGUAGAUGAAGGAGACACCAUGAUUUUUCCGGCGACGAACGCCGCGGCGCACCAACGCCUGUAUCUUGGCUUUAUUUCUGACAACGACUCGAACACAUACAUGAGGUACACACACACGCACGCGGCACAAUCCAGAAGAACUCUCACGUCGACCCGACACACAUCACGGUACCGACGGAGACUACAUCUUCUAGCCCCCUCACAUUUGGCUCGACACACCCCGUUGCUCGACAACACACCGAAACACGGCUACACACACCGGCGCACAUACGCUCCUCCCAGGGGCUACAUCUUUUUUCUUGCUAGACUCCCCUGAUCCUAACAAACUCUAUCACAACUGGUUUUAUAGACAACCUGGUACGCAGCACCCACACACCGAGCUUCACGCGCACGAAUGCCCUGACGAUCCGGUCUACCUUGAUCGUGAGCCUCCUGCUCAUCCGCGAGACGUGGACGCCAACGCCCUUCCGUUGCGCCAACGCCCUUCCGUUGCACCCGCUGCAUCCCUUCUCCAUCGCUACACACGAUUGCAGAGUCAGCCACAUACCAGCCCGACACAACCUGAUCACAAAUGCGGCCACACCAGCCCUCGAGCUCGACCUAAACAAUGAUCCAAACACAAGCAUGAACUUGUGCAGCUACAGCACUACACAUACGCAUGGCUUAUUCCUAACGAUCAAAUUAACCAUUCACUACAUCAGGCAAACGAUCGAUCCAGGCAGCAAGCACACGUGCCAGCCGAGAGAUCGAUCCGGCCGAAAGCCGACGAGCAAUCUCGGCUGUACUCUCCUCUGGUGCGGACGGCCGGGACCGGGAGGAAGCGGUCCAACCGGCGACGUACGUACGCGAGUAGCGCGUGCAUCAGCGGCGACCAUGCCGAUCGUCUUCUCCCAUGCAUGCAAGCUCAGCAUCAAAACUAAUGUAUAUCUUCUUCCAUCUAGGAGUAUAUCUUUUUCCGUGCUGGUCAUCCGAGUAGAAAGGAGAAUUAUCUCUUGUAUAUUGAUCCUUCCUCACCUCUCUCUUAUAUACACAUGAGUUGGUUACAUGGCCCUAUCUAGGUGGCACGCAGGCCAGGGCAUGGGAGUAGUGGAUGAUAUAUACAUGGAGUGUAGCUACAACACGUAGUGGUACAUCAUGUGUUAACACCCCCCCUCAGCCGGAACUCCAUGUGGAUGGAUGUUUAGGCUGGUACGAAACUCCUGGAAUAGCUGUGAGGGAAGCCCUUUCGUGAAGACAUCAGCAUAUUGGGAGCUUGAGGGGACAUGGAGGAUGCGAACUUCACCAAGGUUGACACGGUCACGCACGAAGUGAAGAUCUAUCUCAAUGUGCUUCGUACGUUGAUGUUGCACUGGGUUUGUGACAAUGUAGGACGCGCUCACAUUGUCACAAUAGACCGGCGUGGAACGUGUGGGAGGACGGUGAAGCUCAUGUAGGAGUUGGCGGAGCCAGCAUGAUUCGGCAACACAGUUAGCAACGCCACGAUACUCCGCUUCGGCGCUGGAGCGAGAAACCGUGUUUUGCCGUUUGGAUGACCAAGAGAGCAAGUUAUGGCCGAGGAAAACGCAAAACCCCGAAGUGGAACGACGGGUGUCCGGGCAGCCAGCCCAAUCUGCGUCUGUGUAGGCGAGGAGAUCAUGCGAUGAUGAUUUGUAGAGUUGCAACCCGAAGUGAGUAGUGCCGCGAAUGUACCGUAGGAUUCGUUUGACGAGCUGCAUGUGAGAAUCGCGCGGCGCAUGCAUGAAGAGACAUGCUUGCUGAACGGCAUAAGAGAUGUCAGGGCGUGUGAGUGUUAGGUAUUGCAGGGUACCGGCAAGGCUGCGGUAGAGAGUUGGGUUGUCGAGGAGGUGACCAGCAUGGGCGGAGGCUUUGGAUUGUGUGUCGACAGGGGUGGAGACGGGUUUGCAAUUGAGCAUCUUAGCACGCUCAAGGAUCUCAAGGGCGUACUGUUGUUGGUAGAGGAAGAGGCCGGAGGAGUUGGGGGUGACGUUAAUGCCGAGAAAGUGGUGGAGCUCGCCGAGAUCAGUCAUGGAGAACUCCCGUUUGAGGGAGGUGAUGACAUGGUGGAGAGUCUGAGGUGUGCUGGCGGUGAGGAUGAUAUCAUCGACAUAAACCAAGAGGUAAGCAAUGGAGCUGCCGUGGUUAAGGAUGAAAAGAGAGGAGUCACAUUUGGAAGAGUGAAACCCAAGAGAGAGCAAGAAGGACCGAAAGCGAUGAAACCAAGUGCACGGGGCCUGCUUUAAGCCAUAGAGAGACUUAUGCAGAAGGCAGACGUGAUCUGGUUUGGCUGGGUCGACAAAACCAGAAGGCUGAGCGCAAUAUACCGUUUCCUUGAGAUCGCCGUGGAGGAAGGCGUUUUUGACAUCGAGUUGGUGUAUCGGCCACGAGCUGGAGGUGGCGAUGCUGAGAACAACCCGAAUGGUGGCCGGUUUGACAACCGGGCUGAACGUUUCGUCGUAGUCGACCCCUUCCUUUUGAGUGAAGCCACGAACCACCCAUCGUGCCUUGUAGCGCGCCAAGGAGCCGUCGGUGUUAAAUUUAUGACGGAAUAUCCACUUGCCAGUAACCACGUUGACACCCGCAGGUUUGGGCACCAAAGACCAAGUCGAGUUUUUGAUUAAAGCAUCAUAUUCAUCACACAUUGCGUGGUGCCAAUGGGGGUCCUUGAGGGCGGAGCGGUAAGUGGGAGGAAUGGGCGAGAUGGUGCUGGUCGUGUGGGACAGAAAGAGGCGACGUGGUUGGUAAAAACCAGAUUUAGCUCGAGUGCGCAUUUUGUGGGAGUUGUGCGGCGGUGGAACGGGCUGGGCAUUAGCAGGUAGACGUGGCACACGAGGAGUGGAUGGCGCAGGAAGCGAGGGAGAUUGUGUGGGGCCAGGGGCGGCAGAGGAAUGUCCGGGAUCCGAGGUGGAUUCGCUGGCAGAGGCGACAGGGGCGGACGGCUGGCGUGUGGGCGGAGUUGAUUGGUUGGUGGCGGCAGAUUCGGUGGGAUGGGGGCGAUCCGAGAGGAGUGGGGUCAGUACGGAAGGCGAGGGAGAUUCGGUGGGUGGGCGCGCGUCGGGAGGCGAUCGAGGGGAAGGUGGGGCCAGGGCGGGCUGGCGACCCGUGAUUGGCGUGCAUGGGGGUGUAGCACCGGUCAGGGGCGGGAAAACCGGGUACGAGGUAGGUGGGAGAGCAGGAGAGAUGCUGGCGGGAUUUUCUGUGGCAGGGGAGUGAUCAACCGAAGGUGUGGGUGUGUUAUCAUAUGGAAAAACUUGCUCGUCGAAAACAACGUGACGGGAGACAAUAACUCUGCGGGAGGAUAGGUCGUAGCAUCGGUAGCCCUUGUGCUCGAGGGGGUAACCGAGGAAGACGCAACGGGCGAAACGAGGAGCGAGCUUAUGUGACGACGUGGCGUAAAGGUUUGGAAAGCAUAAGCACCCAAACACGCGAAGGUGAUCAUAUGUGGGGUGCACGCCGUGAAGGAGGAAGUAUGGGGUUUGAUCGUGAACAGCAUGAGACGGGCGACGGUUGAGUAGAUACGUGGCGGUGUGAAGGGCUUCGACCCAAAAAGGAGGUGGAAGAUGAGCUUGGAGGAGAAGGGUUCGAACAAUAUCAUUUGUAGUGCGAAUGAGCCGCUCAGCUUUACCGUUUUGUGGCGAUGUGUGGGGACAGGAAAAGCGGUAGGUGAUGCCAUUGGUGGAGAAGAACGAGCGUAGGGUGGAGUUGAUGAACUCGCCACCAUUGUCGCAUUGCAAGGCCUUGACGAUCACGUUGUAUUGGGUGCGUAUGUAGGAGAAAAGGCGAAGAAGGGUGGUCGAUGUGUCGGACUUGUUGCGUAGGGGAAAGGACCAGGAGAAAUGCGUAAAAUCAUCCAACACAAUUAAGUAAUAUUGAUAACCAGAGAAGCUUACAACGGGACUUGUCCAUAAAUCACAAUGAAGGAGCUCAAAAGGAGCAAACGUGCGGCUAUGAGAAGAGGGGAAGGGAAGGCGAGGUUGGCGGCCUAGUUGGCAUGCCGGGCACGGUGAGUGCAUGGGUUUAUUACAAGGAGAAAGAAAAUCGUUCGACGCUAAGGAAGAAAUGACAUGGGGGCUUGGGUGGCAGUGGAGACGGUGGUGGAGAGGGCGGUGCGCCAAGCCUUAUUGUUGCCGAAGAAGGGAUAGAGGUCGCCGGAGCUAGCGGAGAUCAUGAUGACCCUCCUGGUGCGAAGAUCCUUCACAAGAAAACCAAAGGGAUAAAAUUCAAUGGAGCACGAGUUAUCUUUGGUGAAUUGCCGAACAGAGAUGAGACUUGUAACAAUAUGGGGAGAAAAUAGAACAUCUUUGAGGUGGAAGUUGUGGGGCGGAAGGGUGGUGGAGCCAGAGGCCUGGAUAGGGAGGUGGGUGCCAUUGCCAACAACAAUGCUAGACGAAUGAUGCUUUAAAGAAGAGCUCGAGAGGUCGAUGUUAUCAGGGUUGCCGGUGACGUGGGAUGAAGCGCCGCUGUCGAGGUACCAUUCUUGCGGUGCGGAUUGGUCGUUGGAGAAGUUGUUGGCGCUGUAGGCAGCUUGCAGCAUGGCGAGAUGAUCCCACGACGACUGCUGCGGGGAAGGUGGUGGUGUGUAGCCGGGCACGCGCAUCGGAUACGCGUGGGCGUGGGAACCGGGGGCAGGACCGAGCACGCCAGCAGAGUUGGGAGGAACCCAGCCAGGGCGCGGGUUGGGAAUGGCCAUGCCAUAUGGAGCGAAGAACCCCAUGUAGGGGUUAUAGGGCAUCGGUGGAGGAGCGCCGCGGCCCCCGUGAUCGCCGCGGCCACGGCCACGGCCGCGCCCGCGCCCGCGCCCGCGUCCACCCGAGUCGGCGCCGUCCUGACGAUUGCCGGAGCCACGGCCCGGUUGGGAACCAGAGCCACGGUCGUUGGGGCGGAAGCCAGAGGAGCCGCCGGAGGCUGGAGGGGGACCGGAGGGAGCACCGCUCCCGGUGACGGCGAGGACGGUGACUGGUUCGUCGGCGAUGCGUUGGGCGAGGUUCUCCUCGGCGAGCUUCAGGCGGGAGAAGACCGUCUCGAAGGGAGGAAGAGGGACGGUGUCCCCGAGGACGACGCGGAUGGUGUCGAGGCGCUUGUCGAUGCCGUGAAGAAAUUGAGUGGUGAGAUCCACCUCAGUGACCGCAUGAUCGAUGUCAGCCAGCCCGACGGUGAGAAGCUUCAUUCGACGGGCGUACUCGGUGACGGAGAGGUCGCCCUGCCGGAGAUUGCGGUACUGCCGGUUGAGCAUCAUAUACCGGGCGGCGCGAUUGGCCAGGAAAUAGUCACGGAUGCGAUGCCAGAGAUCGAAGGUGGUGGUAGCCCCGACGACGUGGUCGACGAGGUUGUCGGCGAGGGUGGCAUAGAUCCAGAGGACGAUGUGGGCGUCGAUCUCGCGCUGUUGGGGGGUGGCGGUGGCGGGGAGGGGCUGUUCGAUGAACUGGGCGACCCCGUAGCGGAUGAGGACGAGCAGGAAGAACGACUUCCAUUUGUGGUAGUUAUGGUCGUCGGGGUUGAGGAGGAACUUGAUGUGGUUUUGAAUGCUGUCGAGGAAGAUUGGAUGACGCGGAGCCGGCGGUAAGGAGGACGACAUGGAGGCUGGGGGAGAGGAGAAGAGGGGCGCAAAGUGGGAGGGUGGUGAGGCGCCGCUGUGAGAUGAAGGAGCAGUGCCGAAGAUGAAGGGGGAGGCGGCGGCGGCAGUGAUGCCGUCGCCGGUGGCCGAACUGGAGGAGAGCGCCGGCGAGGGGGCAGAGCUGGUGCCCUGGGAGGCGGCGGCGGCUGGAUCGGCCAUUGGGUUGGAGUCUGAUACCAAGUAGGAAGGAGAAUUAUCUCUUGUAUAUUGAUCCUUCCUCACCUCUCUCUUAUAUACACAUGAGUUGGUUACAUGGCCCUAUCUAGGUGGCACGCAGGCCAGGGCAUGGGAAUAGUGGAUGCUAUAUACAUGGAGUGUAGUUACAACACGUAGUGGUACAUCAUGUGUUAACAAUCCGAGCUGCGGCCACACAGCCGGCCGGAGACUAGUCUGGCUGUCGGCUUCAUCUCAUGUCGUUCAAGACGACGACGCGCCGGGCGGGCUGCCCUUCAUGUCUAGCCCCCGGCCCGGUGCACUACUCAUCGACGGCGACUCACGAGGAUCACGACGUACCGGGGCCGUCAUCCGUGCACUACUCAUCGGCGAUGACGCGUCGGGGUUGCCGUCCGUGCGCAACCCCCGGCGCGGCCUCCACGCAAGGCGACGAUGUGUCCUGACGGCCGUCCGGUCCCGUCGAGUCCGUCGGCAACACCAUCUCGGCGGGUCUCGGCGACAUCCGUCGUUCGUCACGACGUCACCUAGCGUGUCCUUCCUUGCACCUACACCAUCAGCGGCACCUAGCUAGCGCGUCGCUCCUUCUACCUACACCAUCAGCGGUGCCCUACCAGGCGGACUCGGCAACAUGGUCUGUUCGACGCGCUGAUGACUCGUCGUAACUUCAGCGGCGACACAUCACCUGGCCGUGGCCGGGACAAUCUCGCCCGUCCGAAACCUUUGUGAGUUCGGGGAAGAGCAACCACACAUCCAACACAAUGUUAAAAGUAUAGGGGCUAGUGGGUCACACCGAUGGAGUCCACCUUCGUCAUCGAUUUUUGUAGCCACCUCACCUCAAGAGCAUCUUCAACAGCCGCACAAUUUCUCAGAGCAUCUUCAACAGCCGCAAAAAAAGACGCGCGUGCUAAAAAACGACAGUUUACCGUGCGCGGGACUGAAAUGCGCGCUCCAGCGGCGACGGAAAACCGCGCGCGCGGUUCCCACGUGCGCGAAAAGGCGGCAGCCCGCGCGUCCAUAAAAGGCAGCGCGCUGCCCUGCCUCUCGCGCCGCGUUCUCUCUCCCUCUGCCGUUGGCGCCGCCGCCGCGUUCUCCCUGCCUCUCGCGCCGCCGACGAGCCACCAUGCCGCCGCGCCGCCGUUCUGCGUCGGGCUACCGCGGCGUUCGCCAGCGCCCCAACGGCGGGUUCUACGCCGAGAUACGCUCCGGCGAUCUCCGUCUGAGCCUCGGCACCUACGACACGGCGCACGAGGCCGCCCGCGCGUUCGACGCGGCGGCGUGGCGCCUAGGCAGGCCGCGACUGCAGAUGAAUUUCCCCGACGUCCGCACGCUCCAGCAGGCAUUAGACCUGGUCCCGCCGCCUCGUCUAAACUCCGCACAAGACCGUGCGGAGCACACUGCGCUGCAGCGCCGCCUCCUCGUCGCCCAGGAGGACGAGCGGGUCAUGGCGGAGUGGCGCCGGCGCCACCCGGAAGACGUCGCCUACGAGCAGGAAUACUGGGAACGGCGCCGCGAGGAGGACACGCGCCGGCGCCGCGAGGAGCGGUUGGACAGACGUCGUCGGAAGGCUUUGGCAUGUGCGCAGGCCGACCUCGUCAAUGCAGGCGGGAGGUCCUUCUUCACUGAAGAAGAUGAACGUUGGUUUGACAUCUGACUGUGAACCUCCGACGACACCGACGAUGAUGGUGGUGCAGAUGACUGGAGCGACUAGGAUUAGUAUUUUUUUUAUCGAACUAUCUAGCACCAAACUAUCUAUCUAUGUUUUCGAACUACCUAUCUAGUUGCUAUCUAUGUAAAAUAACUUUGUAUCUUUUUUAUUUAAAUGCAAUCUAUUUAUUAAAAAAAAUUAAUGCGCGCGCUGCAUUUUUGGGUCACUGCUGGAGCUGCGCGCGCUGCAUUAUAGCGCGGCUGUUGGAGCCAUCGCUGCGCGACGCGCAAAACCAGGCGACCAGCGCGCGGCAAACUCGUUUUUAGGCACGGCGCGAAGUGCGUCUAUUGGAGAUGCUCUCACAAGAGGCCUUCAUUCUUAUAUAUAGUACCUCCUUUGUUUUUAAAUAUAAGUUUUUUAAAUUUUUAUAAUACGGACUAUAUAUAAAGUAAAAUAAAUGAAUCUACAUCCGUAUGUGAACUAUAGUGAGAUAUUUAAAAAGCAAGUAGAAGAUAAGAAAGUUAGCUUCCAUCCAGCGAGUUUUCUUACGUAGCACAUGAACUAUUGCUUGCCAAAAAUGGACAGUAGUGUAGAUGCAUGUAUUACUGCCAGUAGUUUCAGGUUCAGCACGAGUUAUGCCCUUGAUAAAAUUGUCAAGAAAAUAAUGCAGCAUUUAUUAAGAAAAGGGAAGCGGUUCUAAGCAAAUUCUUGUGUGCAUCCGACUAUAUAUGUUAUAUGUAGAUGCGAAAGAGUAAUAAAGUGCAACUCAACUAAAAAAGGAAGGAGAGAAACCAAGAAGAAAAGUGUUUACCUUGGGUUGGAUAAAAAGGACGACCCUCUCCUGCUCCUCCUCCAUAACACCAUCAGCCAGCAUCUUGUUGCGGGACUGCCUGCAUUUCCAGCAGGGCGCGGAGCCGACCCUCUUACAGGCUUGGCAGACGAAGGCGCGGCACGGCCUUGGGGCGGCGUCGAGGAGGGGCCGCAGCCCGCCGGUCUGGUGUAGCUUCCUGACAUCGUCAGGGCCGCCCACGGGCCGUCCGCCGACGAGGAGCUGCGGGAGGGAGAAGGCGCACCCCCGAGCCGCGAGCAACGACUUGAGCUCGCUGCGGUGCGCCUUGCUCAUGGACACGUCGCGCUCCUCCAUGGUCAGGCCGUACCCACGCAGCAGGGCGCGCAAGGCGUAGAGGUCGGCCGAGGUGCGCUCUCUGCGGCGAGACGCCGACGCAGACGCCGUGUAGAGAACCACCUCCGGCUGCAGAUCCUGCUUGCCGUGCGGCCGGGACGACGAAGAGCUGCCGCCGGGGUCAUACAUGUCCGGCGGCCUCAUCGAUCCGGAGUAGAGUGUGGAUAUCUAGGGUUCCGACGGCCUGAUCCGAAGAAGAGUGUGUGUGGCUAUCUAUCUAGGGUUCCGGCGGCCUCAUCGGAAGAAGAGUGUGUGGAUAUCUGUAGGGUUCCGGCGAGAGGAGAGGAGAGGAGAGGAGAGGAGAGGAGAGGGAGAGCAGAUGGAGAAGAGCGGGAUGUCGUGGCUCUGCCUGUCUCCUUCUUUUUCACAUGCGCCGCACUAGCUUUUGCCUCUCUCUUUCCUUUUUGGUUUGGCCCAGACAUGCAUGCAAGUCAUUCCUCACACGAUAUGCGUCAUUGUGAAUUACCCAUGCAUGCUGCGUUACCUGUGCGUCUCCGUCCAAACAAUGGACAAUCUCAUUGGAUUCUCGAUCCUACAAAAGAACACCAUUUUUUCCAACUUCAUACAGUGCGUCCGUGUUUUUCAAGAUUUCAAUUUGAUCAUACAUGUAACCAAUGAGAUAGAUUACGAGGGGAGCAAAUUUUAUACCACCGAAUUCAUAUCGAAAUUUUUCGAUACCAAUUCAGUCAUAGUAUAAUUUUUGAUCCCACUAACAAUCGGAACUAGCGUAUGGUCAAGUUUAAAUAUCGAGCAACGCAGACGUAUUACAAUAUUGUAAAAUAAAGGAAGUAUAUGCUGCACGAGAGGUGAACAUGUGCGUGCGUGUGGCUGAGUGUGUUGCCUGUUUUACCACAUCAACUUUGUAUGCAACUCAUAUGAUUGUGACAAGAAAUUUGAGGUCAUGAAUUAAUGCAUGGCUCGUCUUGGUCGUUCACAUUGUCACGGCAUUUAUCAUUCUACUGUACGGUGUACUGGUACUACUCCCUUCUUUUUUGAUUUAUUUAUAUGGCUUAAUCUCUCCUUGUCCAACAUGUCCAUUAUGAUUUAUCACGGCAUUUAUCAUUCUGCUUGUCCUAUUGCGUGAAAAAGAAUCUCUGCUUGUCCAACAUGUGCGUGUUCUUUUGAAGCGGGGAUGCAGCCGGCAGCCGGUCACAUGCAUCUAAGUGACUGGGCAGUAAGGCCUCGUCUUUUAUCACGUUAUUUUAAAAGUAUUAAUAAUUUAGAAUAUAAAUAUGUCAAUGCUUUAUUUUUUAUGAGUUAUAUUUAUGUUUAAUAAUUUGAGAUAAUGUAUGUAUAUGAUUGGGCUAGAAUAUUUUUUGUCUAUGAUCACGUGCAAGGUUUGUAUGUUAUCUAAUAUAUAACCUCACUCUUUUUCUUAAUUAAGAGCAUCUUCGAGAAGGUGUAUGUUCAAUCAUUGGUAUAAGAGCAACUCUAGCAGGCCCCGCAUCCCGCCCCGACCCGUAAAAUAACCGUCAAAAUGCGGGCCGGGGCGGAAAAACCAGCCCGAUCAGACCCCACAACCCACUCCGGCCCGCAAAAAAAUUUAGGGGCCGCGGCAAAAUCCUGACCCCAAACCGGGAAAACGCGGGUUUCCCCCUUGCGGCUGCGGUGCCCUGCAUAUAUGCAGAACCGGUUGGUGGGGGACAUUUCAUCCCACGCUUUCUCUCACCAACCACCUCUCCUCUCCCCUCCCUCGCGCCGCCGCCGCCCGCCGCCCAAGAUUCUGGCGACAGCAGCCGGCAGGAGCACGCCGGAAGGCCGCCACGCGCACGAGGCCUCCCUUCCCUUCCCCCCUUCAUCGGCGAGUCGCCGCAUUUGCGGAUCUACGACACUUCAUAGCGGGCCGCCGGAUUUGUCUUUUUCCGGCCGCCGGUUACUGCCCGAGGCGAUGGAGUGGUCGGGGAGCCUCUCCCGCAACCCAGGCAAGGGCACAUCGCCGCAUGCAGUCACGGGUUCGUUCGCUCGCCGCUGCCGAAGGUUUGUGGGCAUGGACUCGUCCGACCGUUUGAUAACCAACACGUAUAGGGGAUCACAACAGUUUUCGAGGGUAGAGUAUUCAAGCCAAAUUUAUUGAUUCGACACAAGGGGAGCCAAAAAAUAUUCUCGAGUAUUAGCAGUUGAGUUGUCAAUUCAACCACACCUGAAAGACUUAGUAUCUGCAGCAAACUAUCAGUAGCAAAGUAGUGUGAUAGUAACAGUAGCAGUGGUAACAGUAGCAGCAGCAAGUAACAGCAACAACAAGUGUGACAGAAGUAGCGGCAAAGUAACUAGCAAGGACCAGUGUAGGAAAGCUCGUAGGCAUUGGAUCGGUGAUGGGUGAUUGUGCUGGAUGGCAUUCAUCAUGCAAUAGUUACAACAGAAAAUGAUACGCAACUAGCUCCAGUUCGUCAAUGUGAUGUAGGCAUGUACUCCAUAAAUAGUCAUACGUGCAAAGGGAAAAGAACUUGCAUGACAUCUAUUGUCCAUCCCUCCCGUGGCAGCUGGGUCCUAAUGGAAACUACAGAUAUUAAGGUUCUCCUUUUAAUAGAGAACCGGAACAACGCAUUAGCACAUAAUGAAUACAUGGACUCCUCAUACUAUGGUCAUCACCGGGAGUGGUUCCGGCUAUUGUCACUCCGGGGUUGCCGGGUCAUAACACAUAGUAGGUGACUACAACUUGCAAGAUAUGAUCUAAAACACACAUAUAUUGAUGAAAACAUAAUAGGUUCAUAUCUAAAAUCAUGGCACUCGGGCCCUAGUGACAAGCAUUAAGCAUAGCCAAGUAGUAGCAACAUCAAUCUCAGAACAUAGUGGAUACUAGGGAUCAAACCCCAUCAAAACUAACUCGAUUACAUGAUAAAUCUCAUCCAACCCAUCACCGUCCAGCAAGCCUACGAUGGAAUUACUCACGAACGGUGAAGAGCAUCAUGGAAUUGGCGAUGGAGGAAGGUUGAUGAUGACGAUGACAUCGAUUUCCCCUCUCCGAAGCCCAGAACUGACUCCAGAUCUGCCCUCCGGAGGAAGAACAGGCGGUGGCGGCGACUUCGUAUCGUGAAACGCGAUGAACUCUUCUCUCUGAUUUUUUUCCGGACGAAAGGGACUAAAUAGAGUCGGAGAGGGAGGCUGCGGAGCCCCGAUGGCUCCACAAGCCUGCCAGGCGCGCCCUAGGGGGGUAGCCGCGCCUGGUGGGCUUGUAGGCUCCCUGCUCCGUGGCCUGGUGUAACUCUUGCGCCACUAUUUUUAAUAUAUUCCACAAAAAAUCCUCAUAAAUUUCCAGGUCAUUACGAGAAAUUUUAUUUCUGCACAAAAACAACACCAUGGCAAUUCUGCUCAAAAAAGCGUUAGUACGGGGUAGUUCCAAUCAAAUCAUGCAAAUUAGAGUCCAAAACAAGGGCAAAAGAGUUUGGAAAAGUAUAUACGAUGGAGACGUAUCAACUCCCCAAGCUUAAAGCCUUGCUUGUCCUCAAUCAAUUCAGUUAACAAACUGAAAGAGACAAAAAAAAACUUUUACAAACUCUGUUUGAUCUUGUUGCUGCAAUUAUGUCUAACUCACAUUCAGAUUUUCAGCAAGAUCAAAAGCUAAACACAUAAGCAAUAACACUUAGGUCUCAAGGUAAACUAAUAUCAAUGGCAUAAUCAACUGGCGAUCAACAAUAAUAAGUUUCAGAUGUCAACACUUCAAUCAAAACAAUCAUGAAGCAAUAUGAACAGAUGGCAUCUCGCUAGCCUUUUCUGAGACCGCAAAUCAUAAAUGCAAAGCACCUUCAAACAUCAAGAGCUGACUGAACAUUGUAAUUCAUGACAAAGAAGAUCCAGUCACAGUCAUACUCAAUAACAAUUAAUAGCAAAGCAUAAAGACGACGGAGGUGCUCUCUAAUUGGUGACUUUUGUAAGAAGGGGAUGACACAACAGAAAAGUAAAUAGAUAGGCCCUUCGUAGAGGGAAGCAUUGAUUUGCAGAGGUGCCACAGCUCAAGCUUUUAAGACAGAGACAAAUAAUUUUGAGUGGUAUGUGAUACGUCCAUUUUGCAUCAUGCUUUCAUGUUGAUAUUUAUUGCUUUAUGGGCUGUUAUUACACAUUGUGGUACCAUACUUAUGCCUUUUCUCUCUUAUUUUGCAAGGUUUACCUGAAGAGGGAGAAUGCCGGCAGCUGGAAUUCUGGACUGGAAAAGGAGCAAGUUUGAGACCCCUAUUCUGCGCAACUUCAAACACCGUGAAAAUCAAUGAUGAUUUUAUUGGGAAUAUAUAAAAAAUACUGGGCCAAAGAAGUGCCGGAGGAGCGCAACCAGGGGCCCACAAGCCUGGUAGGCACGCCUUACCCCCUGGCCGCGCCUAGGGGGCUUGUGAGCACCCUGGUGGCCGACUGGCUCCCCUCUUCUUCUACAUGAAGGGUUUCAUCCAGAAAAAAAUCAAGGAGGAGCUUUCGGGAGGAGUGACCACCGCCACGAGGCGGAACUUGAGCAGAACCAAUCUAGAGCUCCCGCAGGACGAUCCUGCCGGGGAAACUUCCCUCCCGGAGGGGGAAAUCGUCGCCAUCGUCAUCACCAACACUCCUCUCAUCGGAGGGGGGGGUCAUAUCCAUCAACAUAUUCAUCAGCACCAUCUCCUCUCCAAACCCUAGUUCAUCUCUUGUAACCAAUCGCCAUCUCGCGACUCCGAUUGGUACCCGUAAGGUUGCUAGUAGUGUUGAUUACUAUUUGUAGUUGAUGCUAGUUGGUUUGCUUGGUGGAAGAUUAUAUAUUCAGAUCCAUUAUGCUAUUCAUUACUCCUCUGGUCAUGAAUAUAUCCAUGUUUUGUGAGUAGUUGCUUUUGUUCCUGAGGACAUGUGAUAAGUCUUGCUAUAAAUAGUCAUGUGAAUUUGGUAUUCGUUCGGUAUUUUGAUAUGUUGUAUGUUAUCUUUUCCUCUAGUGGUGUUAUGUGAACGUCGACUACAUAACACUUCACCAUAUUUGGGCCUGGAAGAAGGCAUUGGGAAGUAAUAAGUAGAUGAUGGGUUGCUAGAGUGACAGAAGCUUAAACCCUAGUUUAUGCUUGCUUCGUAAGGGGCUGAUUUGGAUCCACUAGUUUAAUGCUAUGGUUAGACUUUGUCUUAAUUCUUCUUUCGUAGUUGCGGAUGCUUGCGAGAGGGGUUAAUCAUAAGUGGGAUGCUUGUCCAAGUAAGGGCAGUACCCAAGCGUCAGUCCACCCACAUAUCAAACUAUCAAAGUAACGAACGCGAAUCAUAUGAACAUGAUGACAAUUAGCUUGACAAAAUUCCCAUGUGUCCUCGGGAGCGCUUUACCUCCUAUAAGACUUUGUCGAGGCUUGUCCCUUGCUACAAAAGGGAUUGGGACACUUUUCUGCACCGUUGCUACUUUUCUUACUUGUUACUUGCUACGUAUCUCACCUCACCACACAACUACUUGUUACCGACAAUUUCAGUGCUUGCAGUUAUUACCUUGCUGAAAACCGCUUAUCAGAUCCUUCUGCUCCUCGUUGGGUUCGACACUCUUACUUAUUGAAAGGACUACGAUUGAUCCCCUAUACUUGUGGGUCAUCAGGACUCUUUUCUGGCGCCGUUUCCGGGGAGUGAAGCGCCUUUGGUAAGUGGAAUUUGGUAAGGGAACAUUUAUAUAGUGUGCUGAAAUUUAUUGUCACUUGUCACUAUGGAAACUGUUUUUUUGAGGAGUUUGUUCGGGGUAUCUUCACCACGAACGGAAGCACGGGUUGUUGCUCCUCAACCUAAGGUACCUAUUGAAAAUAUAUUUUAUGAAAUUCCUUCGGGUAUGCUUGAGAAACUGCUGGCUAAUCCUUUUACAGGAUAUGGAACAUCACAUCCAGACUUGCGUCUAAUCUAUGUAGAUGAAGUUUGUGGUUUAUUUAAGCUUGCAGGUUUGCCGGAGGAUGAGGUAAAGAAGAAGGUCUUUCCCUUAUAUUUGAGGGAUAAGGCGUUGACAUGGUAUAGGCUAUGUGAUGAUACUGGAUCAUGGGACUACAAUCGGUUGAAAUUAGAAUUUCAUCAAAAGUUUUAUCCUAUGCAUUUAGUACAUCGUGAUCAAAAUUAUAUUUAUAAUUUUUGGCCUUGUGGCAGGGAAAGCAUCGCUCAAGCUUGGGGGAGGCUUAAAUCAAUGAUAUAUUCAUGCCCCAAUCAUGAGCUCUCGAGAGAAAUUAUCAUUCAGAACUUCUAUGCUCGGCUUUCUCAUGAUGAUCGCACCAUGCUUGACACUUCUUGUACCGGUUCUUUUAUGAAGAAAGAUAUUGACUUCAAAUGGAAUUUAUUGGAGAGAAUUAAAUGCAACUCUGAAGACUAGGAGCUUGAAGAAGGUAAGGAGUCAGGUAUGAAUUUCAAGGUUGAUUGCGUUAAAUCCUUUGUUGAAACAAACACUUCUAGAUAUUUUAGCGCUAAGUAUGGACUUGACUCUGAGAUAGUAGCUUCUCUAUGUGAAUCAUUUGCUGCUCAUAUUGAUCUCCCCAAAGAGAAGUGGUUUAAAUAUCAUCCUCCUUUAGAAGUCAAUGUAGUUAAACCCAAUCUACCUGAAGAGAAAGUCAUUGCCUAUGAUGAUCCUAUUGUUCCUAGUGCUUACACUGAGAAACCACCUUUCCCUGUUAGGAUCAAGGAUCAUUAUAAAGCUUUACCUGUGAUACGCCGAGGCUACAUUAGACGACCUACACCCCCUGAGCAAAUUAGAGUUGAACCUAGUAUUACUAUUAUCAAAGAUCUCUUAACCGAAGACGUAGAUGGGCACGUUAUCCAAUUCUGUGAGGAUGCCGCUAGAAUUGCUAAACCUCACGCUAGAGACAAACAUAGACCCGUUGUUGGCAUGCCCGUUGUUUAUGUGAAGAUAGGAGAUCACUGUUAUCAUGGUUUAUGUGAUAUGGGUGCUAGUGUUAGUGCAAUACCCCAAUCAUUAUAUAAUGAAAUCAAAGAUGAGAUUGCACCAGUUGAGAUGGAAUUCAUUGAUGUCACUAUUAAACUUGCUAAUAGAGACACUAUCUGCCCUGUGGGAAUUGUGAGAGAUGUCGAAGUCUUGUGUGGUAAAAUGAAGUAUCCUACUAAUUUUCUCGUUCUUGCCACUACACAAGAUAGCUUUAUUUAGUCCCUUUCGUCCGGAAAAAAAUAAAGGAGAAGAGUUCAUCGCGUUUCACGAUACGGAGUCGCCGCCACCGCGUGUUCUUCCGCCGAAGGGCAGAUUUGGAGUCCAUUCUGGGCUCCGGAGAGGGGAAAUUGACGCUAUCGUCAUCAUCAACCUUCCUCCAUCGCCAAUUCCAUGAUGCUCUUCACCGUUCGUGAAUAAUUCCAUCGUAGGCUUGCUGGACGGUGAUGGGUUGGAUGAGGUUUAUCAUGUAAUCGAGUUAGUUUUGAUGCGGUUUGAUCCCUAGUAUCCACUAUGUUCUGAGAUUGAUGUUGCUACUACUUGGCUAUGCUUAAUGAUUGUCACUAGGGACCGAGUGCCAUGAUUUCAGAUCUGAACCUAUUAUGUUUUCAUCAAUAUAUGUGUGUUUUAGAUCCUAUUUUGCAAGUUGUAGUCACCUACUAUGUGUUAUGAUCCGGCAACCCCAGAGUGACAAUAGCCAGAACCACUCCCGGUGAUGACCAUAGUAUGAGGAGUCCAUGUAUUCACUAUGUGCUAAUGCGUUGUUCCGGUUCUCUAUUAAAAGGAGAACCUUAAUAUCCCGUAGUUUCCAUUAGGACUCCGCUGCCACGAGAGGGAUGGACAAUAGAUGUCAUGCAAGUUCUUUUCCCUAAGCACGUAUGACUAUUUAUGGAGUACAUGCCUACAUCACAUUGACGAACGAGAGCUAGUUGCGUAUCAUUUUCCAUUGUAACUGUUGCAUGAUGAAUGCCAUCCAACACAAUCAUCCAUCACCGAUCCAAUGCCUACGAGCUUUCCUACACUGGUCCUUGCUUAGUUACUUUGCCGCUACUGCUGUCACACUUGCUACUAUUGUUACUUGCUGCUGCUGCUGUUACUGCUGCUACUGUUACUAUCACAGUACUUUGCUACUGAUACUUUGCUGCAGAUACUAAGUCUUUCAAGUGUGGUUGAAUUGACAACUCAACUGCUAAUGCUCGAGAAUAUUCUUUGGCUCCCCUUGUGUCGAAUCAAUAAAUUUGGGUUGAAUAAUCUACCCUCGAAAACUGUUGCGAUCCCCUAUACUUGUGGGUUAUCACCUUGCAAAAACAAGUUAGACGUCCUCUAAUUUGUUGUUGCAUGUUUUAUGUGGCUGUUAUGGGUAUCUAGUAUGAUUGCAUCUUACUUAUGCAAACACCACAGCGGUGAUGUGAAAAUUCAUAUAUAACCUCUCUCUAAGGACCGCCUCGGUCAAAUCCAAUUCAACAAAAGUUGAAGAAACAGGCACCCGCCAGUCAUCUUUAUGCAACGAGUUGCAGGUUAGUCGAUGAAACCGGUCUCUCGUAAGCGUACGAGUAAGGUUGGNNNNNNNNNNNNNNNNNNNNNNNNNNNNNNNNNNNNNNNNNNNNNNNNNNNNNNNNNNNNNNNNNNNNNNNNNNNNNNNNNNNNNNNNNNNNNNNNNNNNAUGACAUGGCAGAUACGCACUAGCCAAGACGUUACUGAGUAUCAUGCACACCUCGGUUAAUGACGAUCUAGCCCAAUGGGUCAGGAAAGUCUAGGAAGACAGGAGUUGGAUGACAUAGUCAAUUGUCUGUUAGAGUAAGUCAAAAGGUGCACAUGAAACGAAACGUAUACAUCAAAGUAAAAUUAUCYUUUAUUGUCAAUUAUAAUAUAAAAAAUAUGCACCUUAAUAUUAUUUUUAUUCUAUGUGUAAGCGCGUACGACCAUUUAUACAGAAAUAGAAAUAUUAUGCGGCUUAAUAUGCUAACUCGCAAACACUCUACCGUCCAACCUUUUUUCCCCGAAAACAAUCAACCCUUGAUGUGUCAAAACCAAUAUAAUCCUUUCUAUAACAGCGAUGGUAUUCAUUGAAAUUUAUUGAUUGUAUAAAUAUGGAAUAUCUAGUUAAAGACUUUAUUGACGGGUGUCGUAAUAUCAUGAUUGCAUUCAGAGAGUGCCAAGAAGCCCUAUGUCCUACUUCAUUUUUCAUGUGCUCUUCCGCCAGUACUACGGACAAUGAGACUCGCGCCCCUCGAUCCAAUCAUCCAAGAGCUAGAGCACCGGUUUGCAUGCGCGAAAGAGCAUUUUUUGAGAUCGCGUGACCCCUGAUGUGACGAUAAACCGGAUAUAAAGCUUCCUAAACCGACACCGACAUGUCAUGUAUACACGUUGGUUAUUGAGUGGAUGGAGGAAAGAGAUGAGCGUUGGCUAGCGAUGACAUGGCAGAUCCGCACUAGCCAAGACGUGAUUGAGUAUCAUGCACACCUCGAUUAAUGACGAUCUAGCCCAAUGGGUCAGGGAAGUCUAGGAAGACGGGAGUUGGAUGACNNNNNNNNNNNNNNNNNNNNNNNNNNNNNNNNNNNNNNNNNNNNNNNNNNNNNNNNNNNNNNNNNNNNNNNNNNNNNNNNNNNNNNNNNNNNNNNNNNNNAACGCGGUUGAUGUAGUGGAACGUCCUCACGUCCCUCGAUCCGCCCCGCGAACAAUCCCGCGAUCAGUCCCACGAUCUAGUACCGAACGGACGGCACCUCCGCGUUCAGCACACGUACAGCUCGACGAUGAUCUCGGCCUUCUUGAUCCAGCAAGAGAGACAGAGAGGUAGAAGAGUUCUCCGGCAGCGUGACGGCGCUCCGGAGGUUGGUGAUGACCUUGUCUCAGCAGGGCUCCGCCCGAGCUCCGCAGAAACGCGAUCUAGAGGAAAAACCGUGGAGGUAUGUGGUCGGGCUGCCAUGGAAAAGUCGUCUCAAAUCAGCCCUAAAACCUCCGUAUAUAUAGGUGGGAGGGAGGGGACCUUGCCUUGGGCUCAAGGAGCCCCAAGGGGGUCGGCCGAGUCCAAGGGGGAAGGUUCCCCCCCCCCAAACCGAAUUGGACUUGGUUGGUGGGUGGGAGUCCUUCCUUCCCUUCCCACCUCCCUUUUUUUUUCUUUCUCUUUGAUUUUUCUUUGUAUGGCGCAUAGGGUCCUUUCGGGCUGUCCCACCAGCCCACUAAGGGCUGAUGCGCCACCCUCAUGGCCUAUGGGCUUCCCCGGGGUGGGUUGCCCCCCCCGGUGAACUCCCGGAACCCAUUCGUCAUUCCCGGUACAUUCCCGGUAACUCCGAAAAACCUUCCGGUAAUCAAAUGAGGUCAUCCUAUAUAUCAAUCUUCGUUUCCGGACCAUUCCGGAAACCCUCGUGACGUCCGUGAUCUCAUCCGGGACUCCGAACAACAUUCGGUAACCAACCAUAUAACUCAAAUACGCAUAAAACAACGUCGAACCUUAAGUGUGCAGACCCUGCGGGUUCGAGAACUAUGUAGACAUGACCCGAGAGACUCCUCGGUCAAUAUCCAAUAGCGGGACCUGGAUGCCCAUAUUGGAUCCUACAUAUUCUACGAAGAUCUUAUCGUUUGAACCUCAGUGCCAAGGAUUCAUAUAAUCCCGUAUGUCAUUCCCUUUGUCCUUCGGUAUGUUACUUGCCCGAGAUUCGAUCGUCAGUAUCCGCAUNNNNNNNNNNNNNNNNNNNNNNNNNNNNNNNNNNNNNNNNNNNNNNNNNNNNNNNNNNNNNNNNNNNNNNNNNNNNNNNNNNNNNNNNNNNNNNNNNNNNUCACCAUCAACACUUGAUGCUCUUUACGGAGUUCAGACUCUGCGACUUUCAGCAUCACAAACAACUCGCCGGGAGACUUGUUCAUCCCUUGCGUGUUGUAGUUCAACACAAAGCCUUUAUAGCUUGGCGGCAGUGAUUGAAGGAUUCUGUCAGUGAUAGCUUCUUGCGGGAGUUCAGUCCCCAGCUCAGCUAGACGGUUUGAGUACCCAGACAUUUUGAGCACAUGUUCACUGACAGACGAGUUUUCCUCCAUCUUGCAAGCAUAGAAUUUAUCGGAGGUCUCAUAUCUCUUGAUCCGGGCGUUCUUCUGAAAGAUAAACUCCAACUCCUGGAACAUCUCAAAUGCUCCAUGACGCUCAAAGCGACGUUGAAGUCCCGGUUCUAAGCCAUACAAGACUGCACAUUGAACUAUUGAGUAGUCCUCCUUACGUGCUAACCAAGCGUUCUUAACAUCCUGAUCAGCCGUAGCGGGUGGUUCAUAUCCUAGCGCAGCAUUAAGGACAUAAUCCUUCUUCCCAGCUUGUAAGAUUAGCUUAAGAUUACGAGCCUAGUCUACAAAGUUGCUUCCAUCAUCUUUCAACUUAGCUUUCUCUAGGAACGUAUUAAAAUUCAGGAUGACUGUCGCGUGAGCCAUGAUCUACAACACAAAUAUAUUCAAAGUGGACUUAGACUAUGUUCAAGAUAAUUAGAGUUUAACUUAAUCAAAUCAUUCGCUAAACUCCCACUCAAAAAUUACAUCUCUCUAGUCAUUUGAGUGGUUCAUGAUCCACUUACACUAGCUCAAGUCCGAUCAUCACGUGAGUUGAGUAUAGUUUCAGUGGUAAGCAUCCCUAUGCUAAUCAUAUCAACUAUAUGAUUCAUGAUCGACCUUUCGGUCUCAUGUGUUCCGAGGCCAUGUCUGCACAUGCUAGGCUCGUCAAGCUUAACCCGAGUGUUCCGCGUGCGCAACUGUUUUGCACCNNNNNNNNNNNNNNNNNNNNNNNNNNNNNNNNNNNNNNNNNNNNNNNNNNNNNNNNNNNNNNNNNNNNNNNNNNNNNNNNNNNNNNNNNNNNNNNNNNNNGAUCCCGUUAUCAAGUAACAACACUUGCCUAUGGCCACGAAACCUUGACCAUCGUUGAUCAACGAGCUAGUCAACUAGAGGCUUACUAGGGACAGUGUUUUGUCUAUGUAUCCACACAUGCACCGUGUUUCCAAUCAAUACAAUUAUAGCAUGGAUAAUAAACGAUUAUCAUGAACAAAGAAAUAUAAUAAUAACUAAUUUAUUAUUGCCUCUAGGGCAUAUUUCCAACACUUCACCGGUCUUUUCUCGAUUCAGCGGUAUUGUUGGAUUGAAGAAGCCCGGGCCAACCUUACUCGUACGCUUACGAGAGACCGGUUUCAUCGACUAACCUGCAACUCGUUGCAUAAAGAUGACUGGCGGGUGCCUGUUUCUUCAACUUUUGUUGAAUUGGAUUUGACCGAGGCGGUCCUUAGAGAGAGGUUAUAUAUGAAUUUUCACAUCACCGCUGUGGUGUUUGCAUAAGUAAGAUGCAAUCAUACUAGAUACCCAUAACAGCCACAUAAAACAUGCAACAACAAAUUAGAGGACGUCUAACUUGUUUUUGCAAGGUGAUAACCNNNNNNNNNNNNNNNNNNNNNNNNNNNNNNNNNNNNNNNNNNNNNNNNNNNNNNNNNNNNNNNNNNNNNNNNNNNNNNNNNNNNNNNNNNNNNNNNNNNNUUGAGGAGCUCCAUGGUGGCCUUGAACGUAGUUGGAUGAAAGCUAGUAGGAUGGAGAAGAAGGUUAUGGAUCUGAACAAUGAAAACAAGAAAAUGCAAUUGAAUUCAAGAAAAGGAAUGAGCUCAUGGAAACAAUGGGGUUUCUCUUUGUAACAACCUUAGAACUGGUACUAAAGGAAUCAACUAAAAAGCUUUUAUAAACCUCUAGUAUUAUUGAAACUAAAAUUAUAUAGAAUUUAUGCAACUAAAAUUAUCAAAGUAUUUUCUGUUUAAAACAUUAAAAGCAAAAAAGAAUUAUCAUAAAAGAAAAUAAAUAAGUAAUUACAAUUUUGUUACAAACUUCAAAAGCAAAAAGAAUUAUCAUAAAGGAAAAUAAAUAAGUAAUCAGAAACAAAAAAGAAAGCAAAAUAACUGUUUUUUUUUAAAAAAAGUGCCACCUACACGGCCACCACGGCCCACAUACGACAAGAAACCCAUUACUAGGGCCAGGAUGCAGGCCCGCAAUAGGCUCAAUAGGACCACAAGCACAUAGAAUGAUUUUAGGCCCGUAAGCCUGCAGUAGAGAGGAGCUCGAAGUGGUUGGUUCGGCAGGGCUUAUAAACCACUCCGAGCCCCUCUCGGCUAGCGAGGUGGGACUAAACAAAUGAUACGUCUCCAACGUAUCCAUAAUUUUUGAUGGUUUCAUGCUAUUACCUUGUCAAACUUUGGAUGUUUUGCAUGCCUUUUAUAUAUUUUUUGGGACUAACUUAUUAACUCAGUGCCAAGAGCCAGUUCCUGUUUUUUCCAUGUUUUUGACCCCUUUCAGAGGAGGAUUUUGAACGGAGUCCAAACUGAAUGAAACUGCCAAAAAGAUUUUUUCCGGAACAGAAAAAGAUUGAAAAGCCGGAGAACAAGGGCAGGGGGCCACCAGGGACCCCACAAGCCCUCAUGGCGCGGCCAGGGGGACCCGCGCCCCCUGGCUUGUGGGCUCCCUGAGGCACCUUUGCCCUAGGUUUUGCGCCUAUAUAUUCGCUAAAAUUCCAUAAAAAAUCAGGAGAUCAUCAAAAGUACUUUUCCGCCGCCGCAAGCUUCUGUCUCCGCAAGAUCCCAUAUGGGGCACGUUCUAGUGCCCUGCCGGAGGGGAGAUUCGGAUACAGAGGGCUUCUUCAUCAACACCAUGACCUCUCCGAUGAUGCGUGAGUAGUUCACCAUAGACCUACGGGUCCAUAGCUAGUAGCUAGAUGGCUUCUUCUCUCUCUUGGAUCUUCAAUACAAAGUUCUCCAUGAUCUUCAUGGAGAUCUAUCCGAUGUAAUCUUCUUUUGCAGUGUGUUUGUCGAGAUCCGAUGAAUUGUGGAUUUAUGAUCAGAUUAUAUAUGAAUCUUAUUUGAGUUUCUUUUGAUCUCUCUUAUGCAUGAUUUCAUAUCCUUGUAAUUUUCUUCGAGUUGUGGGUUUUGUUUGGCCAACUAGAUCUAUGAUUCUUGCAAUGGGAGAAGUUUUUGGUUUUGGGUUCAUACCAUGCGGUGACCUCACCAAGUGACAGAAGGGGUAGCGAGGCACACAUCGUGUUGUUGCCAUCAAGGGUAAAAAUAUGGGGUUUUCAUCAUUGGUUUGAGUUUAUCCCUCUACAUCAUGUCAUCUUGCUUAAGGCGUUACUCUAUUCGUCAUGAACUCAAUACACUAGAUGCAUGCUGGAUAGCGGUCGAUGUGUGGAGUAAUAGUAGUAGAUGCAGAAAGUAUCAGUCUACUUGUCUCGGACGUGAUGCCUAUAUGUAUGAUCAUUGCCUUAGAUAUUGUCAUGACUUUGCGCGGUUCUAUCAAUUGCUCGACAGUAAUUUGUUCACCCACCGUGAUAUUUGCUAUUUUGAGAGAAGCCUCUAGUGAACACUAUGGCCCCCGGGUCUACUCCACACCAUAUUUUUGUUGGAAAUAUGCCCUAGAGGGAAUAAUAAAUUAGUUAUUAUUAUAUUUCUUAGUUCAUGAUAAUCGUUUAUUAUCCAUGCUAUAAUUGUAUUGAUUGGAAACACAAUACUUGUGUGGAUACAUAGACAAAACACUGUCCCUAGUAAGCCUCUAGUUGACUAGCUCGUUGAUCAAAGAUGGUCAAGGUUUCGUGGCCAUAGGUAAGUGUUGUCACUUGAUAACGGGAUCACAUCAUUAGGAGAAUCAUGUGAUGGACUAGACCCAAACUAAUAGACGUAGCAUGUUGAUCGUGUCAUUUUGUUGCUACUGUUUUCUGCGUGUCAAGUAUUUAUUCCUAUGACCAUGAGAUCAUAUAACUCACUGACACCGGAGGAAUGCUUUGUGUGUAUCAAACGUCGCAACGUAACUGGGUGACUAUAAAGAUGCUCUACAGGUAUCUCCGAAGGUGUUAGUUGAGUUAGUAUGGAUCAAGACUGGGAUUUGUCACUCCGUGUGACGGAGAGGUAUCUCGGGGCCCACUCGGUAAUACAACAUCACACACAAGCCUUGCAAGCAAUGUAACUUAGUGUAAGUUGCGGGAUCUUGUAUUACGGAACGAGUAAAGAGACUUGCCGGUAAACGAGAUUGAAAUAGGUAUGCGGAUACUGACGAUCGAAUCUCGAGCAAGUAACAUGCCGAAGGACAAAGGGAAUGACAUACGGGAUUAUACGAAUCCUUGGCACUGAGGUUCAAACGAUAAGAUCUUCGUAGAAUAUGUAGGAUCCAAUAUGGGCAUCCAGGUCCCGCUAUUGGAUAUUGACCGAGGAGCCUCUCGGGUCAUGUCUACAUAGUUCUCGAACCCGCAGGGUCUGCACACUUAAGGUUCGACGUUGUUUUAUGCGUAUUUGAGUUAUAUGGUUGGUUACCGAAUGUUGUUCGGAGUCCUGGAUGAGAUCACGGACGUCACGAGGGUUUCCGGAAUGGUCCGGAAACGAAGAUUGAUAUAUAGGAUGACCUCAUUUGAUUACCGGAAGGUUUUCGGAGUUACCGGGAAUGUACCGGGAAUGACGAAUGGGUUCCGGGAGUUCACCGGGGGGGGGGGGGCAACCCACCCCGGGGAAGCCCAUGGGCCUUGGGGGAGACACACCAGCCCUUAGUGGGCUGGUGGGACAGCCCACAAGUGGUCUAUGCGCCAAGAGAAGAAAAAUCAAGAGGAAAAGAAAAAAAAGGAGGAGGUGGGAAGGGAGGAGGACUCCCUCCCACCAAACCUAGUCCAACUCGGUUUGGGGGGGGGAGAGUCCUCCCCCUUGGCUCGGCCGACCCCCUUGAGGGUCCUUGACCCCAAGGCAAGGCCCCCUCCCUCCCACCUAUAUAUACGGAGGUUUUAGGGCUGAUUUGAGACGACUUUUCCACGGCAGCCCGACCACAUACCUCCACGGUUUUUCCUGUAGAUCGCGUUUCUGCGGAGCUCGGGCGGAGCCCUGCUGAGACAAGGUCAUCACCAACCUCCAGAGCGCCGUCACGCUGCCGGAGAACUCUUCUACCUCUCCGUCUCUCUUGCUGGAUCAAGAAGGCCGAGAUCAUCGUCGAGCUGUACGUGUGCUGAACGCGGAGGUGCCGUCCGUUCGGUACUAGAUCGUGGGACUGAUCGCGGGAUUGUUCGCGGGGCGGAUCGAGGGACGUGAGGACGUUCCACUACAUCAACCGCGUUCUCUAACGCUUCUGCUGUACGGUCUACAAGGGUACGUAGAUCACUCAUCCCCUCUCGUAGAUGGACAUCACCAUGAUAGGUCUUCGUGCGCGUAGGAAAAAUUUUGUUUCCCAUGCGACGUUCCCCAACAGUGGCAUCAUGAGCUAGGUUCAUGCGUAGAUGUCUUCUCGAGUAGAGCACAAAAGUUUUUGUGGGCGGUGAUGUGCGUUUUGCUGCCCUCCUUAGUCUUUUCUUGACUCCGCGGUAUUGUUGGAUUGAAGCGGCUUGGACCGACAUUACUCGUACGGUUACGAGAGACUGGUUUCAUCGUUACGAGUAACCCCCUUUGCUGAAAGAUGACUGGCAAGUGUCGGUUUCUCCAACUUUAGUUGAAUCGGAUUUGACCGAGGAGGUCCUUGGAUGAGGUUAAAUAGCAACUCAUAUAUCUCCGUUGUGGUGUUUGCGUAAGUAAGAUGCGAUCCUACUAGAUACCCUUGGUCACCACGUAAAACAUGCAACAACAAAAUUAGAGGACGUCUAACUUGUUUUUGCAGGGUAUGAUUGUGAUGUGAUAUGGCCAUCGAUGUGAUGUGAUAUAUUGGAUGUAUGAGAUGAUCAUGCUGUAAUAGAAAUAUCGACUUGCACGUCGAUGGUACGGCAACCGGCAGGAGCCAUAGGGUUGUCUUUAUACUAACGUUUGUGCUUGCAGAUGCGUUUACUAUUUUGCUAGGAUGUAGCUUUAGUAGUAAUAGCAUAAGUAGCACGACAACCCCGAUGGCAACACGUUGAUGGAUGAUCAUGGUGUGGCGCCGGUGACAAGAAGAUCGUGCCGGUGCUUUGGUGAUGGAGAUCAAGAAGCACGUGAUGAUGGCCAUAUCAUGUCACUUAUGAAUUGCAUGUGAUGUUAAUCCUUUUAUGCACCUUAUUUUGCUUAGAACGACGGUAGCAUUAUGAGGUGAUCUCUCACUAAAAUUUCAAGACGAAGUUGUGUUCUCCCCGACUGUGCACCGUUGCGACAGUUCUUCGUUUCGAGACACCACGUGAUGAUCGGGUGUGAUAGACUCAACGUUCACAUACAACGGGUGCAAAACAGUUGCGCACGCGGAACACUCGGGUUAAGCUUGACGAGCCUAGCAUGUGCAGACAUGGCCUCGGAACACAUGAGACCGAAAGGUCGAGCAUGAAUCGUAUAGUUGAUAUGAUUAGCAUAGGGAUGCUUACCACUGAAACUAUUCUCGACUCACGUGAUGAUCGGACUUGAGAUAGUGGAUUUGGAUCAUGUACCACUCAAAUGACUAGAGAGAUGUACUUUUUGAGUGGGAGUUCUUAAGUAAUAUGAUUAAUUGAACUAAUUGUCAUGAACAUAGUCUAAUGGUCUUUGCGAAUUACGAUGUAGCUUGCGCUAUAGCUCUACUGUUUUUUUUAUGUUCCUAGAGAAAAUUUAGUUGAAAAUUGAUAGUAGCAAACUUUGCAGACUGAGUCUGUAAAACCGAGGAUUGUCCUCGUUGCUGCACAGAAGGCUUAUGUCCUUAAUGCACCACUCGGUGUGCUGCACCUCGAGCGUCGUCUGUGGAUGCUGUGAACAUCCGACAUACACGUUUCUGAUGACUACACGAUAGUUCAGUGCAAAGUACUUAAUGGCUUAGAAGCAAGGCACCGAAAACGUUUUAUGAUGUUCUAAAGAGAUGAAAUUGUGAUUUCAUGCUUGUGCCCUUGUUAAGAGGUACGAGACCUCCAACAAGAUUCUUUGACCACAAAGUAAAGGAGAAAAGCUCAAUCGUUGAGCAUGUGCUCAGAUUGUCUGAGUACGACAAUCACUUGAAUCAAGUGGGAGCUAAUCUUCCAGAUGAGAUAGUGAUGGUUCUCCAAAAGUCACUGCCACCAAGCUUUGAGAGCUUCGUGAUGAACUAUAACAUAUCAAGGAUAGAUACAAUGAUCCUUGAGCGAUUCGCGACGUUUGACACUGCGAAAGUAGAAAUCAAGAAGGAGCAUCAAUAGUUGAUGGUUUGGAAAACCACUAAGUUUCAAGAAAGGCGAGGGCUAGAAGGGAUACUUCGUGAAACGGCAAAACAGUUGCUGCGCUAAUGAAGAGACCCAAACCCAAACCCGAGACUAAGUGCUUCUGUAAUAAGGGGAACAGUCACUGAGGCGGAGCAACUCUAGAUACUUGGUAGAUAAGAAGGCUGGCAAAAGUCGAGAGAAGUAUAUUUGAUAUACAUAAUGUUGAUGUGUACUUUACUAGUACUCCUAGUAGCACAAGGGUAUUGGAUACCGGUUCGGUUGCUAAGUGAUUAGUAACGCGAAGUAAAAGCUACGACAUAAACGGAGACUAGCUAAAGGCGAGGUGACGAUACGUGUUGGAAGUGUUUCCAAGGUUGAUAUGAUCAAACGUCGCACGCUCCCUCUACCAUCGGGAUUGGUGUUGAACCUAAAUAAUUGUUAUUUGGUGCUUGCGUUAGGCAUGAACAUGAUUGGAUCGUGUUUAUUGCAAUACGAUUAUUCAUUCAAAGAGAAUAAUGGUUACUCUAUUUGCUUGAAUAAUCACCUUCAAUGGUUUAUUGAAUCUCGAUUGUAGUGUUACACAUUGGUGCCAAAAGAUACGAGUUAAUGAUGAUAGUACCACUUACUUGUGGCACUGCCGCUUGAGUCAUGUUAGUAUAAAUUGCAUGAAGAGGGUCCAUGCUGAUGGAUCUUUACUCACCUGAUUGCGAAUCACUAGUGACAUGCAAAUCAUACCACAUGAGCAAGGCCUUGUUUUCAUUGAGAUGAAACAAGAUAGUAACUUGUCGGAAGUGAUACAUUUUUGAUGUAUGCAGUCCAAUGAGUGCUGAGGCACGCAGUGGAUAUCAUUAUGUUCUUACUUCACUGACGACUUGAGUAGAUACAGGAGUAUUUACUUAAUGAAUCACAAGUCUGAAAUACUGAAAAGUUCAAUUCCGUUUCAGAGUGAAGUUCGUCGUAACAAGAGGAUGAACUGUCUACGAUAUGAUCAUAGAAAUGAAUAUCUGAGUUGCGAGUUUUUGGUACACAGUUAAGACAAUGUGGAAAUUGUUUCACAGUUCAUGCCACCUGGAACAUCAUAGUGUGAUGAUGUGUCUGAACGUCAUAGCCACGCACUAUUUAGUAUGGUGCAUGCUGUGAUGUCUCUUAUCGAAUUACCAUUAUCGUUUAUGGGUUAUGCAUUAGAGACAACCGCAUUCACUUUAAAUAGGGCACCGCGUAUUUCCGUUGAGAUGACACAGUAUAGACUGAGGUUUAGAGAAAUGUAAACUGUCGUUUCUUGAAAGUUUGGGGCUUCGACACUUAUGUGAAAAAGUUUCAGCCUGAUAAGCUCGAACCCAAAGCGGAUAAAUGCAUCUUCAUAGGAUAUCCAAAACAGUUGGGUACAUCUCCUAUCUCAGAUCCGAAAGCAAAGUGUUUGUUUCUAGAAACGGAUCCUUUCUCGGGGAAAGGUUUCUCUCGAAAGAAUUGAGUGGGAGGGUAGUAGAACUUGAUGAGGUUAUUGAACCAUCACUUCAACCAGUGUGUAGCAGGGCAUAGGAAGUUGUUCCUGUGGCGCCUACACCAAUUGAAGUGGAAGCUGAUGAUGGUGAUCAUUGAGCUUCGAAUCAAGUUACUACAAACCUCGUAGGUCGACAAGGUCGCGUACUGCUGCAGAGUAGUACGGUAACCAUGUCUUGGAGGUCAUGUUGUUGAGCAACAGUGAACCUACGAGUUAUGGAGAAAGCGAUGGUGGGCCCAGAUUCCGACAAAUGGCUGGAAGCCAUGAAAUCCGAGAGAGGAUCCAUGUAUGAAAACAAAGUGUAGACUUUGAAAGAACUACUUGAUGGUCAUAAGACUAUUGAGUAAAGAUGGAUCUUUAAAAGAAGACAGACGAUGAUGGUGAUAAGUCACUAUUAAGAAAAGCUCGACUUGUCGCAAAGAUGUUUUCGACAAGAUCAAACAGUUGACUAUGAUGAGACUUUCUCACUCGUAGCGAUGCUAAAGGUCUGUUAGAAUUAUGUUAGUUGUUGAUGCAUUAUUUAUGAAAUAUUGCACGUAGGAUGUCAAAACAUUGUUUCUCGACGGUUUCCUUGAGCAAACAUUGUAUGUGAUACAACGAGAAGGUUUUGUCGAUCCUAAAGAUACUAGCAAGUAUGCAAGCUCCAGUGAUCCUUCAAUGGACUGGUGCAAGCAUCUCGGAGUUGGAAUAUACACUUUGAUGAGAUGAUCAAAGUUUUUGGGUGUGUACAAGGUUUAUGAGAAACUUGUAUUUCCAAAGAAGUGAGUGGGAGCACUAUAGAAUUUCUGAUAGGUAUAUGUGGUUGACAUAUUGUGGAUCAGAAGUAAUGUAGAAUUUCUGUAAAGCAUACAAGGUUGUUUGAAAGAAGUUUUCAAAGGAGUACCUGGAUUACGCUACUUGAACGUUGAGCAUCAAAGAUCUAUGGAGAUAGAUCGAAAACGCUUAAUAGAAGUUUCAACAAGAUGCAUGCCUUGACAAGUUUUUGAAAGAGUUCAAAAUAGAACAGCAAGGAAGGAGUUCUUGGUUGCGUUGUGAGGUGUGAAUUUGAGUAAGACUCAAAACCCGACCACGGCAGAAUAAAGAGAAUAGACGAAGGUCGUCUUCUAUGCCUUAGCCGUAGAAUCUAAAGUAUGCCAUGCUGUGUACCGCACCUGAUGUGUGCCUUGACUCAAAGUCUGUUGAGGGUACAGAGAGUGAUCCAUGAUUGAAUCACUAGCAGCGGUCAAAAUUUAUCCUUAGUAACUAAUGGACUAAGGAAUUUUUCUCGAUUAUGGAGGUGGUUAAAGAGUUCGUCGUAAAGAGGUUACGUUGAUGCAAGCUUUGACUAAUCUGAAUAACUAUGAGUAGUGAAACGGAUUCAUAUAGUAGAGUAGAUAUUUGGAGCAUUUCUGAAUAGCACGUAGUAGCAGCAUCUAUAAGAUGACAUAAAAAUUUGUAAAGAACACAUGGAUCUGAAAGUUUCAGAACCGUUGACUGAAAACUCUCUCACGAGCAAGACGUGAUCAGACCCCAGAACUAUAUGGGUGUUGGAUUCGUUGGAAUCACAUGGUGAUGUGAACUAGAUUAUUGACUCUAGUGCAAGUGGGAGACUGUUGGAAAUAUGUCCUAGAGGCUAUAAUAAAUUAGUUAUUAUUAUAUUUCUUAGUUCAUGAUAAUCGUUUAUUAUCCAUGCUAUAAUUGUAUUGAUUGGAAACACAAUACUUGUGUGGAUACAUAGACAAAANNNNNNNNNNNNNNNNNNNNNNNNNNNNNNNNNNNNNNNNNNNNNNNNNNNNNNNNNNNNNNNNNNNNNNNNNNNNNNNNNNNNNNNNNNNNNNNNNNNNUGUCAAGUAUUUAUUCCUAUGACCAUGAGAUCAUAUAACUCACUGACACCGGAGGAAUGCUUUGUGUGUAUCAAACGUCGCAACGUAACUGGGUGACUAUAAAGAUGCUCUACAGGUAUCUCCGAAGGUGUUAGUUGAGUUAGUAUGGAUCAAGACUGGGAUUUGUCACUCCGUGUGACGGAGAGGUAUCUCGGGGCCCACUCGGUAAUACAACAUCACACACAAGCCUUGCAAGCAAUGUAACUUAGUGUAAGUUGCGGGAUCUUGUAUUACGGAACGAGUAAAGAGACUUGCCGGUAAACGAGAUUGAAAUAGGUAUGCGGAUACUGACGAUCGAAUCUCGGGCAAGUAACAUACCGAAGGACAAAGGGAAUGACAUACGGGAUUAUACGAAUCCUUGGCACUGAGGUUCAAACGAUAAGAUCUUCGUAGAAUAUGUAGGAUCCAAUAUGGGCAUCCAGGUCCCGCUGUUGGAUAUUGACCGAGGAGUCUCUCAGGUCAUGUCUACAUAGUUCUCGAACCCGCAGGGUCUGCACACUUAAGGUUCGACGUUGUUUUAUGCGUAUUUGAGUUAUAUGGUUGGUUACCGAAUGUUGUUCGGAGUCCCGGAUGAGAUCACGGACGUCACGAGGGUUUCCGGAAUGGUCCGGAAACGAAUAUUGAUAUAUAGGAUGACCUCAUUUGGUUACCGGAAGGUUUUCGUGCAUUACCGGAAAAGUUUCGGGCUCAUCGGUAGUGUACCGGGAGUGCCGGGAGGGGUGCCGGGGACCAUCGGGAGGGGUGUCACGCCCCAAGGGGUCUCAUGGGCUAUGGGAAGAGAUAAACCAGCCCCUAGUGGGCUGGAAUAAGUUCCCACUAAGGCCCAUAAGGUUUGAGAAGGAAAAAACACAAGGUGGAAAGAGUUUCCAAGUGGGAAGGUGGAAUCAUACUCCAAGUAGGAUUGGAGUAGGACUCCUCCACCUCCAAUUUCGGCCAAACCUUUAGGUUUUGAGGCUGCCUCCUCCCCUCCCUCCCACCUAUAUAUACGGAGGUUUUAGGGCUGAUUUGAGACGACUUUCUCACGGCUGCCCGACCACAUACCUCCAUAGUUUUUCCUCUAGAUCGCGUUUCUGCGGAGCUCGGGCGGAGCCCUGCUGAGACAAGAUCAUCACCAACCUCCGGAGCGCCGUCACGCUGCCGGAGAACUCUUCUACCUCUCCGUCUCUCUUGCUGGAUCAAGAAGGCCGAGAUCAUCGUCGAGUUGUACGUGUGCUGAACGCGGAGGUGCCGUCCGUUCGGUACUAGAUCGUGGGACUGAUCGCGGGAUUGUUCGCGGGGCGGAUCGAGAGACGUGAGGACGUUCCACUACAUCAACCGCGUUCACUAACGCUUCUGCUGUACGAUCUACAAGGGUACGUAGAUCACUCAUCCCCUCUCGUAGAUGGACAUCACCAUGAUAGGUCUUCGUGCGCGUAGGAAAAUUAUUGUUUCCCUUGCGACGUUCCCCAACAAUUUUCAGCCUUACACUUUUUACUUCGUUGCACUUUCCGCCUUCAGAUCUCACUUUGCAAUCAAUCUUGAAGGGAUUGACAACCCCUUUAAAGUGUUGGGUGCAAGCUCUUUUUUGUUUGCAUAGGUACUCUGGACUUGACGAGAUUCUCCUACUGGAUUGAUACCUUGGUUCUCAAACUGAGGGAAAUACUUACUGCUCCUGUGCUGCAUCACCCUUUCCUCUUCAAGGGAAAAACCAACGCAAGCUCAAGAGACGAUAGAAGGAUCUCUUGCACCAUUGCCAGGGAAGUACUUUUGUUGCUGUAGCAGAAGGAUUUCUGGUGCCGUUGCCGGGGAGGAUCAAGUCAAGAACUCAUCCAAGUAGGUGUCGCAAACUCAUCUCUUGCAUUUACUUUGUUUGCCAGAUGCCUCUCGUUUUCCUCUCCCCCACUUCACAAUUUGCCUUUUUCGUUUGCCUUUUCGUUCGCCCUUUUUCUCGCUUGCUCUUUGUUCUCUUGUGUGCUUGCUUGCUUGCUGAAGUCACCAUGAAUGAAAACAUCAAACUUUGUGACUUCUCGAAUACUAAUAAUAAUGAUUUUAUUAGUACUCCGAUUGCUCCCUCCACUAGUGCGGAGUCAUACGAAAUCAAUGCCGCUUUGCUGAAUCUUGUUAUUAAAGAGCAAUUCUCCGGCCUUCCUAGUGAAGAUGCCGCAUCCCAUCUCAAUACCUUCAUUGAGCUUUGCGAUAUGCAAAAGAAGAGAUAUGUGGAUAAUGAUGUGAUUAAAUUGAAGUCUUUUCCUUUCUCGUUGCGAGAUCGUGCAAAAACUUGGUUUUCCUCUUUGCCCAAAAAUAGUAUCGAUUCUUGGGAUAAGUGCAAAGAUGCUUAUAUAUCCAAGUAUUUUCCGCCGGCUAAGAUUAUCUCUCUCUGUAAUGAUAUCAUGAAUUUCAAGCAACUUGAUCAUGAACAUGUUGCACAAUCUUGGGAGAGAAUGAAAUUGAUGAUUAGAAAUUGUCCCGCUCAUGGCUUGAGUCUUUGGAUGAUUAUACAAAUCUGUUACGCUGGCUUGAAUUUCGCUUCUAGAAAUAUCUUGGACUCCGCCUUAGGUGGAACGUUCAUGGAAAUCACGUUAGGGGAAGCCACAAAGCUCCUAGACAAUAUCAUGACGAAUUACUCUCACUGGCACACUGAAAGGUUACCUACUAGUAAGAAGGUACACGUUAUAGAAGAAAUUAACUCGUUGAUUGGUAAGAUGAAUGAGUUAAUGAAUUUGGUUGCUAGUAGAAGUGCUCCUUUAGAUCCUAAUGAUAUGCCCUUGUCUUCUUUGAUUAAGAGUAGCAACGCUAGCUUGGAUUUUAAUUUUGUUGGUAGGAAUAAUUUUGGUAACAACAAUGCUUUUAGAGUAAACUAUGUUCCUAGGCCUUUUCCUAGUAACUCCUCUAAUAACUUUGGCAACUCCUACAACAAUACUCAUGGAAAUUACAAUAGAUUACCCUCUUAUCUAGAGAUUAAUAUCAAAGAGUUCAUAAACUCUCAAAAGAUUUUCAAUGCGUCCAUAGAGAAAAAAACUACUCAAAAUUGACCAUUUGGCUAAGAGCGUUGAUAGAAUGUCUAGUGAUGUUGAUGCUUUGAAAGUUAGAUGUGCUCCUCCCAAGAUCAACAUGGAUUAAACUUUGAAAGCUAUGCGUGUUUCCAUGAUUGAGAGCAAAGAAAGAACCGCCCAAAUUCGUGUUAGACAUGAAUGGCUUAAAAAGGCGUGUUCUCGUGAUAAGAAUCACGAAGAUCUUAAAGUGUUUGGUGUGACUCCCAUUGAAUCUUUAUUUUCUUGUGUCAAACCUAAUGAUGAUGGGGCUGGAUAUGAAUCCACUUUGGUUGAAAAGUGCCCCAAUGAUUUGGAGUCCAUCUAUCUUGAUGCUAAAAGCAUUGAAAGUGGAGUAGAAGAUAUUAAAACUUUGAGUAGUAAUGAAAUUACUACUAUGGAUUUCAAGGAAUUCAAUUAUGAUAGUUGCUCCUUGAUUGAAUGCAUUUCCUUGAUGCAAUUCAUGUUAAACUCUCCACACACUUAUAGCCAAAACAAGGCCUUUACCGAUCAUAUCGUCGAAGCUAUGAUAAAAUCUCUUGAAGAGAAACUUGAAUUGGAAGUCUCUAUCCCUAGAAAGCUUCAUGAUGAGUGGGAACCUACCAUCAAAAUCGAAAUAAAAAACUAUGAAUGCAAUGCUUUGUGUGAUUUGGGUGCUAGUGUUUCCGUGAUUCCAAAGUCUUUAUGUGAUGUUCUGGGUUUUAAUGAGAUUGAAGAGUGUUCUUUUAAUUUGCAUCUUGCUGAUUCUACUGUCAAGAAACCCAUGGGAAGGAUCAAUGAUGUUCUUAUUAUUGCAAAUAGGAACUAUGUACCUGUGGAUUUCAUUGUGCUUGCCAUUGAUUGCAAUCCUACAUGCCCUAUUAUUCUUGGUAGACCUUUCCUAAGGACUAUCGGUGCUAUCAUCGAUAUGAAGGAAGGGAAUAUUAGAUUUCAAUUUCCUUUAAGGAAGGGCAUGGAACACUUUACUAGAAAUAAAAUAAGAUUGCCUUAUGAAUCCAUGAUGAGGGUCAGUUAUGGUUUGAGCACCAAAGACGACGAUACGUGAUUCUAUCGCUUUUAUGCCUAGCUAAGGGCGUUAAACAAUAGCGCUUGUUGGGAGGCAACCCAAUGAAUUUAUCUUUUUCUUUCUGUUUUGUUGUGUCCACACGAUCAUAAUUCUGUUGUGAUUGUGUUUUCUGUGUUUCUUUUUGUGUUUGAGCCAAGCAAAACCUUUAUAACUAGUCUUGGUGAUGGUUGUUUGAUCCUGCAGGAAAAAGACAGAAACUUUUCGCUCACGAGAUGAUUUUUCAUUUUUAUUCAGAAAGAGAUUUUGAGUUGAUUCUUUUUUCUUAUGGUUUGUAAGCCUUUUUCCCAGGAAGUCGUAAUUGUUCAGAAUUUUUGAGGUACUAGAAGUAUACGAAGUAUACAAAUGGCUACAGACUGGUCUGUUUUUGAUAGAUUCUAUUUUUGUUGAGUUGGUUGCUUGUUUUGAUGAAACUAUGGUUAGUAUCGGGGGUACUAGCCAUGAAAAAGUGAGAAUACAGUAGCAUAACACCAAUAUAGAUAGAAUUCAAGUUUGCUACAGUAUCAAAAGAGGUGGUAGUUUGUUUUCUUGUGCUAAUGUUAUCACGAGUUUCUGUUUAAGUUUUGUGUUGUGAAGUUUUCAAGUUUUGGGUGAUGUUCUCAUGGACAAAGAGAUAAGGAGUGGAAAGAGCUCAAGCUUGGGGAUGCCCAAGGCAUCCCAAGCCAAAUUCAAGGACACCGAAAAGCCUNNNNNNNNNNNNNNNNNNNNNNNNNNNNNNNNNNNNNNNNNNNNNNNNNNNNNNNNNNNNNNNNNNNNNNNNNNNNNNNNNNNNNNNNNNNNNNNNNNNNAUAUAGGACGGAUGGUUUCGGAUACCGGAAGUGUUUCGGGCAUCACCGGUAACGUACCGGGACCACCGGGACCACCGGAGGUGGCCCCGGGGGACCACCAAAGGGGGGCAACGACCCCGGGAGAUAAGGUGGGCCAAAUAGGGGUGGGAACCAGCCCCUAGGUGGGAUGGUGCGCCUCCCCACUCAGCCCAUUGCACAAGGGAGAGAAAAGGGGGGCAAACCCUAGGCCAGGUGGGCCUAAGGCCCACCAGAUGGUGCGCCACCCCUUCCUCCCCCCUCUGGCCGCCGCACCUCCCAUCUGGGGUGUCACCCCCUCUCCCCUCCCCCUAUAUAUAUCGGGCACUUUUGGCCAUUGAGACACACGGUUUUUCCCUCUCUCUCGACGCAGCCCUGCUCUUCUUCCUCCUCCUCUCCGCCGGUGCUUGGCGAAGCCCUGUCGGGAGACCUCGUCUCUCCAUCGACACCACGCCGUCGUGUUGCUGGAGUUCUUCCCCAACCUCUCCCUCCUCCUUGCUGGAUCAAGGUGCGGGAGACGUCACCGGGCUGCACAUGUGUUGAAUGCGGAGGUGCCGUUGUUCGGCACUAGAUCGGAAUCGCUGCGAGUACGACUCCAUCAACCGCGUUCUAGCAACGCUUCCGCUUAGCAAUCUUCAAAGGUAUGAAGAUGCUAUUACCCCUCUCUCGUUGCUGGUCUCUCCAUAGGAAGAUCUGAAUAUGCGUAGGAAAAUUUUGAAUUUAUGCUACGUUACCCAACAGUAAGCUCGCACUCGGAGCGAGUUGUUACUCAUGUAGUUGUCAGUUGUCUUCACAUCCACAUGAGCCUCAAUGAGGGUCUGCUGAGCCUCCGAGUGGAUCUCGAGGAUACACUCGAAGGAAGCUUUUUUACUUAGGCGAUUCUGGAUCGCAGCUAAGUCUCCGAGUGCGGCUUUUAGCGCGCACUUGGAACGAGUUUGUACUUAGGCGAUUCUGGAUCGCAGCUAAGUCCCCGAGUGCGGCUGUAAGCUCGCACUCGGAGCGAGUUGUUACUCAUGUACUUUUCAGUUGUCUUCAUAUCCACAUGAGCCUCAAUGAGGGUCUGCUAAGCCUCCGAGUGGAUCUCGAGGAUACACUCGAAGGAAUCUNNNNNNNNNNNNNNNNNNNNNNNNNNNNNNNNNNNNNNNNNNNNNNNNNNNNNNNNNNNNNNNNNNNNNNNNNNNNNNNNNNNNNNNNNNNNNNNNNNNNAAAAGUUUCGGGCUCAUCGGUAGUGUACCGGGAGUGCCGGGAGGGGUGCCGGGGACCAUUGGGAGGGGUGUCACACCCCAAGGGGUCUCAUGGGCUAUGGGAAGAGAUAAACCAGCCCCUAGUGGGCUGGAAUAAGUUCCCACUAAGGCCCAUAAGGUUUGAGAAGGAAAAAACACAAGGUGGAAAGAGUUUCCAAGUGGGAAGGUGGAAUCCUACUCCAAGUAGGAUUGGAGUAGGACUCCUCCACCUCCAAUUUCGGCCAAACCUUUAGGUUUUGAGGCUGCCUCCUCCCCUCCCUCCCACCUAAAUAUACGGAGGUUUUAGGGCUGAUUUGAGACGACUUUCUCACGGCUGCCCGACCACAUACCUCCAUAGUUUUUCCUCUAGAUCGCGUUUCUGCGGAGCUCGGGCGGAGCCCUGCUGAGACAAGAUCAUCACCAACCUCCGGAGCGCCGUCACGCUGCCGGAGAACUCUUCUACCUCUCCGUCUCUCUUGCUGGAUCAAGAAGGCCGAGAUCAUCGUCGAGUUGUACGUGUGCUGAACGCGGAGGUGCCGUCCGUUCGGUACUAGAUCGUGGGACUGAUCGCGGGAUUGUUCGCGGGGCGGAUCGAGGGACGUGAGGACGUUCCACUACAUCAACCGCGUUCACUAACGCUUCUGCUGUACGAUCUACAAGGGUACGUAGAUCACUCAUCCCCUCUCGUAGAUGGACAUCACCAUGAUAGGUCUUCGUGCGCGUAGGAAAAUUUUUGUUUCCCUUGCGACGUUCCCCAACAGUGGCAUCAUGAGCUAGGUUCAUGCGUAGAUGUCUUCUCGAGUAGAACACAAAAGUUUUUGUGGGCGGUGAUUUGCGUUUUGCUGCCCUCCUUAGUCUUUUCUUGAUUCCGCGGUAUUGUUGGAUUGAAGCGGCUUGGACCGACAUUACUCGUACGCUUACGAGAGACUGGUUUCAUCGUUACGAGUAACCCCCUUUGCUCAAAGAUGACUGGCAAGUGACUGUUUCUCCAACUUUAGUUGAAUCGGAUUUGACCGAGGAGGUCCUUGGAUGAGGUUAAAUAGCAACUCAUAUAUCUCCGUUGUGGUGUUUGCGUAAGUAAGAUGCGAUCCUACUAGAUACCCUCGGUCACCACGUAAAACAUGCAACAACAAAAUUAGAGGACGUCUAACUUGUUUUUGCAGGGUAUGAUUGUGAUGUGAUAUGGCCAACGAUGUGAUGUGAUAUAUUGGAUGUAUGAGAUGAUCAUGUUGUAAUAGAAAUAUCGACUUGCACGUCGAUGGUACGGCAACCGGCAGGAGCCAUAGGGUUGUCUUUAUACUAACGUUUGUGCUUGCAGAUGCGUUUACUAUUUUGCUAGGAUGUAGCUUUAGUAGUAAUAGCAUAAGUAGCACGACAACCCCGAUGGCAACACGUUGAUGGAUGAUCAUGGUGUGGCGCCGGUGACAAGAAGAUCGUGCCGGUGCUUUGGUGAUGGAGAUCAAGAAGCACGUGAUGAUGGCCAUAUCAUGUCACUUAUGAAUUGCAUGUGAUGUUAAUCCUUUUAUGCACCUUAUUUUGCUUAGAACGACGGUAGCAUUAUGAGGUGAUAUCUCACUAAAAUUUCAAGACGAAAUUGUGUUCUCCCCGAUUGUGCACCGUUGCUACAGUUCGUCGUUUCGAGACACCACGUGAUGAUCGGGUGUGAUAGACUCAACGUUCACAUACAACGGGUGCAAAACAGUUGCGCACGCAGAACACUCGGGUUAAGCAUGACGAGCCUAGCAUGUGCAGACAUGGCCUCGGAACACAUGAGACCGAAAGGUCGAUCAUGAAUCAUAUAGUUGAUAUGAUUAGCAUAGGGAUGCUUACCACUGAAACUAUACUCAACUCACGUGAUGAUCGGACUUGGGAUAGUGUAAGUGGAUCAUGAACCACUCAAAUGACUAGAGAGAUGUACUUUUUGAGUGGGAGUUUAGCAUAUAAUUUGAUUAAGUUGAACUCUAAUUAUCUUGAACAUAGUCUAAGUCCACUUUGAAUAUAUUUGUGUUGUAGAUCAUGGCUCACGCGACAGUCAUCCUGAAUUUUAAUACGUUCCUAGAGAAAGCUAAAUUGAAAGAUGAUGGAAGCAACUUUGUAGACUAGGCUCGUAAUCUUAAGCUAAUCUUACAAGCUGGGAAGAAGGAUUAUGUCCUUAAUGCUGCGCUAGGAGAUGAACCACCCGCUACGGCUGAUCAGGAUGUUAAGAACGCUUGGUUAGCACGUAAGGAGGACUACUCAAUAGUUCAAUGUGCAGUCUUGUAUGGCUUAGAACCGGGACUUCAACGUCGCUUUGAGCGUCAUGGAGCAUUUGAGAUGUUCCAGGAGUUGGAGUUUAUCUUUCAGAAGAACGCCCGGAUCAAGAGAUAUGAGACCUCCGAUAAAUUCUAUGCUUGCAAGAUGGAGGAAAACUCGUCUGUCAGUGAACAUGUGCUCAAAAUGUCUGGGUACUCAAACCGUCUAGCUGAGCUGGGGACUGAACUCCCGCAAGAAGCUAUCACUGACAGAAUCCUUCAAUCACUGCCGCCAAGCUAUAAAGGCUUUGUGUUGAACUACAACAUGCAAGGGAUAAACAAGUCUCCCGGCGAGUUGUUUGCGAUGCUGAAAGUCGCAGAGUCUGAACUCCGUAAAGAGCAUCAAGUGUUGAUGGUGAGCAAGACCACUAGUUGCAAGAGAAACGGCAAAGGCAAGAAGGGCAAUUCGAAGAAGAGCGGCAAGCCUGUUGCCAAUCCGCCGAAGAAACCCAAGGCUGGACCUAAGCCUGAAACAGAGUGCUUCUAUUGCAAGGGUAUGGGUCACUGGAAGCGCAAUUGCCCCAAGUAUCUGGCAGAUAAGAAGGCGGGCAAAGAAAAAUCAGGUAUAUUUGAUAUACAUGUUAUUGAUGUGUACUUAACCGGCUCUCGUAGUAGUGCCUGGGUAUUUGAUACCGGUUCUGUUGCUCACAUUUGCAACUCGAAGCAGGAACUGCGGAAUAGACGAAGGCUGGCGAAAGACGAAGUGACGAUGCGCGUAGGAAAUGGUUCCAAGGUUGAUGCAAUCGCCGUCGGCACAGUGUCACUUCAGCUACCAUCGGGAUUAGUGAUGAACUUAAAUCGUUGUUAUUUAGUGCCUGCGUUGAGCAUGAACAUUAUCUCUGGAUCUUGUUUAUUGCGAGAUGGUUACUCUUUUAAGUCUGAGAAUAAUGGUUGUUCUAUUUCUAUGAGUAAUAUCUUUUAUGGUCAUGCACCGAAUGUGAGAGGAUUGUUCAUAUUGAAUCUUGAUAGCGAUACGCAUAUACAUAACAUUGAGACCAAAAGAGUUAGAGUAAACAAUGAUAGUGCCAUAUUUUUGUGGCACUGCCGCUUGGGUCAUCUUGGUGUAAAGCGCAUGAAGAAACUCCAUGCUGAUGGACUUUUGGAGUCACUUGACUUUGAUUCACUUGACACGUGCGAACCAUGCCUCAUGGGCAAGAUGACUAAGACUGUUCUCCGGAACAAUGGAGCGUGCAAGUGACUUGUUGGAAAUCAUACAUACCGAUGUGUGUGGUCCAAUGAGCGUAGAGGCACGCGGCGGAUAUCGUUAUUUUCUCACCUUCACUGACGAUUUAAGUAGAUAUGGUUAUGUCUACUUGAUGAAGCACAAGUCUGAAACAUUUGAAAAGUUCAAGCAAUUUCAGAGUGAAGUGGAAAAUCAUCGUAACAAGAAGAUCAAGUUCCUACGGUCUGAUCGUGGGGGUGAAUAUAUGAGUUUCGAGUUUGGUGCUCACUUAAGACAAUGUGGAAUUGCUUCACAGUUAACACCGCCUGGAACACCACAGCGUAAUGGUGUGUCCGAACGUCGUAAUCGUACUUUGUUAGAGAUGGUGCGAUCUAUGAUGUCUCUUACUGAUUUGCCGUUACCAUUUUGGGGUUAUGCAUUAGAAACAACUGCAUUCACUUUAAAUAGGACACCAUCAAAAUCCGUUGAGACGACACCAUACGAACUGUGGUAUGGCAAAAGGCCAAAGUUGUCGUUUCUUAAAGUUUGGGGAUGUGAUGCUUAUGUCAAAAAGCUUCAGCCUGAAAAGCUGGAACCCAAAGCGGAAAAGUGCGUCUUCAUAGGUUACCCAAAAGAGACAGUUGGGUACACCUUCUAUCUCAAAUCCGAGGGUAAAGUGUUUGUUGCUAAAAACGGAGCUUUUCUCGAGAAGGAGUUUCUCUCGAGAGAAUUGAGUGGGAGGAAGAUAGAACUUGACGAGGUUGUCGAACCUCUCAUCCCUCUAGAUGGUGGUGCAGGGCAAGGGGAAACCUCUGUCGUUGCGAUGCCGGUUGAGGAGGAAGUUAAUGAUGAUGAUCAUGAAACUCCAGUUCAAGUUUCUGUUGAACCACGCAGGUCGACGAGAUCACGCGCUGCUCCAGAGUGGUACGGUAAUCCCGUCUUAUCAAUCAUGUUGGUAGACAACAAUGAACCUGCAAAUUAUGAAGAAGCAAUGGUGGGCCCAGAUUCCAACAAAUGGCUAGAAGCCAUGAAAUCCGAGAUAGGAUCCAUGUAUGAGAAGAAAGUGUGGACUUUGGAGAUACUACCUGAGGGCCGCAAGGCUAUUCACAACAAAUGGAUCUUUAAGAAGAAGACGGACGCUGACGGUAAUGUGACCGUUUAUAAAGCUCGACUUGUGGCAAAGGGUUUUUCACUAGUUCCAGGAGUUGACUACGAUGAGACUUUCUCACCCGUAGCGAUGCUUAAGUCCGUCAGAAUCAUGUUAGCAAUAGCUGCAUUUUUGGAUUAUGAAAUCUGGCAGAUGGAUGUACAAAACGGCGUUCCUUAACGGUUUCCUUAAGGAAGAAUUGUAUAUGAUGCAACCCGAAGGUUUUGUCGAUCGUAAAAAUGCUGACAAGGUGUGCAAGCUCCAGCGAUCCAUUUAUGGACUGGUGCAAGCAUCUCGGAGUUGGAACAAACGCUUUGAUGAGGUGAUCAAAGCAUUUGGGUUUAUACAAGUGGUUGGAGAAUCUUGUAUUUACAAGAAAGUGAGUGGGAGCUCUGUGGCGUUUCUAAUAUUAUAUGUGGAUGACAUAUUACUGAUUGGAAACAAAGUAGAGCUUUUGGAGAGCAUAAAAGGUUACUUGAAUAAAAGUUUCUCUAUGAAGGACCUAGGAGAAGCUGCUUACAUUCUAGGCAUUAAGAUCUAUAGGGAUAGAUCGNNNNNNNNNNNNNNNNNNNNNNNNNNNNNNNNNNNNNNNNNNNNNNNNNNNNNNNNNNNNNNNNNNNNNNNNNNNNNNNNNNNNNNNNNNNNNNNNNNNNCAAGAAUGGAUAUCGUUACAAGUACAUGUACUGAAAAGGAAGAGAUAUAUAAAGAGUUGGUUUACACUCGCCACAAGCUACAUCAGAGUCACAUCAGUACAUUACAUAAUCAUCAAGAGUAAGAGCAGGAUCCGACUACGGACUAAAACAAACGACAAAAGAAGAACGACGUCCAUCCUUGCUAUCCCAGGCUGCCGGCCUGGAACCCAUCCUAGAUCGAUAGAGAAGAAGAAGAAGAAGCAACUCCAAAUGACAAUCAACGCACUCACGUCGAGUAACAUUUACUUGUACCUGCAACUGGUGUUGUAGUAAUCUGUGAGCCACAGGGGACUCAGCAAUCUCAUUUCCAAAGGUAUCAAGACUAGCAAAGCUUAAUGGGUGAGGUAUGGUUAAGUGGUGAGGUUGCAGCAACGGCUAAGCACAUAUUUGGUGGCUAACUUACGAGUACCAGAAAUAAGAGGGGGGAAGAUCUACGCAUAACGGACGUGAACUACUCGUGAUCAGAAGAAUGAUCCUGAACACCUACCUACGUCAGACAUAACCCCACUGUGUCCUCAAUCGGAGAAGGAACUCACUUAAGAGACAGUCACGGUUACGCACACAGUUGGCAUAUUUUAAUUAAGUUAACUUCAAGUUAUCUAGAACCAGUGUUAAGCAAAGUUUUCCACGUUGCCACAUAACAGCGGGCACGGAUUUCCGAAAAGAUUUAACCCUGCGGGGGUGCUCCAACUAGUCCAUCACAGAUUACCACAAGCCGCAUAGAAAUCCUCAAUCACGAAGCUCGCGAUCUCGUCGGAUUCCCUAGUGGAAAACCUCAACUCUGAUAUUACCCAAAGCAUCACCGGAAUCCCGAUGCACAAGAUAUCUCGUCGAAGGUAAAACUAAUCCAGCAAGGCCGCCCGACGUGUCGACGAUCCCGAUAGGAGUCGCGUACCUCGUUCUCAGGGCACGACAGAUGAGCGAUGGUUACCACGCCAAACGCCGAGUUGCCCCGGGUAGCGUUAAUAAGCUGCUCUGUUUUGGACCAACACUCAUGAGGAGCACUGGCCCGGGGGUUGAUUAAAAUAGUCCGCGGGUGCCGGCGGGUCCCUAUGCAUUAUUAUUAGGUUAUUAGGCAAAUGUAGUACCAAAGUUGGGCCUUGCCAGACCAGCUUUAAUCUAAAACGAAUUAUCAAGGGGGUCCCCAUAACAACCCCGAUCGUGUUAGGAGCGCUCAUUUAUGGAACAUAACACCGGUAGCCGGUAACUAAGGGGGCAAAGGUGGAACAAAAGACCAGGCUAGAAAGGCCGAACCUUCCACCUUUUACCAAGUAUAUAGGUGCAUUAAAUUAAAUAGCAUUUAAUAUGGUGAUAUAAUAAGGAACCCAUGUUUUCACAUGGAAGCAUCUGCACCUGCAACUAGCAACGCUAACACAGGGUUAAGCAAGCAGUAACAUAGCCAUUCAGUGGUUUGCUAGGUCGAACAGGUUGAAGGUUUCAUGGCAUUGUUGAGAGGCUGAUAUUAAACAUGUGGUAGGCAACGAGACAUAACGACAGAAACGAUUUAACUAGUUUGGCAAUGAUAGUAAUGGUAUCUGGGGAAAUGAUCAUCUUGCCUGAGAUCCCGCUUGGAAGAAGAAUGCCUCCGUGAAGCAGACGAACCGAGUAGUCGAACGGGUCCUCACAUCCGACACGCUUGCGGAACUCUAUCGAGACGGGGAAACCGGAAACAAGCAUCAACACACGAAAUUCACCACACGAUGCACAGCACAUAUGAUGCAUGAGCUACUGAAUACAUGCAAGUCACGGCAUGGCAAAUCACACAAUCAAUCACUACACAUUAAGUGAAGUUCAAGAUGCACGAGUUGCAUAUUGACGAAACUCCACGUUAAUUAUUUAGUUCACUCCCGGUUAUCUACACGGCAAUAUUAAUGUUGUCAAACAUGCAAGAGGUGAAGCGGAAAUUAAACUACCUAUCUAGGCAUUUUAAGUGAGGUCGGAAAUGACAUAUAGCACCUCUGAAACGACCUCACAUGUUAAUUUACAAUUCUGUCCAGAUCUGAAUUAACACCUUUAAUUAGUUUUUAAAUAGCAAAACAAAUAGGUUCACGUGAUUCUACGCGUCAAGGCAAGCAAUCUACACAUAAAGAACAUCUCCAACGUAGCUACGGAUCAAAAGUUACAAGCACCACAAGAUAUGAUGGCAUGAAUGCAAUAUGUGUGCAACGGCGGCUACGAGCACUUCAUCACAUGCAACCAGCAAGAGAAAAUGAAACUACACGAGAUUCUAAGCACGUUUCAUGUAGGGCACGAUCAAAACGGAGCUACGGUUCGAAAACUACGAGCAAAACAAGAAAACGCUACAAACUGCCAAAAUCAGCCACAUAGCAUUUUCUACGCCCCACAACUACGGCUACACAACUCUGAUUUGCUCAAGCAAGGCAUGGCACGGAAGAGGGCAAGAAGCACUACUACAAACUACUAACAACAACUAACAUGGCAGCAAGGCGCACUAGGAAAAAAAGACACAAAAUGGCAUCUCACGCACUAUUUCAGACUUAGUGAAAAUAACACCUCAUGAAAGUGCAGUUUUCAGCCUGAAGGCAUAUUGACAGCAGCAAAAACCUAAGCUACAGGUCUCCAAAUGGCAUGAAACUUCACAGCAAGCUAGAGAAACACAAGGGGUACAACUAACUCCAUUGGACCAACCCCAAAAGAGCUACAGAUCACAAGAUGCAAGCAAGACAAGACAGCAACAAAAUAUAACAGAUUCCAGACUUAAAAAUAUUUCAGCACGUCUAAAACAGCACUAUUUCUAGCAACUUGAGAGCAAUCAAACCACACCUAAACAUGCAUUUCUAUUGCAACCAAAAAUACCAGGGACUAAACAAAACAUCCAAGAUCAACUCUCUAGUUGACAACUCCGUCAAACAACGCACGGAAUAAAUCUUACGAAUUAAACAAAAGGGCAUCACGGCAAAAUAUCUCGCAAACUAACUUGCUCAAAACUUAAAACUAAUUGCACAGAAAAAUCCAUGGGAUUUUUCUACCCCGGAAACAUAUAAAAUACGUGGGGUUUGCAACACAAAAUAAUGUCAAACAUUAAUGCGAGAUAAAACCUAUAUACGGGAAAAUAAACUACCGGCAAAUCCCUACACGCAUAAAUAUCAAUGACCACUCUAAAAUACAUGCAAAAAUAAUUCCUAAACCAUGGCCAUUUAAUCUACGGUAUACGGACAGACCGGACACGCGCGAAAAAAAUAAACUACGGGCAAAACAUUAUGGGCAGCACACUAUUCUAGGCAUACAGCACGUUAACGACGUCAAAUAAAUAUGCAAGUUGGAUAAUCUUCUUCUACUCGCAAAACUACGCGAAAACGAUAUAAAGAUCACCUCGAUCCGACUAACGGAUUAAAAGAUACGGCAUUUAUAAUAUACGAAUAUUUACUGGAAUUCAUUAAUUCCUAAAAAAACAUAAUAAACCUAGUGGGCCGAACAGGUGGGCGCAAGAUAGCAAAAGGGUGCACGGGGCGAAGGGCAGAAGUCGGCUCACCUUGGGCCUCCAAUUGGGCCGGCCUGGAGCUGCUGGCUUGGGGAAGUCGACUGGGCCGGGGGCGCCCAAGCUGGCCUCGGCGNNNNNNNNNNNNNNNNNNNNNNNNNNNNNNNNNNNNNNNNNNNNNNNNNNNNNNNNNNNNNNNNNNNNNNNNNNNNNNNNNNNNNNNNNNNNNNNNNNNNCCCCAUCUAGUCCGAUCACAUCACAACCNUAUCAAAUUCCUUCUUCAACCUGACCACAACUAUUAUAAAUGGAAUCCUUUGUUCUUAUGGUUCUGAUCCUUCGCGGAGGUGUUCGGUUGGGCGGCGCAACUGGUGAUCGCACGGAGGACGGAGCUGAUCGAUGUUGGGACUUGGACGGCGAGUUGGAAGUUGAUACGUUGGAGGAAAAGGACAGGGUGGAGCAGUUUGUGCGCGUGGCGCUCUGGUGCAUGGAGCCCAACCCGCUGCUGCGGCCAACCAUGCACCAGGUGGUGCAAAUGCUGGAGACAAGGAAUCCGGCUCAGCUUCAGGCACUCCCUGACCCUCCGGACUGUUACAUCGAAUCCUCACCUUCAAUUCCUCAGCUCAAGAUUGAAUGAGAUGUGGAUCAUAUAUAGUCUUUGCUAUUUAGAUUGAAGCAUAUACAGAUUUAUUUCAACGUUGGAUAUUCAUUGAUUUAAUUUUCCUACAUUCUAAAUGUGGACCGUCACUAAUACAAAAAAAGGUUUAUAGCACCGGUUCGGUUGGGCCGUUAGUCCCGGUCUCGUCCCGGUUCGGGGGCCGUACCGGGGCUUGGAGCGAGGGCGAUUUUGAAUAAUUUUUGAUUCUUUUUAUGUUUUAUUUCAAUUGUCAAAUCUUUGAAUUAUUUAACAAUUUAAUCUCUAAUCACCCAUCCUCACGGCUCCGAUCGUGGAUCACUCAUUUCAAAUCGUGUAACUUCCCGACCGGUCACCCAUCUCGUCACUGCAUUAGCCCGAGCACGCUUGACUUUCUGGUUCUAUCGUCCCUAAUUUCCAAGUGUGCACUUGUUGUUUUUCUGACAAUACUAAACUAUCAAUUCUAUCAACCCUUAAGUCUUGAUGUCACAUGAUUUAAUUUUUUAAAAUCCAAACAAUUAUUAAAAUAAACAAAAUAAGUAAUAAUAAUAUUGAAUUUUAAUAUAUAUAAAAUAAGUAAUAACAUUAUUUUAUUUGUUUUUUGCCAUUUAUUCAUUUAAUAUGGCAUAGUUAAUAUCUUUAAUUAUGUAAAUCAAAAUUCAACAAAUAAUAUAUCCAUUAUUAUCAGAAAAAUGCGAGAAAUCCAAAUAUGACAUCAUUUAUUUAUUUUUAAAUAAAAUUAUUUUUUUUGGUUUUUCUAAAAAUAUCUUCGUUUUGAAAUAACUUUUUUUAAUUUGGAAUUUUGAGCAUCUAGAAAACUUCACCGGGCAAAACCCGGUGACAUCAAGUCCCAAUUUUUCUCUAGUUUCUUUUUAUAUAUUAAACUUUUUUUUCAACAUCGUAUGUAAAAAUUAUGGACGUUUUACAUUUCCCUCCUUUUUGCAAAAACGGUCAAAAUUCAUAUUUCAAAAUUUCUAUACCAACUAGGCAUUGAAACCUAACUACAUCUCAAAGGAUUUUAUUUUUUGCAGAUUUUGUCAUUUUUCUUUAUUUUCUACAAAACUAAAAAAGGCGGUCCACAGGGGAGGGGGGGUUUAAAAUUUCAGAACCCCACUUUAGCCAAGAGUCCAAUCAUACCGUCGACUACAUCUGCUAGCACCGUCCCCGCCAGAGUCACAACUAAGGUUAACCAAGCCAAAGUUAACCCUUUCUAACUUCAUUUGCUAUUUUUCAUGUAUUUAAUAAAAAAAAUUGAGCUAAAUGACCCUGAAAUUGAAAAGCUCUACAAAUGAACUCUGAAAAUGUGGGUUUCAUCAUUUUACCCACAUAGCUUGUGCUAAAAAAUUAAGAGGGUUACGGGAAAACUGGAUGCAUUUCGUGUUCAAACUGGACCAUCUCCUUCGAAGUAUCAAGGUUUCACACGAAAACCCAUCUGUUACAAAGACAUUUUAUUUUAUACUUAUUUCAACUCCAGACUUUUUGUGCAUUUUGUGCAUUCAAUACGCACCAUUCAAAAACACAUCCUAAAAUUUCAACCAUUUAUAACUUAAUUUUCUAUUUUUCAUGCAUCUAAUGAUUUUUUUGAGCUAAAUGACUGGUAUUUUUCAUGCAUUUAAUGAUUUUUUUAGCUAAAUAACCACGAAAUUGAAAAGCAUUACAAAUGAACUCUGAAAAGGUUGAAAGUUGAUAUGAUAUCAUCAUUUCACCCACAUAUCAUGUGGUACAGUACCAGUUACUACUUCUGAGAUGGGAAGUGAGUCGGCUCUGACUAAUUUGCCUGCAGCAANNNNNNNNNNNNNNNNNNNNNNNNNNNNNNNNNNNNNNNNNNNNNNNNNNNNNNNNNNNNNNNNNNNNNNNNNNNNNNNNNNNNNNNNNNNNNNNNNNNNGUUCGUCGUAUGGGGAUUAGAUACAGUCAGACCAUUCAGAACAGGCCAAGGGGGAUUCACUCAUCAGCUGGUAGCAGUCGACAAGUUCACCAAGUGGAUUGAAGCCAAGCCCAUCAGAAGCUUGAUGCCCUUACAGCCAUCAAAUUUGUCAAAGACAUCAUCGCCAGAUUUGGGGUUCCGCACAGCAUAAUCACCGACAAUGGCACUAACUUUGACUCGGACAGAUUCAAAGGUUUUUGCACAGGCCAGGGUAACCGAGUGGAUUUUGCAUCUAUGGCGCACCCCMAAMCAAAUGGGCAAGCAGAGCAGGCGAAUGGACUUAUUCUUCAAGGGUUGAAGCCUCGACUCCUGCGAGAAGUUGGACAUGCCGCCGGCGCAUGGGUCACCGAGCUGCCUUCGGUGUUGUGGGGCCUCCGCACAACUCCAAAUAGAUCUACAGGGCGAUCCCCGUUCUUCCUCGUUUCUGGAGCAGAUGCAGUCCUUCCGAGUGACUUGCUUCACAACUCUCCACGAGUCGAACACUUCUCCGAAGCCGAAGCAGAGCAAGCCAGGCAAGACGGGGUGGAUCUUCUGGAAGAAGAGCGCGAGAUGGCACUGACUCUCAACAAUUUAUCAACAAGACCUGCGGCGUUUUCACGCGCGGCACGUCAGGAGUCGCACAUUCCAAGCAGACGACCUGGUGCUCGGAGUGGAUCAGCAGAGACCUCACAAGUUGGCUCCCGCCUGGGAAAGACCAUUCAUCAUCUCUAAGGUGCUGAACAACGGAGCAUAUCGACUCUACAACCUCGACAGGGAAACGGACGAGCCGCGAGCAUGGAACGGAGAUCUUCUGAAGCGCUUCUACACGUGACCGCCGACGGAGGCAAUGUAAAGAACAAGUAUCAUUGAAGUAAUACAAAGCAGAUUGAUUUCUUCCAGGUUCAAAAUUCUUCCGCGUUUGCAGACUCCGGUCUAAAAAAUUCGCUCCGAGUGCGUACUUAAAAGUCGCACUCGGGGACUUAGCUGUGACCCAGAGUUGCCUAAGUAAAAAACUCUUUCCGAGUGUGCACUAAAGUCGCACUCGGGGACUUAGCUGCGACCCAGAGUYGCCUAAGUAAAAACUCGCUCCGAGUGCGCACUAAAAGCYGCACUCGGGACUUAGCUGCGAUCCAGAAUCGUCUAAGUACAAACUCGUUCCAAGUGCGCGCUAAAAGCCGCACUCGGAGACUUAGCUGCGAUCCAGAAUCGCCUAAGUAAAAAAGCUUCCUUCGAGUGUAUCCUCGAGAUCCACUCGGAGGCUCAGCAGACCCUCAUUGAGGCUCAUGUGGAUGUGAAGACAACUGACAACUACAUGAGUAACAACUCGCUCCGAGUGCGAGCUUACUGUUGGGUAACGUAGCAUAAAUUCAAAAUUUUCCUACGCAUAUUCAGAUCUUCCUAUGGAGAGACCAGCAACGAGAGAGGGGUAAUAGCAUCUUCAUACCUUUGAAGAUUGCUAAGCGGAAGCGUUGCUAGAACGCGGUUGAUGGAGUCGUACUCGCAGCGAUUCCGAUCUAGUGCCGAACAACGGCACCUCCGCAUUCAACACAUGUGCAGCCCGGUGACGUCUCCCGCACCUUGAUCCAGCAAGGAGGAGGGAGAGGUUGGGGAAGAACUCCAGCAACACGACGGCGUGGUGUCGAUGGAGAGACGAGGUCUCCCGACAGGGCUUCGCCAAGCACCGGCGGAGAGGAGGAGGAAGAAGAGCAGGGCUGCGUCGAGAGAGAGGGAAAAACCGUGUGUCUCAAUGGCCAAAAGUGCCCGAUAUAUAUAGGGGGAGGGGAGAGGGGGUGACACCCCAGAUGGGAGGUGCGGCGGCCAGGAGGGGGGAGGAAGGGGUGGCGCACCAUCUGGUGGGCCUUAGGCCCACCUGGCCUAGGGUUUGCCCCCCUUUUCUCUCCCUUGUGCAAUGGGCUGAGUGGGGAGGCGCACCAUCCCACCUAGGGGCUGGUUCCCACCCCUAUUUGGCCCACCUUAUCUCCCGGGGUCGUUCGCCCCCCUUUGGUGGUCCCCCGGGGCCACCUCCGGUGGUCCCGGUGGUCCCGGUACGUUACCGGUGAUGCCCGAAACACUUCCGGUAUCAGAAACCAUCCGUCCUAUAUAUCAAUUGUUGGGGAACGUCGCAUGGGAAACAAAAAUUUUCCUACGCGCACGAAGACCUAUCAUGGUGAUGUCCAUCUACGAGAGGGGAUGAGUGAUGUGCGUACCCUUGUAGACCGUACAACAGAAGCGUUAGAGAACGCGGUUGAUGUAGUGGAACGUCCUCACGUCCCUCGAUCCGCCCCGCGAACAAUCCCGCGAUCAGUCCCACGAUCUAGUACCGAACGGACGGCACCUCCGCGUUCAGCACACGUACAGCUCGACGAUGAUCUCGGCCUUCUUGAUCCAGCAAGAGAGACGGAGAGGUAGAGGAGUUCUCCGGCAGCGUGACGGCACUCUGGAGGUUGGUGAUGACCUUGUCUCAGCAGGGCUCCGCCCGAGCUCCGCAGAAACGCGAUCUAGAGGAAAAACCGUGGAGGUAUGUGGUCGGGCUGCCGUGGAAAAGUCGUCUCAAAUCAGCCCUAAAACCUCUGUAUAUAUAGGUGGGAGGGAGGGGGCCUUGCCUUGGGGUCAAGGACCCUCAAGGGGGUCGGCCGAGCCAAGGGGGAGGACUCUCCCCCCCCCCCCAAACCGAGUUGGACUAGGUUUGGUGGGAGGGAGUCCUCCUCCCUUCCCACCUCCUCCUUUUUUUUUCUUUUCCUCUUGAUUUUUUCUUCUCUNNNNNNNNNNNNNNNNNNNNNNNNNNNNNNNNNNNNNNNNNNNNNNNNNNNNNNNNNNNNNNNNNNNNNNNNNNNNNNNNNNNNNNNNNNNNNNNNNNNNCUUGCCAGACCAGCUUUAAUCUAAAACGAAUUAUCAAGGGGGUCCCCAUAACAACCCCCGAUCGUGUUAGGAGCGCUCAUUUAUGGAACAUAACACCGGUAGCCGGUAACUAAGGGGGCAAAGGUGGAACAAAAGACCAGGCUAGAAAGGCCGAACCUUCCACCUUUUACCAAGUAUAUAGGUGCAUUAAAUUAAAUAGCAUUUAAUAUGGUGAUAUAAUAAGGAACCCAUGUUUUCACAUGGAAGCAUCUGCACCUGCAACUAGCAACGCUAACACAGGGUUAAGCAAGCAGUAACAUAGCCAUUCAGUGGUUUGCUAGGUCGAACAGGUUGAAGGUUUCAUGGCAUUGUUGAGAGGCUGAUAUUAAACAUGUGGUAGGCAACGAGACAUAACGACAGAAACGAUUUAACUAGUUUGGCAAUGAUAGUAAUGGUAUCUGGGGAAAUGAUCAUCUUGCCUGAGAUCCCGCUUGGAAGAAGAAUGCCUCCGUGAAGCAGACGAACCGAGUAGUCGAACGGGUCCUCACAUCCGACACGCUUGCGGAACUCUAUCGAGACGGGGAAACCGGAAACAAGCAUCAACACACGAAAUUCACCACACGAUGCACAGCACAUAUGAUGCAUGAGCUACUGAAUACAUGCAAGUCACGGCAUGGCAAAUCACACAAUCAAUCACUACACAUUAAGUGAAGUUCAAGAUGCACGAGUUGCAUAUUGACGAAACUCCACGUUAAUUAUUUAGUUCACUCCCGGUUAUCUACACGGCAAUAUUAAUGUUGUCAAACAUGCAAGAGGUGAAGCGGAAAUUAAACUACCUAUCUAGGCAUUUUAAGUGAGGUCGGAAAUGACAUAUAGCACCUCUGAAACGACCUCACAUGUUAAUUUACAAUUCUGUCCAGAUCUGAAUUAACACCUUUAAUUAGUUUUUAAAUAGCAAAACAAAUAGGUUCACGUGAUUCUACGCGUCAAGGCAAGCAAGGUCUAACGACAUAAAGAACAUCUCCAACGUAGCUACGGAUCAAAAGUUACAAGCACCACAAGAUAUGAUGGCAUGAAUGCAAUAUGUGUGCAACGGCGGCUACGAGCACUUCAUCACAUGCAACCAGCAAGAGAAAAUGAAACUACACGAGAUUCUAAGCACGUUUCAUGUAGGGCACGAUCAAAACGGAGCUACGGUUCGAAAACUACGAGCAAAACAAGAAAACGCUACAAACUGCCAAAAUCAGCCACAUAGCAUUUUCUACGCCCCACAACUACGGCUACACAACUCUGAUUUGCUCAAGCAAGGCAUGGCACGGAAGAGGGCAAGAAGCACUACUACAAACUACUAACAACAACUAACAUGGCAGCAAGGCGCACWRGGGAAAAWAGRACACAAAAUAGGCAUCUCACGCACUAUUUCAGACUUAGUGAAAAUAACACUCAUGAAAGUGCAGUUUUCAGCCUGAAGGCAUAUUGACAGCAGCAAAAACCUAAGCUACAGGUCUCCAAAUGGCAUGAAACUUCACAGCAAGCUAGAGAAACACAAGGGGUACAACUAACUCCAUUGGACCAACCCCAAAAGAGCUACAGAUCACAAGAUGCAAGCAAGACAAGACAGCAACAAAAUAUAACAGAUUCCAGACUUAAAAAUAUUUCAGCACGUCUAAAACAGCACUAUUUCUAGCAACUUGAGAGCAAUCAAACCACACCUAAACAUGCAUUUCUAUUGCAACCAAAAAUACCAGGGACUAAACAAAACAUCCAAGAUCAACUCUCUAGUUGACAACUCCGUCAAACAACGCACGGAAUAAAUCUUACGAAUUAAACAAAAGGGCAUCACGGCAAAAUAUCUCGCAAACUAACUUGCUCAAAACUUAAAACUAAUUGCACAGAAAAAUCCAUGGGAUUUUUCUACCCCGGAAACAUAUAAAAUACGUGGGGUUUGCAACACAAAAUAAUGUCAAACAUUAAUGCGAGAUAAAACCUAUAUACGGGAAAAUAAACUACCGGCAAAUCCCUACACGCAUAAAUAUCAAUGACCACUCUAAAAUACAUGCAAAAAUAAUUCCUAAACCAUGGCCAUUUAAUCUACGGUAUACGGACAGACCGGACACGCGCGAAAAAAAUAAACUACGGGCAAAACAUUAUGGGCAGCACACUAUUCUAGGCAUACAGCACGUUAACGACGUCAAAUAAAUAUGCAAGUUGGAUAAUCUUCUUCUACUCGCAAAACUACGCGAAAACGAUAUAAAGAUCACCUCGAUCCGACUAACGGAUUAAAAGAUACGGCAUUUAUAAUAUACGAAUAUUUACUGGAAUUCAUUAAUUCCUAAAAAAACAUAAUAAACCUAGUGGGCCGAACAGGUGGGCGCAAGAUAGCAAAAGGGUGCACGGGGGCGAAAGGGGCAGAAGUCGGCUCACCUUGGGCCUCCAAUUGGGCCGGCCUGGAGCUGCUGGCUUGGGGAAGUCGACUGGGCCGGGGGCGCCCAAGCUGGNNNNNNNNNNNNNNNNNNNNNNNNNNNNNNNNNNNNNNNNNNNNNNNNNNNNNNNNNNNNNNNNNNNNNNNNNNNNNNNNNNNNNNNNNNNNNNNNNNNNUCGUAGGCGCGCGCGGAGGACGCGGCCACAUCACGUUGGGUCGUGGGCGCGAGCAGGCAKGAGCGUGGAGACCGUGUCCAUCGUGUGCCUGGGUAUAAAAACCCGUGUGGUAGACAUUGUAAUAGGCGAAGGGGGGAGUUCGAGCUCACCGGRAAUAUAAMGGGUUGCCGUUCGGGCGGCAAGGUGUUCGUGCACCGGCAAAAUCUAUGUGGCGUCUCUCCCUCUCUCCUUUCUUGUCUCCGGUGAUCACCGUCAGUAGGUGGUUCCAUUUCCUCCCCAACAUUUGGUAUCAGAGCCUUGUCCAACCACGUGUCGGCGGCCAUGUCGAUCGUCCCGUAUGGGGGUGGCGGUGCGUCGGGGUCGAUGCAUCUCCCGCCGCUGGUGCCGACGGGCUACACCUCCUGGGCAAUCAAGGUGGAGGCGAUCCUUGAUGCUGGGGGGAUGUGGGGCGCGGUGCAGCCGGCGGACGGAGCGGCGGUGGACUCCAGGAAGUGCAAGACGGCGCGGGCGAUGCUGCUCACAGCGCUGUCGGAAGACUUGUUGAUGCAGGUGGCGGCGAAGUUCACCGCGAGGGAGGUGUGGGACUCUCUCAAGGUGCGUUUCGUCGCAGCCAAUCGCGUGCGGGUGGCGCGGCUGGCCACGCUCCGCGGCGACUUCGAGCGGCUGCGAAUGGACGACGACAAGUCCCUGGACGCAUUCGCCGGGAAGAUCAGUGGCAUGGCGGCGCGGUACGCGGGACUUGGAUCGAGCCUGGAGGACGCCGCGAUGGUGAAGAAGUUGCUCGACGCCGUGCCGGAUCGCUUGUACGCGGCGGUGGCCGGUAUAGAGCAAUUCUGCGACGUGUCUACCAUGACGUUCGAGGACGCGCUCGGCCGGUUGAAGGCUUUCGACGAGCGGCUACGUCGACGUGGGCAGGACGGUGCUGAUCAUGGCGGGGAGCAGCUGAUGCUCACUUCAGAGCAGUGGCGCGCGCAGGAGCGUCGGCGACGUGGUGCGCGGGACGACGACGACGACGACAGGAGCGUGGCGUCGCGAAUCGCCGCGGACGUUGCUACCACUGCAACGAGCGCGGUCACUUCAAGCGGGAAUGUCCGAGGCGGGAGAAGGCAGCGGCGCCGGGGCAAGCCAUGCUGGGGGAGCUCGUCGACGACGAGCCAGCGCUCCUCUAGGCCACGGCUUAGGGGGAGAAUGUUGUGUUGGAAUAAGCCGCGGCGACUAGCUAGUGCGCCUGGUGCGUGUAUGGGCACGCGUCGGCGCUCUCUGGCGCAUCGGGUCCGCGGGCAGUGCGUGCGUGCGUGCGUGCGUGCGUGGCGUGCUCGGGCCGCCAGGGGUAGGGUGGUGCCGUGCGCGCGGGGAGCCGUUACNNNNNNNNNNNNNNNNNNNNNNNNNNNNNNNNNNNNNNNNNNNNNNNNNNNNNNNNNNNNNNNNNNNNNNNNNNNNNNNNNNNNNNNNNNNNNNNNNNNNUUACAUGUGUGGAUACAUAGACAAAACACCGUCCCUAGCAUGCCUCUAGUUGGCUAGCCAGUUGAUCGAUGAUAGUCAGUGUCUUCUGAUUAUGAACAAGGUGUUGUUGCUUGAUAACUGGAUCACGUCAUUGGGAGAAUCACGUGAUGGACUAGACCCAAACUAAUAGACGUAGUAUGUUGAUCGUGUCAUUUUGUUGCUACUGUUUUCUACGUGUCAAGUAUUUAUUCCUAUGACCAUGAGAUCAUAUAACUCACUGACACCGGAGGAAUGCUUUGUGUGUAUCAAACGUCGCAACGUAACUGGGUGACUAUAAAGAUGCUCUACAGGUAUCUCCGAAGGUUAAAGUUGAGUUAGUAUGGAUCAAGACUGGGAUUUGUCACUCCGUGUGACGGAGAGGUAUCUUGGGGCCCACUCGGUAAUACAACAUCACACACAAGCCUUGCAAGCAAUGUAACUUAGUGUAAGUUGCGGGAUCUUGUAUUACGGAACGAGUAAAGAGACUUGCCGGUAAACGAGAUUGAAAUAGGUAUGCGGAUACUGACGAUCGAAUCUCGAGCAAGUAACAUGCCGAAGGACAAAGGGAAUGACAUACGGGAUUAUACGAAUCCUUGGCACUGAGGUUCAAACGAUAAGAUCUUCGUAGAAUAUGUAGGAUCCAAUAUGGGCAUCCAGGUCCCGCUAUUGGAUAUUGACCGAGGAGCCUCUCGGGUCAUGUCUACAUAGUUCUCGAACCCGCAGGGUCUGCACACUUAAGGUUCGACGUUGUUUUAUGCGUAUUUGAGUUAUAUGGUUGGUUACCGAAUGUUGUUCGGAGUCCUGGAUGAGAUCACGGACGUCACGAGGGUUUCCGGAAUGGUCCGGAAACGAAGAUUGAUAUAUAGGAUGACCUCAUUUGAUUACCGGAAGGUUUUCGGAGUUACCGGGAAUGUACCGGGAAUGACGAAUGGGUUCCGGGAGUUCACCGGGGGGGGGGGCAACCCACCCCGGGGAAGCCCAUGGGCCUUGGGGGAGACACACCAGCCCUUAGUGGGCUGGUGGGACAGCCCACAAGUGGUCUAUGCGCCAAGAGAAGAAAAAAUCAAGAGGAAAAGAAAAANNNNNNNNNNNNNNNNNNNNNNNNNNNNNNNNNNNNNNNNNNNNNNNNNNNNNNNNNNNNNNNNNNNNNNNNNNNNNNNNNNNNNNNNNNNNNNNNNNNNCCCUUGGGGUCCCAAGGGAACCCCAAGGGUCGGCCGAGCCAGGGGGAGGACUCUCCCCCCCAACCGAGUCCUACUUGGUUUGGUGGAGGGAGUCCUUCCCCUUCCCACUUCUUCCUCUUUUUUUUUUCUUCCUUUGAUUUUUUUCUUCCUUGGCGCAUAGGAUUUGGUGGGCUGUCCCACCAGCCCACUAAGGGCUGGUGUGACCCCCACAAAUACCUAUGGGCUUCCCCGGAGUGGGUUGCCCCCCUCCGGUGAACUCCCGGAACCCAUUCGUCAUUCCCGGUACAUUCCCGGUAACUCCGAAAAACCUUCCGGUAAUCAAAUGAGGUCAUCCUAUAUAUCAAUCUUCGUUUCCGGACCAUUCCGGAAACCCUCGUGACGUCCGUGAUCUCAUCCGGGACUCCGAACAACAUUCGGUAACCAACCAUAUAACUCAAAUACGCAUAAAACAACGUCGAACGUUAAGUGUGCAGACCCUGCGGGUUCGAGAACUAUGUAGACAUGACCCGAGAGACUCCUCGGUCAAUAUCCAACAGCGGGACCUGGAUGCCCAUAUUGGAUCCUACAUAUUCUACGAAGAUCUUAUCGUUUGAACCUCAGUGCCAAGGAUUCGUAUAAUCCCGUAUGUCAUUCCCUUUGUCCUUCGGUAUGUUACUUGCCCGAGAUUCGAUCGUCAGUAUCCGUAUACCUAUUUCAACCUCGUUUACCGGCAAGUCUCUUUACUCGUUCCGUAAUACAAGAUCCCGCAACUUACACUAAGUUACAUUGCUUGCAAGGCUUGUGUGUGAUGUUGUAUUACCGAGUGGGCCCCGAGAUACCUCUCCGUCACACGGAGUGACAAAUCCCAGUCUCGAUCCAUACUAACUCAACUACCACCCUCGGAGAUACCUGUNNNNNNNNNNNNNNNNNNNNNNNNNNNNNNNNNNNNNNNNNNNNNNNNNNNNNNNNNNNNNNNNNNNNNNNNNNNNNNNNNNNNNNNNNNNNNNNNNNNNCAUUAAGAUCUAUAGGGAUAGAUCAAAACGCCUGAUAGGACUUUCACAAAGCACAUACCUUGAUAAAGUUUUGAAGAGGUUCAAAAUGGAACAGUCCAAGAAAGGGUUCUUGCCAGUGUUACAAGGUACGAGAUUGAGUAAGACUCAGUGCCCAGCAACUGAUGAAGAUAGAGAGCAUAUGCGCUCCGUCCCCUAUGCUUCAGCCAUAGGUUCUAUCAUGUAUGCGAUGCUGUGCACUAGACCGGAUGUUAGCCUGGCCAUAAGUAUGGCAGGUAGGUUCCAGAGUAAUCCAGGAGUGGAUCACUGGACGGCGGUCAAGAAUAUCCUGAAGUACCUGAAAAGGACUAAGGAGAUGUUUCUCGUGUAUGGAGGUGACGAAGAGCUCGCCUUAAAAGGUUACGUCGAUGCAAGCUUUGACACAGAUCCAGACGACUCUAAGUCGCAAACCGGAUACGUAUUUAUUCUUAAUGGGGGUGCAGUAAGCUGGUGCAGUUCCAAGCAAAGCGUCGUAGCAGAUUCUACAUGUGAAGCAGAGUACAUGGCUGCCUCGGAGGCGGCUAAGGNGGGUNNNNNNNNNNNNNNNNNNNNNNNNNNNNNNNNNNNNNNNNNNNNNNNNNNNNNNNNNNNNNNNNNNNNNNNNNNNNNNNNNNNNNNNNNNNNNNNNNNNNGUUCAAACGAUAAGAUCUUCGUAGAAUAUGUAGGAUCCAAUAUGGGCAUCCAGGUCCCGCUAUUGGAUAUUGACCGAGGAGCCUCUCGGGUCAUGUCUACAUAGUUCUCGAACCCGCAGGGUCUGCACACUUAAGGUUCGACGUUGUUUUAUGCGUAUUUGAGUUAUAUGGYUGGUUACCGAAUGUUGUUCGGAGUCCUGGAUGAGAUCACGGACGUCACGAGGGUUUCCGGAAUGGUCCGGAAACGAAGAUUGAUAUAUAGGAUGACCUCAUUUGAUUACCGGAAGGUUUUCGGAGUUACCGGGAAUGUACCGGGAAUGACGAAUGGGUUCCGGGAGUUCACCGGGGGGGGGGGGGCAACCCACCCCGGGGAAGCCCAUGGGCCUUGGGGGAGACACACCAGCCCUUAGUGGGCUGGUGGGACAGGCCCACAAGUGGUCUAUGCGCCAAGAGAAGAAAAUCAAGAGGAAAAGAAAAAAAAGGAGGAAGGUAGGGAAAGGGGAGGAAGGGAACUACCCGUACCCGACCAAACCUAGUCCAACUCGGUUUNNNNNNNNNNNNNNNNNNNNNNNNNNNNNNNNNNNNNNNNNNNNNNNNNNNNNNNNNNNNNNNNNNNNNNNNNNNNNNNNNNNNNNNNNNNNNNNNNNNNACACCCCAGAUGGGAGGUGCGGCGGCCAGAGGGGGGAGGAAGGGGUGGCGCACCAUCUGGUGGGCCUUAGGCCCACCUGGCCUAGGGUUUGCCCCCCUUUUCUCUCCCUUGUGCAAUGGGCUGAGUGGGGAGGCGCACCAUCCCACCUAGGGGCUGGUUCCCACCCCUAUUUGGCCCACCUUAUCUCCCGGGGUCGUUGCCCCCCUUUGGUGGUCCCCCGGGGCCACCUCCGGUGGUCCCGGUGGUCCCGGUACGUNNNNNNNNNNGGAAUUAUAAUAAUAACUAUAUAUUUAUUAUUGCCUCUAGGGCAUAAUUCCAACAUCAAUCUGUACCUCCGGACCAUUCCGGAGCUCCUUGUGACGUCCGGGAUCUCAUCCGGGACUCCGAACAACUUUCGGUAACCUNNNNNNNNNNCGAAACCAUCCGUCCUAUAUAUCAAUCUUUACCUCCAGACCAAACCGGAGCUCCUCGUGACGUCCGGGAUCUCAUCCGGGACUCCGAACAACUUUCGGUAACCUUGUGUAACAAUUCCCUAUAACCCUAGCGUCAUCGAACCUUAAGUGUGUAGACCCUACGGGUUCGGGAGACAGGCAGACAUGACCAAGACACCUCUCUGGUCAAUAACCAUCAGCGGGGUCUGGAUACCCAUGGUGGCUCCCACUUGCUCCACGAUGAUCUCAUCGGAUGAACCACGAUGUCAAGGAUGCAAUCAAUCCCGUAUACGAUUCCCUUUGUCUGUCGGUAUAGAACUUGCCCGAGAUUCGAUCGUCGGUAUACCUAUACCUUGUUCAAUCUCGUUACCGGUAAGUCUCUUUACUCGUUCCGUAGCACGUCAUCGUGUGACUAACUCCUUAGUCAGAUUGAGCUCAUGAUGAUGUUCUACCGAGUGGGCCCAGAGAUACCUCUCCGUCACACGGAGUGACAAAUCCCGAUCUCGAUUCGUACCAACCCAACAGACACUUUCGGAGGUACCCGUAGUGCACCUUUAUANNNNNNNNNNNNNNNNNNNNNNNNNNNNNNNNNNNNNNNNNNNNNNNNNNNNNNNNNNNNNNNNNNNNNNNNNNNNNNNNNNNNNNNNNNNNNNNNNNNNUUCAAGAUAAUUAGAGUUCAACUUAAUCAAAUUAUAUGCUAAACUCCCACUCAAAAAGUACAUCUCUCUAGUCAUUUGAGUGGUUCAUGAUCCACUUACACUAUCCCAAGUCCGAUCAUCACGUGAGUUGAGUAUAGUUUCAGUGGUAAGCAUCCCUAUGCUAAUCAUAUCAACUAUAUGAUUCAUGAUCGACCUUUCGGUCUCAUGUGUUCCGAGGCCAUGUCUGCACAUGCUAGGCUCGUCAUGCUUAACCCGAGUGUUCUGCGUGCGCAACUGUUUUGCACCCGUUGUAUGUGAACGUUGAGUCUAUCACACCCGAUCAUCACGUGGUGUCUCGAAACGACGAACUGUAGCAACGGUGCACAAUCGGGGAGAACACAAUUUCGUCUUGAAAUUUUAGUGAGAUAUCACCUCAUAAUGCUACCGUCGUUCUAAGCAAAAUAAGGUGCAUAAAAGGAUUAACAUCACAUGCAAUUCAUAAGUGACAUGAUAUGGCCAUCAACACGUGCUUCUUGAUCUCCAUCACCAAAGCACCGGCACGAUCUUCUUGUCACCGGCGCCACACCAUGAUCAUCCAUCAAUGUGUCGCCAUCGGGGUUGUCGUGCUACUUAUGCUAUUACUACUAAAGCUACACCCUAGCAAAAUAGUAAACGCAUCUGCAAGCACAAAUAUGUUAGUAUAAAGACAACCCUAUGGCUCCUGCCGGUUGCCAUACCAUCGACGUGCAAGUCGAUAUUUCUAUUACAACAUGAUCAUCUCAUACAUCCAAUAUAUCACAUCACAUCAUAGGCCAUAUCACAUCACAGUCAUACCCUGCAAAAACAAGUUAGACGUCCUCUAAUUUUGUUGUUGCAUGUUUUACGUGGUGACCAAGGGUAUCUAGUAGGAUUGCAUCUUACUUAUGCAAACACCACAACGGAGAUAUAUGAGUUGCUAUUUAACCUCAUCCAAGGACCUCCUCGGUCAAAUCCGAUUCAACUAAAGUUGGAGAAACCGUCACUUGCCAGUCAUCUUUGAGCAAAGGGGGUUACUCGUAACGAUGAAACCAGUCUCUCGUAAGCGUACGAGUAAUGUCGGUCCAAGCCGCUUCAAUCCAACAAUACCGCGGAAUCAAGAAAAGACUAAGGAGGGCAGCAAAACGUACAUCACCGCCCACAAAACCUUUUGUGUUCUACUCGAGAAGACAUGUACGCAUGAACCUAGCUCAUGAUGCCACUGUUGGGGAACGUCGCAUGGNNNNNNNNNNNNNNNNNNNNNNNNNNNNNNNNNNNNNNNNNNNNNNNNNNNNNNNNNNNNNNNNNNNNNNNNNNNNNNNNNNNNNNNNNNNNNNNNNNNNCCAUGCGACGUUCCCCAACAGUGGCAUCAUGAGCUAGGUUCAUGCGUAGAUGUCUUCUCGAGUAGAGCACAAAAGUUUUUGUGGGCGGUGAUGUGCGUUUUGCUGCCCUCCUUAGUCUUUUCUUGACUCCGCGGUAUUGUUGGAUUGAAGCGGCUUGGACCGACAUUACUCGUACGGUUACGAGAGACUGGUUUCAUCGUUACGAGUAACCCCCUUUGCUGAAAGAUGACUGGCAAGUGUCGGUUUCUCCAACUUUAGUUGAAUCGGAUUUGACCGAGGAGGUCCUUGNNNNNNNNNNNNGUAAGUAAGAUGCGAUCCUACUAGAUACCCUUGGUCACCACGUAAAACAUGCAACAACAAAAUUAGAGGACGUCUAACUUGUUUUUGCAGGGUAUGAUUGUGAUGUGAUAUGGCCAUCGAUGUGAUGUGAUAUAUUGGAUGUAUGAGAUGAUCAUGCUGUAAUAGAAAUAUCGACUUGCACGUCGAUGGUACGGCAACCGGCAGGAGCCAUAGGGUUGUCUUUAUACUAACGUUUGUGCUUGCAGAUGCGUUUACUAUUUUGCUAGGAUGUAGCUUUAGUAGUAAUAGCAUAAGUAGCACGACAACCCCGAUGGCAACACGUUGAUGGAUGAUCAUGGUGUGGCGCCGGUGACAAGAAGAUCGUGCCGGNNNNNNNNNNNNNNNNNNNNNNNNNNNNNNNNNNNNNNNNNNNNNNNNNNNNNNNNNNNNNNNNNNNNNNNNNNNNNNNNNNNNNNNNNNNNNNNNNNNNCUAUAGAAUACUCAAGCUUUGGGAUGCCCCGGGAAGGCAUCCCCUCUUUCGUCUUCAAUCCAUCGGUAACAUUACUUGGAGCUAUAUUUUUAUUCACCACAUGAUAUGUGUUUUGCUUGGAGCGUCUUGUAUUGUAGGAGUAUUUUCUUUUUGUUGUGUCACAAUCAUCCUUUCUGCACACCUUUUUGAGAGAGAGAGACAUGCACUCAUCGUGAUUUUGCUACAAUGCUCAUGGUGCUUCACUUAUAUCUUUUGAGCUAGAUAAUUUUGCUCUAUGUGCUUCACUUAUAUAUUUUAGAGCACGGCGGUGCGUGACUUGGUAGUUGGCUUAUGCUAUGAAAGUAGUCCCAAAGGUGAUAGGUACCCAAAGAGGAUGCAAAAACCUCCAUCUUCAUGUGCAUUGAGUAAAAAGAGAAGUUUUGAUUCCUCUCAAUUAGUUUUGAGACGUGGAUUUGGUAAUAUUAAGAGCUAUGAUAGUAGGGUGUUGUGAAUCUAGAAAUACUUGUGUUGAAGUUAGUGAUUCCCGUAGCAUGCACGUAUGGUGAACCGCUAUGUUAGGAAGUCGGAGCAUAAUUGAUCUAUUGAUUGUCAUCCUUUGUGUUGAGGUCGGGAUCGCGCGAUGGUUAACACCUACCAACCUUUCCCCUAGGAGUAUGCGUUUAGCACUUUGUUUCGAUUACUAAUAAAAACUUUCGCAACAAGUAUGUGAGUUCUUCAUGACUAAUGUGAGUCCAUGGUAUAGAUGCAAUUUCACCUUCCACCUUUGCUAGCCUCUUUAGUGUCGCGCAACUUUCGCCGAUGCACAAAUCCAACAUAUGCCUUCCUCAAAACAGCCACCAUACCUACCUACUAUGGCAUUUUCAUAGCCAUUCCGAGAUAUAUUGCCAUGCAACUCCCACCGUUCCAUCUCAUGACUUGUGACGUCACUCUCAUAUUGUCAUUGCAUGAUCGUAAGAUAGCUAGCGAGAUGUUUCAACGUCAUAUGCCAAGCUAGACCAUUGCACAUCCCCGUACACUGCCGGAGGCAUUUCCUAUAGAGUCAUCAUCGUUCUAAGCUUUGAGAUUUGAAUAAGUAAAAGUAUGAUGAUCAUCAUUAUUAGAUCAUUGUCCCAUGUGAGGAAUAAAAAAAAGAGGCCAAAGAGCCCAAAAAAAGAGAAAAAAAGAAGAGGCCUAAGAGCCCAAAUGAAAAAAAGAGAGAAAACAAGAGAAGGGACAAUGCUACUAUCUUUUUCCACACGUGUGCUUCAUAAUAGCACCAUGUUCUUCAUGAUUGAGAGCUUCUAUCUUUGUCACUACCAUAUUCUAGUGGGAAUCUUCAUUAUAUAACUUGGCUCAUAUAUUCCAAUGAUGGGCUUCCUCAAAUUGCCCUAGGUCUUCGUGAGCAAGCAAGUUGGAUGCACACCCACUAGUUUUCAUUUUGAGCUUUCACAUACUUAUAGCUCUAGUGCAUCCCUUGUAUGGAAAUCCCUACUCAUUCACAUUGAUAUCUAUUAAUGGGCAUCUCCAUAGCCAUUUGAUACGCCGAGUCAAUGUGACCAUCUCCUCCUUUUUGUCUCACAACCAUCACAACACUCUAUUCCACCUAUAGUGCUAUAUCCAUGGCUCACGCUCAUGUAUUGCGUGAUAGUUAUUAAAGGUUUGAGAAAGUAAGAGUGCGAAAAUAAUUACUUGGCCAAUACGGGGGUUGUGCAUGAUUUACAUUAGUUGUGUGAGGAUGAUGGAGCAUAGCCAGACUAUAUGAUUUUGUAGGGAUAACUUUCAUUGGCCUUGUUGUUUUGAAAGUUCAUGAUUACCUUGCUAGUUUGCUUGAAGUAUUAUUGUUUUCAUGUCAAUAGGAAACUAUUGUUUCGAAUCUUACGGAUCUGAACAUUCAUGUCACGUGAAAGAAGUUUCAAAGGACAACUAUGCUAGGUAGCAUUCCACAUCAAAAAUUCAGUCUUUAUCACUUCCCUGCUCGAGGACGAGCAGGAGUUAAGCUUGGGGAUGCUUGAUACGUCUCCAACGUAUCUAUAAUUUUUGAUGGUUUCAUGCUAUUAUCUUGUCAAACUUUGGAUGUUUUGCAUGCCUUUUAUAUAUUUUUUAGGACUAACUUAUUAACUCAGUGCCAAGAGCCAGUUCCUGUUUUUGCCAUGUUUUUUACCCCUUUCAAAGGAGGAUUUUGAGCGGAGUCCAAACGGAAUGAAACUGCCAAAAAGAUUUUUUUCGGAACAGAAAAAGAUCGGGAAGCCGGAGAAUCAGGGCAGGGGGCCACCAGGGACCCCACAAGCCCUCAUGGCGCGGUCAGGGGGGCCCGCACCCCCUGGCUUGUGGGCUCCCUGAGGCUCCUUUGCCCUAGGUUUUGCGCCUUUAUAUUCCCUAAAAUUCCAUGAAAAAAUCAGGAGAUCAUCGAAAGUACUUUUCUGCCGCCGCAAGCUUCUGUCUCCGCAAGAUCCCAUCUGGGGCACGUUCUGGUGCCCUACCGGAGGGGGGAUUCAGAUAUGGAGGGCUUCUUCAGAAAUACCAUGACCUCUCCGAUGAUGCGUGAGUAGUUCACCAUAGACCUACCGGUCUGCUGCGGCAACAAAAGUCCUUCUUUGGCGCUAGGAAUUCUUCUUGUUACUUCUCUGGUUUGCGUCGGUUUUUUCCUUGAAGAGGAAAGGGUGAUGCAGCAUAGGCGCAGUAAGUAUUUCCCUCAGUUUAAGAACCAAGGUAUCGAUCCAGAAGGAGGGUGUCGUGGGUAUAAGUCUGACAGUAGAUGUGUAGGGUACGAAAGGAUGGGCAGAGCCUUAGAUACGGCGAGGUUGUAUGAGUUCAGGCCCCUCUACGGUGGAGGUAAAAGCCCUAUGUCUCAGUGCUCUUGAGAGCUUAGUGUCGAGUGGAAUAUAGGAUUGCAGUAAAAGCCAACCCCUGCACCAGUGGGGAAGGGCGGCUUAUAUGGAGCGUGCUGCCCUUCACAACGGCCUGGUGGGCAGGGGUGGAAUAGUGGCGAAUAAAUGCCUACGUUACAGGUAACGUAUGCCUUAAAUGCUAAUAAUGGUGUAUGAAAACGUAUGACCGUUGCCCUCCUGGGAGGUUAAGAUGUACAGAGUGGAAUCCAGUCGGUAUGUUAAAUACGCUCCGAUUGCUCGUCGCCGACUGGAUGAUGGGGGAGUCCUUAGUUCAGUCGGAACUGACUAAGGGCCUUGUCUUCUAUGAAGGGUAGUCCUUGGGUAGGACCUGUAGGGCAGGCCUAUGACCCUACCCUGGGACUAUAACCCCAUCAUUAGUCCCCGAAUGGAUCGGGGUUGAAACGAUGAAGUGAUGCUUGGAGUACGGAUCCGAUUGGUAUGGAUGUGACUUUGGCGUUGUUUGCCUCGAUCCAUUCUAUCCUUUCAACCAGUGAUCUGAGUGAAUAUACCAGUGAAACGAACCGUCAGGGACCGAGUGCUUCCGCGGAAUCUUUCGAUGUGACUGGUCAAACUGACAACGGCGGAUUUUCUGGGAUCCUCAAAUUUCGGUUGCCGCACGCUCAACGGGGAUGAUGACAUCGCCAUCGAGUAGUUUCUACCGCCUCGAUUACCGUGCCUUUAUCUUCUCCACUAACAUCGCAGCAGCCGGUUUCUUGUUGCGCUGCCCUUGUUACUCGCAUUCACCUCGCUCCUCCCGUAGCUCCCUGCACCGUCCAAGCCUCCUCCUUCCUCUCCUCCUGUGCGGAUCUGUUGCCUUCACCAUGACGAAGGGGCAGACGAGCAAACUCGAGUCGUAGAAGAAGAAGAGGAAGGGGGCGGCCCCUGCUCAGCGGCGACAGCGGGCACUGCCGGCAGGUUGGAUCCAGGGGGAUUUCCUCCCCUCCACGGUGACGGCGGACGACUUGCUGGAGCUGGUGGAGCACGGCAUGAUCGCCAACAAGUCGUGGAGGCUGCCGGCGGAGGGCGAGACGGAGCCGGCGCCGCAUGAGGGGGAGCGCGUCCUGCUGCUCAGCCCUGUGUUCAGAGGCUUCUCCUUGCCUCCCCACCCCUUCUUUAGAGGUAUUAUGAAUCACUUGGGGGCGCAGCUCCAUCAUUUUCCUCCGAACACGAUAGCCCAUCUUGUCGCAUUCGUCACCCUUUGCGAGUGCUUUAUUGGAUGUCCCCCCAUUGGGGGCUCUUCAAGUACUUCUUCUCCGCUAGGUCCCAAACUGUCAAAAAGCUUAGCCAGUCGGACGAUAAAACCCAUCUCUUCCAGCUCUGCGGGGGCCUUGGCUUCCAGAAGAAAACGAAGAGUAGCUACCCCCUCUCCAGUUGUCCGAGUCAGUUAGGAACUGGCAGUCGACCUGGUUCUAUUGCCAGGACAUCGCUUGUCCGAAUGUUGUGACUGGGUUGCCACCCUUUAGCCUAGACCGUCUGGCUCCUCCUAGGCAGCUUGCGCUCUCAAAGGCGAGAAAGAUCCAGAUCCAACCUCUGGUUGACGCGCUGAUAGCUGUCGUCCGCAAGGGAGUCACCAGCACAGAUUUGCUGGAGACUUUUCUGGGUCGGCGCAUCCAGCCGCUGCAAGCCCGACACCACGCCAUGUGGCACUACGUGGGGCCUGAGGAUUCCACUCGGACUCAUCUAGAAUGCGUGACCGGGGAGGUUGUGAUAGCGUGGGUCCACGGCAUCACAGGCGCAUGCGACAACCCCCGAGGAGCCCGGCGGGUGAAGCCCUUCCGCGCCGAUAAUCCUCCUCCGAAUGAGGUGAUCACCUCUUGUCGAGUGCUUUCAAUCUUCUUAGAUUUAUCGCUUUUCCUGUAUCACCGCCUGACGUCUGACGUUGUCGACUGUAUUUUGUGCAUGAGUGGACCAACUGGUAUUCUCCCGUCUCGAACGGGAAUCCAGCAGAGGAAGAGGAGGGCAGCCAGGAGGGCAGUGUGGAUAGCACCGAGUACGUCUCCGACAGUGGGGAGACGGAGGAGGAGACUGAAGAGGAGGAGGGGGAGGUUGGGGAGCAGAGCUCGCCACCUCCACCAUCAGAGCCUCGAACUAAGCGCCGUCACGAACCCGCGGCUCCACCGGCUCCUCCAGCGGCCCCGAGUGCUCCGCCAGCCUCUCCUGUGGCUCCGAGUGCUCGGAGCGUGAAGAGGACUAGGGACGCUGCUGCUGAGCCCACAGACCAGCCGUCCAAGGUGGCCAAACCUAGCGGGCCCAAGCCUCGGAAAGCUUUGCCUCGGAUGAGGAUCGCUGUUCCAGUUGCCUCAGCGUAAGUGUCUUGGUCUCCCAUCUUCCUUCAGUAUCUAGUUGAACUCAUGCUUAUCCGUCGAGUGGAUUUUACUCGACAGAGCUGCUACCUCCGCCACCUCUCUGCCGCGCCAAGACGAUGAUCCCAUGGAUACGGAUAACACUGCCACAUCUCAGCAAGGUACGUUGUCCCGACUCCGAAAGUUUGUAUUAUUGUUUCGCCAGUGUUGUCUUUAAUCUUGCCCUUUUUCUGCAAUUCCAUGUUGUUCAGUUGGGCUUCCUUCGGAGGUGAUUCAUCUGGAGGACGACAACCGGAGGGGGUGAGGGCCAGCUUUGGUGCUUGUCCUUGAGGUUGUUCCAUCUGCUGCUGCUCCCACCACGAACGUGCCGCCGACCGAGACGAUGCCGCCGACUGAGACGGUGCCCCUCGCGGCGGAACCGACUGGAGCGGAGCUUGGGAUGCCCAAGGAGUGUUCUGUCGUGCCGGGUCCGUCGACCAUUUAGUAUGAUGCCCGACACCUCCCGGAAGACCAAGUGGGGGCCGCCAAGGAGGCCAUGGUGCAGGUGGAGUUGAUGGUGGGUGACGCCAAGGGAGCGUAUGACUCCAUCGCGUCUUUGUACAAGAAAAGCUUGGAACUCCGGGACGAUAUCCGAGUAAGUGCGCUAGUAAGUGUUUACUUUCCUCUUGUUACCCACUGGGGGUUUCAGUGAUAGACUCGGAUACGGUAAGAUGUUUUUGGAGUGGGUUCACUCCGAGUGAACCCAGUGGGUGUAGUCCCCGAGACUUCUGUCGAGUGCAUGCACCGGCAGUUGUUUUUAUAUGUAUUUUCCAUGACCUGAACAGAUCAAAGCUGAUCUACCCGAAUGGUACCAGUGGGGCACUCCGAGUGCACCCACUGGGUGUAGUCCCGAGAGUAGUGUUACUCAGGUCGGGUAAUAGUACUCUCAUAAAUUUGUCUAUUUGUCAUGUAGCUCAAUAGGGCCGACCUGUUCGAGCUUCAUGCCAGUGGGGUCACUCUUAGUGAACCCACUGGGUGUAGUCCUCAAGACCGCUGUCGAUUGCUUGCGUCGGCAGGGGUUUGAAGAACUUUGAGCUUUGAUUGUUUUCCUUGUUGAACGUGUCUGAUCUUCUCUUUGCGCUUAUUUGGCAGAAGACUUGCGAAAUGGGAUCCGCGUACAAUGCUCUGAAGGCUGAGAAGAUUCAGCUUGCUGCGGACUUGGAGGCGGCUGUGAAUGACCAGGCUGGUGUGAAGGGGGCUCUUGCGGACCGAGAGAAGUCUUUGGAGGAGUCCCGGGAGACCAACAAGGCAUUGGUAGCCGAAAUUGAAAAAUUGAAGAGUCAAAGAACCGAACGGAUGGCUCAGCUGAAUUUGAUGAACAAUCGGUGCAUGGCGCAGGAGAAGUACGUCAGUGACUGGGCAAGGAAGAUGGUUGCACUGCUCGGUGGUAAGCUUUGUGCCGAGUGCUUCUUGACUUUGUAGUUCAUUCUGCGCUUACUUUCUGCUUGUCUUUGCUUUGCAGAUUUUUGUCUGGACGCUGAGGCUGAAGCAGCCGACAUUGAGCAGUCGGUUGUUCCGAACGUUCCACUCGGCAACGAAGCCAAUCGGGACUUGCUCCGAGCGCAUAUUCACCUUGGCAGAGUGGGACCUUUCAUUGGCCGUCUGAGAGAAGUCAUCGACCGGAUCGACAAGGAGCUGUGGCCCGAAGACGAUUCCCGGCAAGAAAUAGAAGGGUUGAUGACUCGGUUGGAGGACAUCCCGAGCAGAGUGCAGGCAUGGAAGAAGUCUGCCGCUCAUUGUGGUGCGGACGUGGCGCUAUCUCUUGUCCGAGUGCACUGCAAGGAAGCUCGCGAAGAAAAGUUGAAGGUGUUGCAGGUCGCCAACACCAAGAAGCUUCGAUUUGAAGAUUUCAUGGAGACCUUCCUCGAUACAGCCACUCGCAUCGCAGACGGGAUCGACCUUGACACCUUUGUGGAGCGUGCCAGUCCUGGUGACCCUUGAAAAACUUUACCUCACAAUUGAAAAACUUUACCUCGGUAUGCCGAGUGGUAUCUGUAUCAAACUUUGGCCACUACUGUUGGGCGUCACAUUCGUGGUUCGGUAAGCUUGAUCCAUACCGAGCCGACUGAUCGUGGAUCAAACAUUGAAUUCGAAUCGAAUAUUUUGCUCUUCUUUCACAAAUUGUCUUUGACACGAUUUUGGCUCGUGGUUUUUGUUUGGCGUUUCUUGGUGAAGCCAAUGGCAAACAUGCGGAGCAUGUAGUUGUAAGUUGUCUUCACAUCCACAUGAGCCUCAAUGAGGGUUUGCCAAGUCUCCGAGUGCGCACUCGGAGCGAGCUUCUACUUAGGCGACUCUUCGUCGCGGCUAAGUCUCCGAGUGCAACUUUUAUUGCACACUCGGAGCGAGUUGCUACUGAUGUAGUUGUCAGUUGUCUUUACAUCCACAUGAGCCUCAAUGAGGGUCCGCUAAGCCUCUGAGUGGAUCUCGAGGAUACGCUCGAAGGAAGCUUUUUACUUAAGCGAUUCUGGAUCGCAGCUAAGUCCCCGAGUGCGGCUUUUAGCGCGCACUCGGAACGAGUUUGUACUUAGGCUAUUCUGGAUCGCAGCUAAGUCCCCGAGUGCGGCUGUAAGUGUUGGAAAUAUGCCCUAGAGGCAAUAAUAAAAUGGUUAUUAUCAUAUUUCCUUGUUCAUGAUAAUCGUCUAUUGUUCAUGCUAUAAUUGUAUUAACAGGAAACAGUAAUACAUGUGUGAAUAAAUAGAUCACAAUGUGUCCCUAGCAAGCCUCUAGUUGGCUAGCUCGUUAGUCAAUAGAUGAUCAUGGUUUCCUGAUCAUGGGCAUUAGAUGUCAUUGAUAACGGGAUCACAUCAUUGGGAGAAUGAUGUGAUGGACAAGACCCAAUCCUAAGCCUAGCACUAGAUCGUAUUGUUCGUAUGCUAAUGCUUUUCUAAUGUCAAGUAUCUUUUCCUUCGACCGUGAGAUUGUGCAACUCCCGGGUACCGUAGGAGUGCUUUGGGUGUAUCAAACGUCACAACGUAACUGGGUGACUAUAAAGGUGCACUACGGGUACCUCCGAAAGUGUCUGUUGGGUUGGUACGAAUCGAGAUCGGGAUUUGUCACUCCGUGUGACGGAGAGGUAUCUCUGGGCCCACUCGGUAGAACAUCAUCAUGAGCUCAAUCUGACUAAGGAGUUAGUCACACGAUGACGUGCUACGGAACGAGUAAAGAGACUUACCGGUAACGAGAUUGAACAAGGUAUAGGUAUACCGAUGAUCGAAUCUCGGGCAAGUUCUAUACCGACAGACAAAGGGAAUCGUAUACGGGAUUGAUUGCAUCCUUGACAUCGUGGUUCAUCCGAUGAGAUCAUCGUGGAGCAAGUGGGAGCCACCAUGGGUAUCCAGACCCCGCUGAUGGUUAUUGACCAGAGAGGUGUCUUGGUCAUGUCUGCCUGUCUCCCGAACCCGUAGGGUCUACACACUUAAGGUUCGAUGACGCUAGGGUUAUAGGGAAUUGUUACACAAGGUUACCGAAAGUUGUUCGGAGUCCCGGAUGAGAUCCCGGACGUCACAAGGAGCUCCGGAAUGGUCCGGAGGUACAGAUUGAUGUUGGAAUUAUGCCCUAGAGGCAAUAAUAAAUAUAUAGUUAUUAUUAUAAUUCCUGUAUCAAGAUAAUAGUUUAUUAUCCAUGCUAUAAUUGUAUUGAAUGAAGACUCAUUUACAUGUGUGGAUACAUAGACAAAACACCGUCCCUAGCAUGCCUCUAGUUGGCUAGCCAGUUGAUCGAUGAUAGUCAGUGUCUUCUGAUUAUGAACAAGGUGUUGUUGCUUGAUAACUGGAUCACGUCAUUGGGAGAAUCACGUGAUGGACUAGACCCAAACUAAUAGACGUAGCAUGUUGAUCGUGUCAUUUUGUUGCUACUGUUUUCUGCGUGUCAAGUAUUUAUUCCUAUGACCAUGAGAACAUAUAACUCACUGACACCGGAGGAAUGCUUUGUGUGUAUCAAACGUCGCAACGUAACUGGUUGACUAUAAAUAUGCUCUACAGGUAUCUCCGAAGGUGUUAGUUGAGUUAGUAUGGAUCAAGACUGGGAUUUGUCACUCCGUGUGACGGAGAGGUAUCUCGGGGCCCACUCGGUAAUACAACAUCACACACAAGCCUUGCAAGCAAUGUAACUUAGUGUAAGUUGCGGGAUCUUGUAUUACGGAACGAGUAAAGAGACUUGCCGGUAAACGAGGUUGAAAUAGGUAUGCGGAUACUGACGAUCGAAUCUCGGGCAAGUAACAUACCGAAGGACAAAGGGAAUGACAUACGGGAUUAUACGAAUCCUUGGCACUGAGGUUCAAACGAUAAGAUCUUCGUAGAAUAUGUAGGAUCCAAUAUGGGCAUCCAGGUCCCGCUAUUGGAUAUUGACCGAGGAGUCUCUCGGGUCAUGUCUACAUAGUUCUCGAACCCGCAGGGUCUGCACACUUAAGGUUCGACGUUGUUUUAUGCGUAUUUGAGUUAUAUGGUUGGUUACCGAAUGUUGUUCGGAGUCCCGGAUGAGAUCACGGACGUCACGAGGGUUUCCGGAAUGGUCCGGAAACGAAGAUUGAUAUAUAGGAUGACCUCAUUUGAUUACCGGAAGGUUUUCGGAGUUACCGGGAAUGUACCGGGAAUGACGAAUGGGUUCCGGGAGUUCACCGGGGGGGGGGGCAACCCACCCCGGGGAAGCCCAUGGGCCUUGGGGGAGACACACCAGCCCUUAGUGGGCUGGUGGGACAGCCCACAAGUGGUCUAUGCGCCAAGAGAAGAAAAAUCAAGAGGAAAAGAAAAAAAAGGAGGAGGUGGGAAGGGAGGAGGACUCCCUCCCACCAAACCUAGUCCAACUCGGUUUGGGGGGGGGAGAGUCCUCCCCCUUGGCUCGGCCGACCCCCUUGAGGGUCCUUGACCCCAAGGCAAGGCCCCCUCCCUCCCACCUAUAUAUACGGAGGUUUUAGGGCUGAUUUGAGACGACUUUUCCACGGCAGCCCGACCACAUACCUCCACGGUUUUUCCUGUAGAUCGCGUUUCUGCGGAGCUCGGGCGGAGCCCUGCUGAGACAAGGUCAUCACCAACCUCCAGAGCGCCGUCACGCUGCCGGAGAACUCUUCUACCUCUCCGUCUCUCUUGCUGGAUCAAGAAGGCCGAGAUCAUCGUCGAGCUGUACGUGUGCUGAACGCGGAGGUGCCGUCCGUUCGGUACUAGAUCGUGGGACUGAUCGCGGGAUUGUUCGCGGGGCGGAUCGAGGGACGUGAGGACGUUCCACUACAUCAACCGCGUUCUCUAACGCUUCUGCUGUACGGUCUACAAGGGUACGUACAUCACUCAUCCCCUCUCGUAGAUGGACAUCACCAUGAUAGGUCUUCGUGCGCGUAGGAAAAUUUUUGUUUCCCAUGCGACGUUCCCCAACAGUGGCAUCAUGAGCUAGGUUCAUGCGUAGAUGUCUUCUCGAGUAGAGCACAAAAGUUUUUGUGGGCGGUGAUGUGCGUUUUGCUGCCCUCCUUAGUCUUUUCUUGACUCCGCGGUAUUGUUGGAUUGAAGCGGCUUGGACCGACAUUACUCGUACGGUUACGAGAGACUGGUUUCAUCGUUACGAGUAACCCCCUUUGCUGAAAGAUGACUGGCAAGUGUCGGUUUCUCCAACUUUAGUUGAAUCGGAUUUGACCGAGGAGGUCCUUGGAUGAGGUUAAAUAGCAACUCAUAUAUCUCCGUUGUGGUGUUUGCGUAAGUAAGAUGCGAUCCUACUAGAUACCCUUGGUCACCACGUAAAACAUGCAACAACAAAAUUAGAGGACGUCUAACUUGUUUUUGCAGGGUAUGAUUGUGAUGUGAUAUGGCCAUCGAUGUGAUGUGAUAUAUUGGAUGUAUGAGAUGAUCAUGCUGUAAUAGAAAUAUCGACUUGCACGUCGAUGGUACGGCAACCGGCAGGAGCCAUAGGGUUGUCUUUAUACUAACGUUUGUGCUUGCAGAUGCGUUUACUAUUUUGCUAGGAUGUAGCUUUAGUAGUAAUAGCAUAAGUAGCACGACAACCCCGAUGGCAACACGUUGAUGGAUGAUCAUGGUGUGGCGCCGGUGACAAGAAGAUCGUGCCGGUGCUUUGGUGAUGGAGAUCAAGAAGCACGUGAUGAUGGCCAUAUCAUGUCACUUAUGAAUUGCAUGUGAUGUUAAUCCUUUUAUGCACCUUAUUUUGCUUAGAACGACGGUAGCAUUAUGAGGUGAUAUCUCACUAAAAUUUCAAGACGAAAUUGUGUUCUCCCCGAUUGUGCACCGUUGCUACAGUUCGUCGUUUCGAGACACCACGUGAUGAUCGGGUGUGAUAGACUCAACGUUCACAUACAACGGGUGCAAAACAGUUGCGCACGCAGAACACUCGGGUUAAGCAUGACGAGCCUAGCAUGUGCAGACAUGGCCUCGGAACACAUGAGACCGAAAGGUCGAUCAUGAAUCAUAUAGUUGAUAUGAUUAGCAUAGGGAUGCUUACCACUGAAACUAUACUCAACUCACGUGAUGAUCGGACUUGGGAUAGUGUAAGUGGAUCAUGAACCACUCAAAUGACUAGAGAGAUGUACUUUUUGAGUGGGAGUUUAGCAUAUAAUUUGAUUAAGUUGAACUCUAAUUAUCUUGAACAUAGUCUAAGUCCACUUUGAAUAUAUUUGUGUUGUAGAUCAUGGCUCACGCGACAGUCAUCCUGAAUUUUAAUACGUUCCUAGAGAAAGCUAAAUUGAAAGAUGAUGGAAGCAACUUUGUAGACUAGGCUCGUAAUCUUAAGCUAAUCUUACAAGCUGGGAAGAAGGAUUAUGUCCUUAAUGCUGCGCUAGGAGAUGAACCACCCGCUACGGCUGAUCAGGAUGUUAAGAACGCUUGGUUAGCUCGUAAGGAGGACUACUCAAUAGUUCAAUGUGCAGUCUUGUAUGGCUUAGAACCGGGACUUCAACGUCGCUUUGAGCGUCAUGGAGCAUUUGAGAUGUUCCAGGAGUUGGAGUUUAUCUUUCAGAAGAACGCCCGGAUCAAGAGAUAUGAGACCUCCGAUAAAUUCUAUGCUUGCAAGAUGGAGGAAAACUCGUCUGUCAGUGAACAUGUGCUCAAAAUGUCUGGGUACUCAAACCGUCUAGCUGAGCUGGGGACUGAACUCCCGCAAGAAGCUAUCACUGACAGAAUCCUUCAAUCACUGCCGCCAAGCUAUAAAGGCUUUGUGUUGAACUACAACAUGCAAGGGAUAAACAAGUCUCCCGGCGAGUUGUUUGCGAUGCUGAAAGUCGCAGAGUCUGAACUCCGUAAAGAGCAUCAAGUGUUGAUGGUGAGCAAGACCACUAGUUGCAAGAGAAACGGCAAAGGCAAGAAGGGCAAUUCGAAGAAGAGCGGCAAGCCUGUUGCCAAUCCGCCGAAGAAACCCAAGGCUGGACCUAAGCCUGAAACAGAGUGCUUCUAUUGCAAGGGUAUGGGUCACUGGAAGCGCAAUUGCCCCAAGUAUCUGGCAGAUAAGAAGGCGGGCAAAGAAAAAUCAGGUAUAUUUGAUAUACAUGUUAUUGAUGUGUACUUAACCGGCUCUCGUAGUAGUGCCUGGGUAUUUGAUACCGGUUCUGUUGCUCACAUUUGCAACUCGAAGCAGGAACUGCGGAAUAGACGAAGGCUGGCGAAAGACGAAGUGACGAUGCGCGUAGGAAAUGGUUCCAAGGUUGAUGCAAUCGCCGUCGGCACAGUGUCACUUCAGCUACCAUCGGGAUUAGUGAUGAACUUAAAUCGUUGUUAUUUAGUGCCUGCGUUGAGCAUGAACAUUAUCUCUGGAUCUUGUUUAUUGCGAGAUGGUUACUCUUUUAAGUCUGAGAAUAAUGGUUGUUCUAUUUCUAUGAGUAAUAUCUUUUAUGGUCAUGCACCGAAUGUGAGAGGAUUGUUCAUAUUGAAUCUUGAUAGCGAUACGCAUAUACAUAACAUUGAGACCAAAAGAGUUAGAGUAAACAAUGAUAGUGCCAUAUUUUUGUGGCACUGCCGCUUGGGUCAUCUUGGUGUAAAGCGCAUGAAGAAACUCCAUGCUGAUGGACUUUUGGAGUCACUUGACUUUGAUUCACUUGACACGUGCGAACCAUGCCUCAUGGGCAAGAUGACUAAGACUGUUCUCCGGAACAAUGGAGCGUGCAAGUGACUUGUUGGAAAUCAUACAUACCGAUGUGUGUGGUCCAAUGAGCGUAGAGGCACGCGGCGGAUAUCGUUAUUUUCUCACCUUCACUGACGAUUUAAGUAGAUAUGGUUAUGUCUACUUGAUGAAGCACAAGUCUGAAACAUUUGAAAAGUUCAAGCAAUUUCAGAGUGAAGUGGAAAAUCAUCGUAACAAGAAGAUCAAGUUCCUACGGUCUGAUCGUGGGGGUGAAUAUAUGAGUUUCGAGUUUGGUGCUCACUUAAGACAAUGUGGAAUUGCUUCACAGUUAACACCGCCUGGAACACCACAGCGUAAUGGUGUGUCCGAACGUCGUAAUCGUACUUUGUUAGAGAUGGUGCGAUCUAUGAUGUCUCUUACUGAUUUGCCGUUACCAUUUUGGGGUUAUGCAUUAGAAACAACUGCAUUCACUUUAAAUAGGACACCAUCAAAAUCCGUUGAGACGACACCAUACGAACUGUGGUAUGGCAAAAGGCCAAAGUUGUCGUUUCUUAAAGUUUGGGGAUGUGAUGCUUAUGUCAAAAAGCUUCAGCCUGAAAAGCUGGAACCCAAAGCGGAAAAGUGCGUCUUCAUAGGUUACCCAAAAGAGACAGUUGGGUACACCUUCUAUCUCAAAUCCGAGGGUAAAGUGUUUGUUGCUAAAAACGGAGCUUUUCUCGAGAAGGAGUUUCUCUCGAGAGAAUUGAGUGGGAGGAAGAUAGAACUUGACGAGGUUGUCGAACCUCUCAUCCCUCUAGAUGGUGGUGCAGGGCAAGGGGAAACCUCUGUCGUUGCGAUGCCGGUUGAGGAGGAAGUUAAUGAUGAUGAUCAUGAAACUCCAGUUCAAGUUUCUGUUGAACCACGCAGGUCGACGAGAUCACGCGCUGCUCCAGAGUGGUACGGUAAUCCCGUCUUAUCAAUCAUGUUGGUAGACAACAAUGAACCUGCAAAUUAUGAAGAAGCAAUGGUGGGCCCAGAUUCCAACAAAUGGCUAGAAGCCAUGAAAUCCGAGAUAGGAUCCAUGUAUGAGAAGAAAGUGUGGACUUUGGAGAUACUACCUGAGGGCCGCAAGGCUAUUCACAACAAAUGGAUCUUUAAGAAGAAGACGGACGCUGACGGUAAUGUGACCGUUUAUAAAGCUCGACUUGUGGCAAAGGGUUUUUCACUAGUUCCAGGAGUUGACUACGAUGAGACUUUCUCACCCGUAGCGAUGCUUAAGUCCGUCAGAAUCAUGUUAGCAAUAGCUGCAUUUUUGGAUUAUGAAAUCUGGCAGAUGGAUGUCAAAACGGCGUUCCUUAACGGUUUCCUUAAGGAAGAAUUGUAUAUGAUGCAACCCGAAGGUUUUGUCGAUCGUAAAAAUGCUGACAAGGUGUGCAAGCUCCAGCGAUCCAUUUAUGGACUGGUGCAAGCAUCUCGGAGUUGGAACAAACGCUUUGAUGAGGUGAUCAAAGCAUUUGGGUUUAUACAAGUGGUUGGAGAAUCUUGUAUUUACAAGAAAGUGAGUGGGAGCUCUGUGGCGUUUCUAAUAUUAUAUGUGGAUGACAUAUUACUGAUUGGAAACAAAGUAGAGCUUUUGGAGAGCAUAAAAGGUUACUUGAAUAAAAGUUUCUCUAUGAAGGACCUAGGAGAAGCUGCUUACAUUCUAGGCAUUAAGAUCUAUAGGGAUAGAUCGAAACGCCUGAUAGGACUUUCACAAAGCACAUACCUUGAUAAAGUUUUGAAAAGGUUCAAAAUGGAACAGUCCAAGAAAGGGUUCUUGCCAGUUUUACAAGGUACAAGAUUGAGUAAGACUCAGUGCCCAGCAACUGAUGAAGAUAGAGAGCAUAUGCGCUCCGUCCCCUAUGCUUCAGCCAUAGGUUCUAUCAUGUAUGCGAUGCUGUGCACUAGACCGGAUGUUAGCCUGGCCAUAAGUAUGGCAGGUAGGUUCCAGAGUAAUCCAGGAGUGGAUCACUGGACUGCGGUCAAGAAUAUCCUGAAGUACCUGAAAAGGACUAAGGAGAUGUUUCUCGUUUAUGUAGGUGACGAAGAGCUCGCCAUAAAAGGUUACGUCGAUGCAAGCUUUGACACAGAUCCUGACGACUCUAAGUCGCAAACCGGAUACGUAUUUAUUCUUAAUGGGGGUGCAGUAAGCUGGUGCAGUUCCAAGCAAAGCGUCGUAGCAGAUUCUACAUGUGAAGCAGAGUACAUGGCUGCCUCGGAGGCGGCUAAGGAGGGUGUCUGGAUGAAGCAGUUCAUGACGGAUCUUGGAGUGGUGCCAAGCGCACUGAAUCCAAUAACCUUGUUCUGUGACAACACUGGUGCCAUUGCCUUAGCAAAGGAACCACGGUUUCACAAGAAGACCAGACACAUCAAACAACGCUUCAACCUCAUCCGCGACUACGUCGAGGAAGAGGACGUAAAUAUAUGCAAAGUGCACAGGGAUCUGAAUGUAGCAGACCCGCUGACUAAACCUCUUCCACGGCCAAAACAUGAUCGACACCAGAACUGUANAAACGCCUGAUAGGACUUUCACAAAGCACAUACCUUGAUAAAGUUUUGAAAAGGUUCAAAAUGGAACAGUCCAAGAAAGGGUUCUUGCCAGUUUUACAAGGUACAAGAUUGAGUAAGACUCAGUGCCCAGCAACUGAUGAAGAUAGAGAGCAUAUGCGCUCCGUCCCCUAUGCUUCAGCCAUAGGUUCUAUCAUGUAUGCGAUGCUGUGCACUAGACCGGAUGUUAGCCUGGCCAUAAGUAUGGCAGGUAGGUUCCAGAGUAAUCCAGGAGUGGAUCACUGGACAGCGGUCAAGAAUAUCCUGAAGUACCUGAAAAGGACUAAGGAGAUGUUUCUCGUAUAUGAAGGUGACGAAGAGCUCGCCGUAAAAGGUUACGUCGAUGCAAGCUUUGACACAGAUCCGGACGACUCUAAGUCGCAAACCGGAUACGUAUUUAUUCUUAAUGGGGGUGCAGUAAGCUGGUGCAGUUCCAAGCAAAGCGUCGUAGCAGAUUCUACAUGUGAAGCAGAGUACAUGGCUGCCUCGGAGGCGGCUAAGGAGGGUGUCUGGAUGAAGCAGUUCAUGACGGAUCUUGGAGUGGUGCCAAGCGCACUGAAUCCAAUAACCUUGUUCUGUGACAACACUGGUGCCAUUGCCUUAGCAAAGGAACCACGGUUUCACAAGAAGACCAGACACAUCAAACAACGCUUCAACCUCAUCCGCGACUACGUCGAGGAAGAGGACGUAAAUAUAUGCAAAGUGCACAGGGAUCUGAAUGUAGCAGACCCGCUGACUAAACCUCUUCCACGGCCAAAACAUGAUCGACACCAGAACUGUAUGGGUGUUAGUUUAUUACAAUGUAAUUCACAUGGUGAUGUGAGGGCUAGAUUAUUGACUCUAGUGCAAGUGGGAGACUGUUGGAAUUAUGCCCUAGAGACAAUAAUAAAUAUAUAGUUAUUAUUAUAAUUCAUGUAUCAAGAUAAUAGUUUAUUAUCCAUGCUAUAAUUGUAUUGAAUGAAGACUCAUUUACAUGUGUGGAUACAUAGACAAAACACCGUCCCUAGCAUGCCUCUAGUUGGCUAGCCAGUUGAUCGAUGAUAGUCAGUGUCUUCUGAUUAUGAACAAGGUGUUGUUGCUUGAUAACUGGAUCACGUCAUUGGGAGAAUCACGUGAUGGACUAGACCCAAACUAAUAGACGUAGCAUGUUGAUCGUGUCAUUUUGUUGCUACUGUUUUCUACGUGUCAAGUAUUUAUUCCUAUGACCAUGAGAUCAUAUAACUCACUGACACCGGAGGAAUGCUUUGUGUGUAUCAAACGUCGCAACGUAACUGGGUGACUAUAAAGAUGCUCUACAGGUAUCUCCGAAGGUGUUAGUUGAGUUAGUAUGGAUCAAGACUGGGAUUUGUCACUCCGUGUGACGGAGAGGUAUCUCGGGGCCCACUCGGUAAUACAACAUCACACACAAGCCUUGCAAGCAAUGUAACUUAGUGUAAGUUGCGGGAUCUUGUAUUACGGAACGAGUAAAGAGACUUGCCGGUAAACGAGGUUGAAAUNGGUUAAAGUUGAGUUAGUAUGGAUCAAGACUGGGAUUUGUCACUCCGUGUGACGGAGAGGUAUCUUGGGGCCCACUCGGUAAUACAACAUCACACACAAGCCUUGCAAGCAAUGUAACUUAGUGUAAGUUGCGGGAUCUUGUAUUACGGAACGAGUAAAGAGACUUGCCGGUAAACGAGAUUGAAAUAGGUAUGCGGAUACUGACGAUCGAAUCUCGAGCAAGUAACAUGCCGAAGGACAAAGGGAAUGACAUACGGGAUUAUACGAAUCCUUGGCACUGAGGUUCAAACGAUAAGAUCUUCGUAGAAUAUGUAGGAUCCAAUAUGGGCAUCCAGGUCCCGCUAUUGGAUAUUGACCGAGGAGUCUCUCGGGUCAUGUCUACAUAGUUCUCGAACCCGCAGGGUCUGCACACUUAAGGUUCGACGUUGUUUUAUGCGUAUUUGAGUUAUAUGGUUGGUUACCGAAUGUUGUUCGGAGUCCCGGAUGAGAUCACGGACGUCACGAGGGUUUCCGGAAUGGUCCGGAAACGAAGAUUGAUAUAUAGGAUGACCUCAUUUGAUUACCGGAAGGUUUUCGGAGUUACCGGGAAUGUACCGGGAAUGACGAAUGGGUUCCGGGAGUUCACCGGGGGGGGGGGGCACCCACCCCGGGGAAGCCCAUGGGCCUUGGGGGAGACACACCAGCCCUUAGUGGGCUGGUGGGACAGCCCACAAGUGGUCUAUGCGCCAAGAGAAGAAAAAUCAAGAGGAAAAGAAAAAAAAGGAGGAGGUGGGAAGGGAGGAGGACUCCCUCCCACCAAACCUAGUCCAACUCGGUUUGGGGGGGGGAGAGUCCUCCCCCUUGGCUCGGCCGACCCCCUUGAGGGUCCUUGACCCCAAGGCAAGGCCCCCUCCCUCCCACCUAUAUAUACGGAGGUUUUAGGGCUGAUUUGAGACGACUUUUCCACGGCAGCCCGACCACAUACCUCCACGGUUUUUCCUCUAGAUCGCGUUUCUGCGGAGCUCGGGCGGAGCCCUGCUGAGACAAGGUCAUCACCAACCUCCAGAGUGCCGUCACGCUGCCGGAGAACUCCUCUACCUCUCCGUCUCUCUUGCUGGAUCAAGAAGGCCGAGAUCAUCGUCGAGCUGUACGUGUGCUGAACGCGGAGGUGCCGUCCGUUCGGUACUAGAUCGUGGGACUGAUCGCGGGAUUGUUCGCGGGGCGGAUCGAGGGACGUGAGGACGUUCCACUACAUCAACCGCGUUCUCUAACGCUUCUGUUGUACGGUCUACAAGGGUACGCACAUCACUCAUCCCCUCUCGUAGAUGGACAUCACCAUGAUAGGUCUUCGUGCGCGUAGGAAAAUUUUUGUUUCCCAUGCGACGUUCCCCAACAAUUGAUAUAUAGGACGGAUGGUUUCUGAUACCGGAAGUGUUUCGGGCAUCACCGGUAACGUACCGGGACCACCGGGACCACCGGAGGUGGCCCCGGGGGACCACCGAAGGGGGCAACGACCCCGGGAGAUAAGGUGGGCCAAGUGGGGGUGGGAACCAGCCCCUAGGUGGGCUGGUGCGCCUCCCCACUCAGCCCAUUGUGCAAGGGAGAGAAAAGGGGGGGCAAACCCUAGGCCAGGUGGGCCGAAGGCCCACUAGAUGGUGCGCCACCCCUUCCUCCCCCCUCUGGCCGCCGCACCUCCCAUCUGGGGGGGCUGCCGCACCCCCUAGGGUGGGAACCGUAGGGGUGGCACCCCCUCUCCCCUCCCCCUAUAUAUAUCGGGCACUUUUGGCCAUUGAGACACACGGUUUUUCCCUCUCUCUCGGCGCAGCCCUGCUCUUCUUCCUCCUCCUCUCCGCCGGUGCUUGGCGAAGCCCUGCCGGGAGACCUCGUCUCUCCAUCGACACCACGCCGUCGUGUUGCUGGAGUUCUUCCCCAACCUCUCCCUCCUCCUUGCUGGAUCAAGGUGCGGGAGAUGUCACCGGGCUGCACGUGUGUUGAACGCGUAGGUGCCGUUGUUCGGCACUAGAUCGGAAUCGCUGCGAGUACGACUCCAUCAACCGCGUUCUAGCAACGCUUCCGCUUAGCGAUCUUCAAAGGUAUGAAGAUGCUCUUACCCCUCUCUAGUUGCUGGUCUCUCCAUAGGAAUAUCUGAAUAUGCGUAGGAAAAUUUUGAAUUUAUGCUACGUUACCCAACAGUGGCAUCCGAGCCAGGUUUUCUAUGCGUAGAUUCUAUGCACGAGUAGAACACAAAAGUUGUGGGCGAUGAUUUGUCAAUUUGCUUACCGCUACUAGUCUUAUUCUUUUCCGGCGGUAUUGUGGGAUGAAGCGGCCCGGACCGACUUUACACGUACGCUUACGUGAGACUGGUUCCACCGAUAGACAUGCACACCGUGCAUAAAGGUGGCUAGCGUGUGUCUGGCUCUCCUACUCUAGUCGGAUUGGAUUUGAUGAAAAGGGUCCUUAUGAAGGGUAAAUAGCUUUGGCAUAUCAUCGUUGUGGUUGUCACGUAGGUAAGAAGGCGUUCUUGCUAGAAACCCAAAUCAGCCACGUAAAACUUGCAACAACAAUUAGAGGACGUCUAACUUGUUUUUGCAGGGUUUGACAUGUGAUGUGAUAUGGCCAAAGUUGUGAUGUUGCAUGUAUGAUGUAUGAGAUGAUCAUGUUAUUGUAAUAGGUUUCACGACUUGCAUGUCGAUGAGUAUGACAACCGGUAGGAGCCAUAGGAGUUGUCUUAAUUUAUUGUAUGAGAUGCAACGCCAUGUGCUUACUACUUUUACUUCAUUGCUAACAGUUAGCUAUAGUAGUAGUGAUAGUAGUAGUUGGCAUGAAAACUUCACAGAGACACGAUGAUGGAGAUCAUGAUGAUGGAGAUCAUGGGUCACGCCAGUGACGAUGAUGAUCAUGCGAUGCCUGAAGAUGGAGAUCAAAAGAGCAAAGAUGAUAAUGGCCAUAUCAUGUCACUAUAUGAUUGCAUUGUGAUGUUUAUCAUGUUUUACAUCUUAUUGCUUAGAACGACGGUAGCAUAAUAAGAUGAUCCCUCUUAAAAUUUCGAGAACGUAUUCCCCUAAGUGUGCACCGUUGCGAAGGUCCGUUGUCUCGAAGCACCACGUGAUGAUCGGGUGUGAUAGAUUCUAACGUUCGCAUACAACGGGUGUAAGCCAGAUUUACACACGCGAAACACCUAGGUUGACUCGACGAGCUUAGCAUGUACAGACAUGACCUCGAAUACAAGAGACCGAAAGGUCGAACAUGAGUCGUAUGGUUGAAUACGAUCAGCAUGGAGUUGCUCACCAUGGUGACUAGUCCGUCUCACGUGAUGAUCGGACACGGGUUAGUCAACAUGGAUCAUGUAUCACUUAGAUGACUAGAGGGAUGUCGAUUUAAGUGGGAGUUCAUACUUAAUUUGAUUAAAUGAACUUAAUUGUCAUGAACUUAGUCUAAAAGUUGUCUUUAUAAAUAUUGUAGAUGUCCAACGUCAACCUCAAUUUCAAUGCAUUCCUAGAGAAAAACAAGCUGAAAGAUGAUGGUAGCAACUAUGCGGACUGGGUUCGCAACUUGAAGCUCAUCCUUGAAGCAGCUAAAAAGGCUUAUGUCCUUGAUGCGCCGCUAGGUGACCCUCCCGCUCCCGCAGCAGCCCAGGACAUUCUGAACGUCUGGCAAACGCGGAGUGAUGACUACUCUCUGGUCAGGUGUGGCAUGUUAUACAGUUUAGAAACGGGGCUCCAAAGGCGUUUUGAGCAACACACGGCAUAUGAGAUGUUCCAGGAGCUGAAGCUAGUUUUUCAAGCUCAUGCCUGUGUCAAGAGAUAUGAAGUCUCCGACAAGUUCUUCAGCUGUAAGAUGGAGGAGAACAGUUCUGUCAGUGAGCACAUACUCAAAAUGUCUGGGUUACACGGUCGUCUGACUUCACUUGGAGUCGAACUUCCGGAUGAUGCUAUAAUUGACAGAAUCCUCCAGUCUCUCCCACCAAGCUACAAAGGCUUUGUGCUUAACUACAACAUGCAAGGGAUGGAGAAGACCAUUCCCAAGUUGUACUCGAUGCUCAAGUCUGCAGAAGUAGAAAUCAAGAAAGAGCAUCAAGUGUUGAUGGUCAACAAGACCACUAGUUUCAAGAAAGGCAAGGGUAAGAAAAACUUCAAGAAAGACGGCAAAGCUGCUGCCGCACCCGGUAAGCCAGAUGCCGGGAAGAAGAAAAAGAACGGACCCAAGCCUGAGACUGAGUGCUUCUAUUGCAAGGGAAAGGGUCACUGGAAGCGGAACUGCCCCAAAUACUUAGCGGACAAGAAGGUCGGCAACGUUAAAGGUAUAUGUGAUAUACAUGUUAUUGAUGUGUACCUUACCAGCGCUCGUAGUAGCUCCUGGGUAUUUGAUACCGGUGGUGUUGCUCACAUUUGCAACUCAAAGCAGGAACUGCGGAAUAAGCGGAGACUGGCCAAGGACGAGGUGACGAUGCGCGUCGGGAAUGGUUCAAAGGUCGAUGUGAUCGCCGUCGGCACGCUACCUCUACAUCUACCGUCGGGAUUAGUUUUAAACCUUAAUAAUUGUUAUUUAGUACCAGCUUUAAGUAUGAACAUUGUAUCACGGUCUUGCUUAAUGCGAGAUGGCUACUCAUUUAAGUCAGAGAAUAAUGGUUGUUCUAUUUAUAUGAGUGAUAUGUUUUAUGGUCAUGCUCCGUUGGUGAAUGGUUUAUUCUCGAUGAAUCUCGAUCAUGAUGUUACACAUAUUCAUAGUGUGAGUACCAAAAGAUGCAAAGUUGAUAAUGAUAGUCCCACAUACUUGUGGCACUGUCGCCUUGGUCAUAUCGGCGUAAGCGCAUGAAGAAGCUCCAUACUGAUGGACUAUUAGAGUCUCUUGACUUUGAAUCAUUUGACACAUGCGAACCAUGCCUCAUGGGCAAGAUGACUAAGACUCCAUUCUCAGGAAUAAUGGAGAGAGCAACCGACUUAUUGGAAAUAAUACAUACUGAUGUGUGUGGUCCAAUGAACGUUGAAGCUCGCGGUGGUUAUCGUUAUGUUCUCACUCUCACCGAUGAUUUGAGUAGGUAUGGGUAUAUCUACUUGAUGAAGCACAAAUCUGAGACGUUUGAAAGGUUCAAGGAAUUUCAGGGUGAGGUUGAGAAUCAACGUGACAGAAAAAAUUAAAUGUCUACGAUCUGAUCGUGGAGGAGAAUAUUUGAGUCAUGAGUUUGGCACACACCUAAGGAAGUGUUGAAUCGUUUCACAACUGACACCGCCUGGCACACCGCAGCGCAACGGAGUGUCUGAACAUCGUAAUCGCACUUUAUUAGAUAUGGUACGAUCUAUGAUGUCUCUCACCGACUUACCGCUAUCGUUUUGGGGAUACGCAUUAGAAACUGCAGCAUUCACUUUAAAUAGGGCACCGUCUAAAUCCGUUGAGACGACACCGUAUGAACUGUGGUUUGGCAAGAAACCUAAGUUGUCGUUUCUUAAAGUUUGGGGCUGCGAUGCUUAUGUGAAGAAACUUCAACCAGAAAAGCUCGAACCCAAAGCGGAGAAAUGCGUAUUCAUAGGAUACCCUAAGGAAACUAUUGGGUAUACCUUCUAUCUUAGAUCCGAAGGUAAAACCUUUGUUGCCAAGAACGGAUCCUUUCUAGAGAAAGAUUUUCUCUCGAAAGAAGUAAGUGGGAGGAAGGUAGAACUUGAUGAGGUAAUUACACCCCCUCUCGAACAGGAAAGUAGCGCAGCGCGGGAAGUUGUUCCUGUGGUGCCUACACCGACUGAAGAGCAAGAUAAUGAUGAUGAUCAUGAAGCUUCGGAUCAAGUUACUACUGAACCGCGAAGGUCCACAAGGGCACGCUCCGCACCAGAGUGGUACGGCAACCCUGUGAUGGAAAUCAUGUUGUUAGACAACGGUGAACCUUCGAACUAUGAAGAAGCAAUGGCGGGCCCGGAUUCCAACAAAUGGCUUGAGGCUAUGAAAUCCGAGAUAGGAUCCAUGUAUGAGAACAAAGUAUGGACUUUGGUGGACUUGCCCGAUGACCGGCGAGCCAUAGAAAAUAAAUGGAUCUUCAAGAAGAAGACUGAUGCAAACGGUAAUGUAACCGUUUACAAAGCUCGACUUGUCGCAAAGGGUUUUCGACAAAUUCAAGGAGUUGACUACGAAGAGACUUUCUCUCCCGUAGCGAAGCUGAAAUUAGUUCGAAUCAUGUUAGCAAUUGCCGCCUUUUAUGAUUGUGAAAUUUGGCAAAUGGACGUCAAAACAGCGUUCCUUAACGGGAACCUUAAGGAAGAGUUGUAUAUGAUGCAACCAGAAGGUUUUAUCGACCCUAAGGGUGCUAACAAAGUGUGCAAGCUCCAGCGCUCCAUCUAUGGGCUGGUGCAAGCAUCUUCGGAGUUGGAACAUUCGCUUUAAUGAGGUGAUUAAAGCGUUUGGGUUCAUACAGGUUUACGGAGAAGCCUGUGUGUACAAGAAAGUGAGUGGGAGCUCUAUAGCUUUCCUCAUACUGUAUGUGGAUGACAUAUUAUUGAUGGGGAAUAAUAUAGAGAUGUUGGAGAGCAUAAAGGCCUAUUUGAACAAGAGUUUUUCAAUGAAGGACCUUGGAGAGGCUGCAUACAUAUUACGCAUCAAGAUCUAUAGAGAUAGAUCGAGACGCCUCAUAGGUCUUUCGCAAAGUACAUACCUUGACAAGAUAUUGAAGAAGUUCAAUAUGGAAAACUCAAAGAAAGGGUUCUUGCCAGUUUUGCAAGGUAUGAGAUUGAGUAAGACUCAGUCGCCGACCACGGCAGCAGAUAGAGAGAAGAUGAGUUCUGUCCCCUACGCUUCAGCCGUGGGCUCUCUAAUGUAUGCCAUGUUGUGUACCACACCUGAUAUAAAACUUGCCAUAAGUUUGGUAGGGAGGUACCAAAGUGAUCCCGGUACGGAACACUGGACAGCGGUCAAGAAUAUCCUUAAGUACCUGAAAAGGACUAAGGAAAUGUUUCUCGUUUAUGGAGGUGACGAAGAGCUCGUCGUAAAGGGUUACGUCGACGCUAGCUUCGACACAGAUCCGAAUGACUCUAAGUCACAGAUUCAAAUUGAAAAACUUUACCUCGGUAUGCUGAGUGGUAUCUAUAUCAAACUUUGGCCACUGCUGUUGGCCGUCACAUUCGUGGUUCGGUGUGGAUAAGCUUGAUCCAUACCGAGCCGACUGAUCGUAGAUCAAACUUUGAAUUCGAAUCGAAUAUUUUGCUCUUCUUUCGCAAUUUUUUUUGACACGAUUUUGGCUCGUGGUUUUUGUUUGGCGUUUCUUGGUGAAGCCAAUGGAAAACAUGCAGAGCAUGUAGUUGUAAGUUGUCUUCACAUCCACAUGAGCCUCAAUGAGGGUUUGCCAAGUCUCCGAGUCCGCACUCGGAGCGAGCUUCUACUUAGGCGACUCUUCCUCGCGGCUAAGUCUCCGAGUGCAACUUUUAGUGCACACUCGGAGCGAGUUGCUACUCAUGUAGUUGUCAGUUGUCUUUACAUCCACAUGAGCCUCAAUGAGGGUCCGCUAAGCCUCCGAGUGGAUCUCGAGGAUACGCUCGAAGGAAGCUUUUUUACUUAAGCGAUUCUGGAUCGCAGCUAAGUCCCCGAGUGCGGCUUUUAGCGCGCACUCGGAACGAGUUUGUACUUAGCCUAUUCUGGAUCGCAGCUAAGUCCCCGAGUGCGGCUGUAAGUGUUGGAAAUAUGCCCUAGAGGCAAUAAUAAAAUGGUUAUUAUCAUAUUUCCUUGUUCAUGAUAAUCGUCUAUUGUUCAUGCUAUAAUUGUAUUAACAGGAAACAGUAAUACAUGUGUGAAUAAAUAGUUCACAAUGUGUCCCUAGCAAGCCUCUAGUUGGCUAGCUCGUUAGUCAAUAGAUGAUCAUGGUUUCCUGAUCAUGGGCAUUAGAUGUCAUUGAUAACGGGAUCACAUCAUUGGGAGAAUGAUGUGAUGGACAAGACCCAAUCCUAAGUCUGGCACUUGAUCGUAUUGUUCGUAUGCUAAUGCUUUUCUAAUGUCAAGUAUCUUUUCCUUCGACCGUGAGAUUGUGCAACUCCCGGAUACCGUAGGAGUGCUUUGGGUGUAUCAAACGUCACAACAUAACUGGGUGACUAUAAAGGUGCACUACGGGUACCUCCGAAAGUGUCUGUUGGGUUGGUAUGAAUCGAGAUCGGGAUUUGUCACUCUGUGUGACGGAGAGGUAUCUCUGGCCCACUCGGUAGAACAUCAUCAUGAGGUCAAUGUGACUAAGGAGUUAGUCACACGAUGACGUGCUACGGAACGAGUAAAGAGACUUACCGGUAACGAGAUUGAACAAGGUAUAGGUAUACCGACGAUCGAAUCUCGGGCAAGUUCUAUACCGACAGACAAAGGGAAUCGUAUACGGGAUUGAUUGAAUCCUUGACAUCGUGGUUCAUCCGAUGAGAUCAUCGUGGAGCAAGUGGGAGCCACCAUGGAUAUCUAGACCCCGCUGAUGGUUAUUGACCAGAGAGGUGUCUCGGUCAUGUCUGCCUGUCUCCCGAACCCGUAGGGUCUACACACUUAAGGUUCGAUGACGCUAGGGUUAUAGGGAAUUGUUAUACAAGGUUACCGAAAGUUGUUCGGAGUCCCGGAUGAGAUCCCGGACGUCACGAGGAGCUCCGGUUUGGUCUGGAGGUAAAGAUUGAUAUAUAGGACGGAUGGUUUCGGAUACCGGAAGUGUUUCGGGCAUCACCGGUAACGUACCGGGACCACCGGGACCACCGGAGGUGGCCCCGGGGGACCACCAAAGGGGGGCAACGACCCCGGGAGAUAAGGUGGGCCAAAUAGGGGUGGGAACCAGCCCCUAGGUGGGAUGGUGCGCCUCCCCACUCAGCCCAUUGCACAAGGGAGAGAAAAGGGGGGCAAACCCUAGGCCAGGUGGGCCUAAGGCCCACCAGAUGGUGCGCCACCCCUUCCUCCCCCCUCUGGCCGCCGCACCUCCCAUCUGGGGUGUCACCCCCUCUCCCCUCCCCCUAUAUAUAUCGGGCACUUUUGGCCAUUGAGACACACGGUUUUUCCCUCUCUCUCGACGCAGCCCUGCUCUUCUUCCUCCUCCUCUCCGCCGGUGCUUGGCGAAGCCCUGUCGGGAGACCUCGUCUCUCCAUCGACACCACGCCGUCGUGUUGCUGGAGUUCUUCCCCAACCUCUCCCUCCUCCUUGCUGGAUCAAGGUGCGGGAGACGUCACCGGGCUGCACAUGUGUUGAAUGCGGAGGUGCCGUUGUUCGGCACUAGAUCGGAAUCGCUGCGAGUACGACUCCAUCAACCGCGUUCUAGCAACGCUUCCGCUUAGCAAUCUUCAAAGGUAUGAAGAUGCUAUUACCCCUCUCUCGUUGCUGGUCUCUCCAUAGGAAGAUCUGAAUAUGCGUAGGAAAAUUUUGAAUUUAUGCUACGUUACCCAACAGUAAGCUCGCACUCGGAGCGAGUUGUUACUCAUGUAGUUGUCAGUUGUCUUCACAUCCACAUGAGCCUCAAUGAGGGUCUGCUGAGCCUCCGAGUGGAUCUCGAGGAUACACUCGAAGGAAGCUUUUUUACUUAGGCGAUUCUGGAUCGCAGCUAAGUCUCCGAGUGCGGCUUUUAGCGCGCACUUGGAACGAGUUUGUACUUAGGCGAUUCUGGAUCGCAGCUAAGUCCCCGAGUGCGGCUGUAAGCUCGCACUCGGAGCGAGUUGUUACUCAUGUACUUUUCAGUUGUCUUCAUAUCCACAUGAGCCUCAAUGAGGGUCUGCUAAGCCUCCGAGUGGAUCUCGAGGAUACACUCGAAGGAAUCUUUUUUACUUAGGCGAUUCUGGAUCGCAGCUAAGUCUCCGAGUGCGGUUUUUAGCGCGCACUCGGAGCGAGUUUGUACUUAGACGAUUCUGGAUCGCAGCUAAGUCCCCGAGUGCGGCUUUUAGUGCGCACUCGGAGCGAGUUUUUACUUAGGCGACUCUGGGUCGCAGCUAAGUCCCCGAGUGCAGCUUUUAGUGCGCACUCGGAGCGAGUUUUUUACUUAGGCAACUCUGGGUCGCAGCUAAGUCCCCGAGUGCGACUUUUAGUGCACACUCGGAAAGAGUUUUUUACUUAGGCAACUCUGGGUCACAGCUAAGUCCCCGAGUGCGACUUUUAAGUACGCACUCGGAGCGAAUUUUUUAGACCGGAGUCUGCAAACGCGGAAGAAUUUUGAACCUGGAAGAAAUCAAUCUGCUUUGUAUUACUUCAAUGAUACUUGUUCUUUACAUUGCCUCCGUCGGCGGUCACGUGUAGAAGCGCUUCAGAAGAUCUCCGUUCCAUGCUCGCGGCUCGUCCGUUUCCCUGUCGAGGUUGUAGAGUCGAUAUGCUCCGUUGUUCAGCACCUUAGAGAUGAUGAAUGGUCUUUCCCAGGCGGGAGCCAACUUGUGAGGUCUCUGCUGAUCCACUCCGAGCACCAGGUCGUCUGCUUGGAAUGUGCGACUCCUGACGUGCCGCGCGUGAAAACGCCGCAGGUCUUGUUGAUAAAUUGUUGAGAGUCAGUGCCAUCUCGCGCUCUUCUUCCAGAAGAUCCACCCCGUCUUGCCUGGCUUGCUCUGCUUCGGCUUCGGAGAAGUGUUCGACUCGUGGAGAGUUGUGAAGCAAGUCACUCGGAAGGACUGCAUCUGCUCCAGAAACGAGGAAGAACGGGGAUCGCCCUGUAGAUCUAUUCGGAGUUGUGCGGAGGCCCCACAACACCGAAGGCAGCUCGGUGACCCAUGCGCCGGCGGCAUGUCCAACUUCUCGCAGGAGUCGAGGCUUCAACCCUUGAAGAAUAAGUCCAUUCGCCUGCUCUGCUUGCCCAUUUGUUUGGGGGUGCGCCAUAGAUGCAAAAUCCACUCGGUUACCCUGGCCUGUGCAAAAACCUUUGAAUCUGUCCGAGUCAAAGUUAGUGCCAUUGUCGGUGAUUAUGCUGUGCGGAACCCCAAAUCUGGCGAUGAUGUCUUUGACAAAUUUGAUGGCUGUAAGGGCAUCAAGCUUCUUGAUGGGCUUGGCUUCAAUCCACUUGGUGAACUUGUCGACUGCUACCAGCUGAUGAGUGAAUCCCCCUUGGCCUGUUCUGAAUGGUCUGACUGUAUCUAAUCCCCAUACGACGAACGGCCAAACAAGAGGGAUUGUCUUCAGCGCAGAUGUUGGCUUGUGGGACUUGUUCGAAUAGAACUGACAACUUUCGCAUCGGUCGACCAUAUAUUUUUCCAUUUCAUUCGCCUACAACCAAAAGAAACCAACUCUGAAUGCUUUGGCGACAAUUGCUCUUGAGGUGGCAUGAUGGCCGCAGGUUCCCGAGUGAAUUUCUUCCAAGAUCAAUUGUCCCUCCUUAGGGGAGAUGCACCGCUGAAGGACGCCUGAAACACUUUCCUUGUACAACUGGCCAUCGAUGACAGUGAAGGACUUCGAUCUGCGGACGAUCUGCCUAGCUUGGACUUUGUCUUCUGGUAACUCUUGCCUCGGGAUGUACGCAAUGAACGGCACAGUCCAUUCGGGCGUGAGAGCAAGAAUCUCCAUGAUCAAAUCAACCACGACAGGGACCUCGACUUCAGUCGGAUCUGUUGAGCUUUUCGGUUGUACUGGUUCCUCUGUAAAAGGAUCUUCUUUCACCGAGGGGAGAUGUAGGUGCUCGAGGCAGACAUCACUCGGGACUGGUCUCCGAGUGGAUCCAAGUUUUGCCAAUUCAUCAGCUGCUUGGUUUUUCAGUCGUGGAACAUGGUGAAGUUCCAGACCUUCAAACUUCUUCUCGAGCUUCCUUACUGCAUUGCAGUAUGCAGUCAUGGUGGGGUUCCUUACAUCCCACUCCUUCAUCACUUGAUUAGCCACCAAAUCUGAAUCGCCAUAGACCAUCACGCGACGGACGCCGAGUGUGAUCGCCAUACGCAACCCGUAAAGGAGAGCUUCAUACUCUGCCUCACUGUUGGAAGAAUCAAAAUGUAUCUGCAACACAUACUUGAGUUUAUCACCUUUUGGCGAUAUGAUCACUACGCCAGCACCUGAGCCAUUCAACAUCUUGGACCCAUCGAAGAACAUGGUCCAAUGAGCCGAGUAGAUGUGAGUCGGUUGCUGUUGUUCUACCCAUUCUGCUAUGAAGUCAGACAGAGCUUGAGACUUUAUACCCUUCUUGGCUUCGAACUUGAUGGCGCAGUAUAACAUCUCCAUUGCCCAGUUCGCCACUCGGCCUGAUGCGUCUCGAUUGUGGAGGAUUUCCGACAACGGAGCAUCAGAAAUAACAGACACUGAGUGGUCUUGGAAAUAAUGAGCCACCUUCUUGGCAGUCAUGUAGAUCCCAUAAAUAAGCUUUUGAUAAUGGGGAUACCUCUUCUUGGAAGGAGUGAGGACUUCGGAGACAUAAUAUACUGGCCGCUGAACCUUGUACGCUUUGCCUUCUUCUUCGCGUUCGACUGUGAGAACAAUGCUGACGACUUGAUUUGUAGCCGCGAUGUACAGAAGAAGAGGUUCUUUACUGAGCGGGGCAGUAAGAACCGGCUGGGUGGAAAGCAGGGCUUUGAGGUCGUCGAAUGCAAUUUGGGCUUCGUCUGUCCACUCGAAAGUAUCUGACUUCUUCAUGAGUCGGUACAGAGGUAGCGCCUUCUCGCUGAGUCGAGCGAUAAACCUGCUCAAAGCCGCUAGGCAACCUGUGAGCCUUUGAACAUCAUGUAUUCUGACUGGCGGCUCCAUUCGGACAAUGGUCCCGAUCUUUUCGGGGUUGACAUCGAUCCCUCAUUCAGAAACAAAGAAACCGAGUAACUUUCCGCUGGGAAUACCGAAUGAACACUUGGCAGGGUUAAGCUUGAUAUCGUACCUACGAAGGUUGGCGAAUGUUUCUGCCAAGUCAGUCAGCAGGUCGGAACCUUUGCGUGACUUGACCACGAUAUCGUCCAUAUAUGCCUCCACAUUUCGACCUAUCUUAUCAAGGGGGCAUUUUUGGAUCAUGCGCAUAAAAGUUGCUCCUGCAUUCUUCAAACCGAAUGGCAUAGUGAUGUAGCAGAAACACCCAAAUGGGGUGAUGAAGGCUGUUUUUAAUUCAUCCGGACCAUACAGACGGAUCUGAUGAUAGCCCGAAUAGGCAUCAAGGAAUGAUAAACGCUCACAGCCCGCAGUCGAAUCAACAAUUUUAUCAAUGCGGGGGAGCGGGAAAUGAUCUUUCGGGCAGACCUUAUUGAGAUGCUUGAAGUCGAUGCACAUACGGAGAGACUUGUCCUUCUUGGGUACCAUGACAACAUUGGCGAGCCACUCGGAGUGGUUUACCUCGCGAAUGAAGUUGGCUGCCAAAAGUUUAGCCACCUCCUCUCCGAUUGCCUUCCUUUUGUGCGCGGCGGACCGACACAAGCGUUCUCGGAUGGGCCGAGCAGCAGGAUCCACAUGCAGUCGGUGCUCAGCCAACUCCCUGGGUACACCUGGCAUGUCAGCGGGCUUCCAUGCGAAAAUGUCCCAGUUCUCACGGAGGAAUUGGAUGAGCUCGGCUUCCUAUUUUGGAUCAAGGGUGGUGGAGAUAUUCGUCGGGGCAGCAGCUCGUCCGUCGGGUGGAUGCUGACUUUCUUCGUGUCUCCCGCCGACUGGAAUGCGGAUUCCGAAGCUGGUUUCUUCGAACGCAUCAAGUCAGCGGGGUCGGCUGUCUUCUUGUACUCAUCCAGCUCAAGGAUAGCCAUCUACUAAUCGGCAAUCCUCGACCCCUGCUGCAGACACUCCUCGGCUCGCUGCCGAUUACCUGUGACCGUGAUCACACCUUUGGGACCCGGCAUCUUCAGCUUCAAAUACACGUAACAUGGACGGGCCAUGAAACGCGCAUACGCCAGACGGCCCAGAAUCGCAUGGUAUGCACUCUGGAAGUCUACCACCUCGAAUGUCAGCUUUUCCUUGCGGAAGUUCUUGUCGGAGCCGAAAACGACGUCCAACGCGAUCUGGCCGAGUGACUUGGCCUUUCGUCCAGGGACGACUCCGUGGAACUGCAUGCGGCUCUCGCUAAGUUUGGACAUCGGAAUGCCCAUCCCCUUGAGAGUGUCGGUGUACAUGAUGUUCAAGCCGCUGCCGCCUUCCAUGAGGACUUUGCGCAGUCGGACUCCUUCCACCAUCGGGUCGACGACCAGAGCCUGCCUCCCUGGGGUGCGCACGUGUGCUGGAUGGUCCGACUGAUCAAACGUGAUCGCAGUCUGAGACCAUUUCAGGAACGUGGGGUUGGUUGGGGUUGCCAUGUUCACCUCCCUGUUCACCAAUUUCAGUCGACUCUUGCUUUCUACGUCAGCAAAAAUCAUCAAUGUUGCAUGGACUUGGGGGAACGGAUCCUCCUUGUCCUCAUCAUCCUGCUCGUUGUCCUUUUCACUCGGCUGCCCUUCGCCGAACCCUUGGAUCAGGAGGCGACAUUGCCGAGUGGUGUGCUUUGGGAAUAUGGCGUUGCCUUCUUCGUCCAUCUUCGUGUGGAUUAGACAUGGCUGAUCCAGGAUGGAAUUCCCGAACUGCUUCUUCUUGGGGGUGUACUGAGCUUUCCCCUGGCCCUUGAACUUGGCAUUUGUAACGGCUGCUGCCUCUCCCUGCGGAUUGGAUGGAGCCUUCUGCUUUUGCUUCCGAUUGCUGUUCCCAUCUCCGUCGACGACUGCCUUAUGCUUGCCGCUACGUAUGCGGUCCUCUUCUUCGCCAUUUUCAUAGUGUGUGGCUAUCUCCAUCAUCUUGCUCCUAGAGAUGUUGCCUGUCCGACCGAACUUCAGGUACAGAUCUCUGUACUGCAUGCAUGCCUUGAAGGCGCAGACUGCUUGGUGUUCUGUGACAUUCUCCACCAUGUGGUAGAGGGUCGUCCAGCGCUGGAUGAAAUCGCGCAGGGGCUCAUUCUUCUUCUGGACACAGUGCUGGAGCUCUACGAGACCAACAGGGCGUUUGCACGUGCCCUCGAAGGUCCUGAUGAAGACUCGGGAUAGAUCUGCCCAGCUGUAGAUGCUUGAUGGUGCUUGAUGGAGCCAACUGGUUCAGCCACGCUCGUGCCGAGCCUUCGAGCAUCAGGGGGAGAUGCUUCAUGGCGACCUGGUCAUCUCCGCCACCGAUCUGGACCACCACUCGAUAGUCGUCCAGCCAUGUUUCUGGCUUGGACUCUCCUGUGAACUUGCUGAUUCCUGUCGCCAAUCGGAAGUUGGGAGGGAUGUCAGCCGAACGGAUGGCCGGACUGAAGCACUCGGGACCAGAGACGACGGUCCUGCUUCCACUCGAACGGUCUCUAUCGUGACCAUCACGGUGGGCUCGACUCCUGUCGACCUUCCUCUGGGCGAUGUACCCUCUUGCGUCGGGCCUUGGAUCAUAAGCGUCACCGACCGAACGCCGAUCAUCAUGAUGUCGGGGCCCGUAAGGCCCACCCCGCGGAGGGGUGCGUGAACGGCGACGAUCUUCAGGGUUCAUGGAACGGAUGCCCCCUCCGCGUCGCUGAUGAGAGUCGCGGCUGAAAACCGACCGAUGCGUGUUCGCAUGAACAGAACUGUUGUGGAUCCUGUUGUGUGACUGGGAGACCUCCGAAUUCUGCUGCUGCACCGUAUGCAACAUGACGCGGAUCUGCUCGAUCCCCCUACCAGCCUCUGAAUCAGUCGGUUGGAGGGAAUCGGCUAUCUUGGCGGCGGCAGCCAGGUUGAGGACGGGUGUGCGGAACACCUCGAUGUUGCUCUAACGAGUGCGCCGACUGGCAGAACGACGGUGUUGACGACGAGUGCCGGAUGAUUCGCCGACCUCAUGCCCGUACCGACCAGUUCGGAGGGGACUUUCAUGGGAAUCAGCCAUGAGAACUUCGGCUGCAGGCCCGCGACCCAAGUACUCGGAAGGCAACUCAGUCGGAACUGAGUCCAAGCACUGGGACGGCGGCGCGACCACAACCGACUCGAGGAUCGCCACUUGAGAGGACAAGUUCUGUCGCACCUAGGCGUUUCGCACCCAACGCUGGAGCCGCGGACGGCGGGACCGCUUGUUGCGGCACGCGACGGGGGCGAAGAUCGACACCGGGGCCGAUUGCUGGAGAAGAAGGACGCCGCGGGCACCGGCACGGAAGUGCGUAGCCCCGCGACUGGGGAACGCCUCGACGUCGAGAGGCGCAUCCCGAAGCCAUGCCGAAUCGUCGAUGAUGAAGGAGAGAGGGCCGAAGAGGAUCUCACGACCCAUGCACAAAUCUCCGCCGGACGACAUGAUGAAAAGAUGAAGUUGCAAACUCGCCGAAAGUCGCUUAGACGCCUGCCCCACGGUGGGUGCCAACUGUCAUGGGUAUAAGCCUGACAGUAGAUGUGCAGGGUACGAAAGGAUGGGCAGAGCCUUAGUUACGGUGAGGUUGUAUGAGUUCAGGCCCCUCUACGGUGGAGGUAAAAGCCCUACGUCUCAGUGCUCUUGAGAGCUUAGUGUCGAGUGGAAUAUAGGAUUACAGUAAAAGCCAACCCAUGCACCAGUGGGGAAGGGCGGCUUAUAUAGAGUGCGCUGCCCUUCACAACGGCCCGGUGGACACGGGUGGAAUAGUGGCGAAUAAAUGCCUACGUUACAGGUAACGUAUGCCUUAAAUGCUAAUAAUGGUGUAUGAAAACGUAUGACCAUUGCCCUCCUGGGAGGUUACGAUGUACAGAGUGGAAUCCAGUCGGUACGUUAAAUACGCUCCGAAUGCUCGUCGCCGACUGGAUGAUGGGGGAGUCCUUAGUUCAGUCGGAACUGACUAAGGGCCUUGUCUUCUAUGAAGGGUAGUCCUUGGGUAGGACCUAUAGGGUAGGCCUAUGACCCUACCCUGGGACUAUAACCCCAUCAGAGGGCCUCGUCAAGUCCAGAGUACCUGCGCAAACAAAAACAAGCUUGCACCCAACGCUUCAAAGGGGUUGUCAAUCCCUUCAAGAUUGUUUGCAAAGUGAGAUCUGAAGGCGGAAAGUGCAACGAAGUAAAAAGUGUAAGGCUGAAAAUAUGGUGUGGAGUAGACCCUGGGGGCCAUAGUGUUCACUAGAGGCUUCUCUCAUAAUAGCAAAUAUCAUGGUGGGUGAACAAAUUACUGUCGAGCAAUUAAUAGAACCGCGCAAAGUCAUGACGAUAUCUAAGGCAAUGAUCAUACAUAUAGGCAUCGCGUCCGAGACAAGUAGACCGAUACUUUCUGCAUCUACUACUAUUACUCCACACAUAGACCGCUAUCCAGCAUGCAUCUAGUGUAUUGAGUUCAUGACGAACAAAGUAACGCCUUAAGCAAGAUGACAUGGGCAGGUGGGAGCUUGACAGGCGGCCAGCGACCGACGACGGCGGGAGGGGGCAGGGCAGAACCCUAGUCGCCUGUCGCAGGAGUGAGCCCUCGCGCUCGAUUCUUUUCGCUCUUCCCGGCUCAAAAAACCCUGAUCUACCAGCUUCCGUAUCACUUGCCACUUGAAUAUAUUUAUUCAUCUCGGUUCUACUAGUUACCUCGAUAGUAGAGCCGAGCCGGUCCCUCCCCCUCCUCUCCCCGAGGCGCUCCCACGGGCGCCCCCGAGAGGAACCCUAGCGCCCCCCGCCCCCUCUCCCCUGUCCCUCCCCGCUCAUCGCCCCGGGGGGCAUCGCCGACCGAAGGCCGCGUGGCGUUAGCGGUGACGGGGUGCUUUCUCGUGUGCAUAGAUGGGGGGCUUCAUGGGGCGCCUCCCCUCUGCCCUGUGGCGUCGGGCGUUGGGCCGACCCUGCCCCGCCUCCCUCCCUUCUCUCGACGCUUGGUGGCCACCGGCGCCGCCCCUCCCCUCUAUCGAGCGCGGCUCGGGGCUCCGUGUCCUGGGGCGGGCUGGUGGACGAUCUCGCUUCCUGUCAUGUUCAGGUUGGAGGUGGUUAGUGGGGGUGUGGGUCUGGGAUCCCCUGCUCAGAUCCGGUGGAUGGUGUUGGUAUGCGAUGGUUGGGGUGGCCGGCGGCCCUCAUAAGGUAGUGGUGAUGUGGCUGGUAUCAUCGCUACUCCGGUGCGGGAUGGCGGAGCUUCGGGUGGAUCUGGCCAGGGCGUUGGUGCUGUGGUGGUAGCAGAUCGGCUGCGGCGACGGCUAGCUUAUCCUAGCAUCGGCUCGUCUGUAGGCGGUCUAUGUCGGCCUUCAACCCCUUCCCUUGUCGUUCGGCCUUUUCUUUCGUCGAAGGGCUGGCCCUCUCCCAACUGCGGUCCAUCGCUCGUCUCACGCCCCGUGCAGCAGGACCGAGGUCGUCUCGCGCAUCGUGCGGCUAAAUCGAGCUCGUCUCGCGUAUGGUGUAGCAGGACUGACCUCGUCCCCCUGAUGUUGCAGCAGGAUCGAGCUCGUCUCGUGCUCCGGGCUACAGGACGGGUCGAUGGAGGCCAGCGCUGGCCGACCUAAUGGGUCUCGGCGCUGGGGGUUUCCCAGGGGUGCGAAAGGUGGGACAUUUCGCCCGUCUCUUUGGUUGGGAGUUGCGGCGUGUCUCUAGUGAGGUGGUGUCGAGACGUCUUGGAUGUCGGGGUGGUGGCUCUAGUGGCGGUAGCGUGGUGCUCUUUGGCGGAGGCCGUGACUUAGUGCUGCCCGGUGGCCAUGGUCGUGUGGGCGACGUGGUAGCCGAGGUGUGGCGUUCGGUGACGGUGAGUGUUGGCUGGGGUGAAAACCUGUUCUAUCUUCGAUGGAUCGGCGGCGGCGAAGAUCGUUCCCUUCUUGAAUGCAUUGUCGCAGCUAUCAGUGCCCGUCGUGUGGCUUCAGGGGAAACUCUGAUUCUUAAAUCGGGCGGCGGCGGCGUUACGGCAUCGUAACCUUCCUGAAGGUGUCGCCUUCGAGCCGAGAGUUCACCGUAGGCGGCUUCAUCUCUUCACGGUGGCGUGUUUACGGUUGAAAUCCCUGGUUACCCUCAUAGUGCUAGGGUGAUGUUGCUGCGCUCAGCGCCUUUGUAUCCUGCCUUGGAUGUGUGUGCUGUGGUGAAACGCGUUUGUAUCGGAUUGAUGACGAUCGAUGCUUUAUAUACCUUUUAAGAGAGACUUACAAGAAAUUAAGACAGUUAUUAGCUUGUGUAAAUUACCUUUUAAAACUUUCAAUGUUGGUGAUUGGACCAAAUUCUUCUUGUGCACUAGCAAAGGCGACGUGAUUCACCGACAACGUUGUAUUAUAUAUCAGUAGUAGCUAGCACCACAUGGAUUUUGGCAGCCACCACACUUCCCAUCUCGAAAGUAACAAGCUGUAGUGCACGACUAAAAGUUAAACAAAAAUUGGCAGGUGCCCGCUGAAGAGAGAGCAUAUAUACAACUUAACACACCCCAAGAGUUAACCAAUGUAUCAAUUAAGAAAAAUGAGACGCACAUACAACACUUAAUAACCAGAUAUUCUUGUGUAUUAGCAAAAGUUUCAUGAUUCACCAGCAGCAACGUAUUAUCAAUAGUAGCUGGUGCCAUAGGGAUUUCCGCACGAAGCUCAAUUCCCAUUUCAAAAGUAUCAACCGGUUCUGCAGAGUAAGAAAUAAAAAAUGUCACCUGCCUUUGUGUAGAGAGAGUUUAUUUACAACGCAACACACCACAAGAAAUAACCAAAGUAGAAUAAUAUGCACAUAUAUGCCAGUCAAAAUGGCACCAGGAUGCGGUGUCACUAAUAAUGUCGUAUCAGUCAGUAGGCGGUGUCGCGGCUCUUAAAAUUCUCUGCAUUUUCUUAGUACAAGAAAAUUAUCUGUAAGUUCAUUUUCUGCCUUUCCAACAAACCUCUUGGGCCUUCGUAUGAGUAACAGUUGCCGUAGGGCUAAUUUUCACAGCAGACUCAUUUUAACCCAGAAGAUAUGUUUAACAAUCCGCAAAACAGGCACCGGGCACGACGGAGUGUUUUUCCCGAUGCUUGCUUAAAAUACUUGUACACCUUUGUUUACUUAAUGUAUGGAGAUUGAAGACGCUUGUAGUGCUUUAGUUUACAUAUAUAGGUUAAUUAAGCAUGACACGGUACUCUAAGCCGCAUCUGAGUAUUUUUCUCCCCUCCCAAGGUCCCAUCUCAGUCUUUGCUUGCUUAAAAUAUGUUUCUUAUAUUUUAUCGUACUUGUUGUAUUUUGGAUUGCGUCAAGUUUUAAGAUUCUGUCCAUAUGUACUCCCUUGCAAUUAGUCACUUUCGAGCAUCCAUUUCAGUACAAAAAUGUUGGAAGAUUGAUCAAAGUCUAGAAACACUUUUUAGAAACACCGAGAGUGACAAACGCCCCCAUCGUGUUUCUUAUUUUUAAUUUGCUCCUCUACUCAUCAAGAUAUCGUCCACUCCUUGCUACUAUUGAGUUUUCUUGUCACUCCCUCUUUUUCCUUCUCCUCAUUACUAUUUUGCCUUGAAGCUCCCCGUGUUUAUGUUCCUACACCAGUCCUGAUCAGAGGGCUCAUGAUUCUUUUUAAUUCGGUGAAAUUGUUGCUUUGGAUGACUAGCGUGUAAGACUUAUGUGAGUUCAUUCAUCCUGUGUUUGCCUUGAGUGAAUGCAAAGUUAAAGUAAACUGAUGCAACGCUAACUGCUUGGAUGAUUAGGCAAAAAGGCAUGAAAUAUUUAAUGUUGAUCAAUUCAACUAAUAUAAGAGCUUUUAUGUCAAACGGGCAGUUGGGCACGGGUCGAAAGUGUGCCAAACUGUCAGGUUCAACUAAUGGACACUGUUGGCUGCUAACUGGAUCGAGGAGGUGAAGAAACGGGAGAUAACUUCAACAAUUUCACAGCAUGUGACCGGGCAUGACAGUGUGUUUGCUGAUGCUUAAAAGCCUAUGAACACGCACGGCAGCAGUGGAGAAGAACUAUAGAGGCAUCUUAUGAAUGUACAUGGAGAUUGACGAUGCAUGUAGUGCUUUCGCAUUACCAUGAACCCCCGACAAGCACAGUACUGUAAGCCGACCGCAUUUGGUGCAAUUUUUCUCCCCUCCCAAUCUCAACCUUGGUUAUUUGGCAAGCUGAUCCAGCUUGAACAUUUCAUUUCUAAAGUGAUAUGACAGGAAAAAGUGUUAUGCAUGAAAGUGUGCUUUUAAUUCCUUGCUUCCCUGCAAUCGCUUGAUGUAAGAAAAAGAGGAAAGUCCACAUUUCAACCCUCAACUAACCACGUGGUUUGAUUUUCAACCCUGAACUCUAAAAAAAUCAGAUUCGACCCUUAACUUGUCACAGGGUCUAGAUUACAAUCCUUGACUCAGUUUCGGGUUGGUCAAGCGGUUUUGACCGAGUCAAAGCUGACUAGGCAGCCCAGUCAGCAUGCUACACACACAUCAAUCCAAUCCUAUCCCCAACAGUAGGUCGGCUAGGGUUAGCAGCAUCAACAAUAGGUCGGCUAGGGUUAGCAGCAGCAGCUAGCCAACGGCGCCACCACCAACAGCUUGCCGGCGGGGGCGACAGAAGCAGCAGGAGCUAGUCAGCGGCAACAACAAGUAGCAACAAGGCGCUAGGGUUAGCAGCAGUAGAAGCCUAACGGGAAGAGAGUGAGUAAAGAGAGAAGUACCUACCGGAGGUGUGGCGGCGCCGCCCAUUGCCGGCAGUGGAGUUGGUGGGCACAGGCGGCAGCGUUCCUCACAACUAAGGCGGCGGCGGGGUGGACUGGGUCGGGUGUGACUGUGAAUGAAACAGAGAGAUGGGGAUUGGGUUUGAUUUGAUGUGUGCGUGGCUUACUGACUGGGCUGUCCAGUCAGCUUUGACUGGGUCAAAACCGCUUGACCAGCUGGAAACUAAGUCGAGGGUUGUCAUCUGGACCCUGUGACAAGUUGAGGGUUGAAUCCGACCGGUUUUGAAGUUCAUGGUUGAGAAUCAAACCACGUGGUUAGUUGAGGGUAGAAAUGUGGACUUUUCUCGAAGAAAAACUGUCAUUUGGUGUUGGCAAAUUGUGGCACGAAAACCUUUCUGUAUCAUUUAUACACUAAGUUGAUUCAACCAUUUGACAUCUUUAAUUUACAGAGUCACACUUCCACAAUCCAUAUAAAAUCUAUAGAUGGCUGCAUGCAUCGAUUGAUGCGAAGCCGGAGGUUUAACCUCCUUUUUUCAAAAAUAAAUCUAUACUUAUACUAAUUCUAGACUCCUUAGAAAUUACCACGUUAAUUAGAUUUUACUAGCCAAAAAACAGUUUUCUCAGAUCGUGUAAACAGAAGAAAAAAAAUCCCAUGUCAAAAAAGCUUCACGUCCCUCCACCCAAUAAACAGAUGCUUGUCCUGCACAGCCUCUUCCAAAACUAAAACAGAGUGGCAUCGUAUCUAUACAACUGUAGAUCCGUUUCUAAUUUCUCAACCCUACCUCUAUGUACUUCUAAUCAGAGAUGUCUCCAUGACGCUCACAAUGCUCCAACCCAGGCUUUCUAAUGUCUUGGUCGUGUCCUCCAUCGGAUCUUCAAUGUGCUAUCAACUCUCGCCAUAGCCAAUACAGGCCAAUACAGCAGCACCUACAAUCACACGUAAUUUUCAGGCACUAGCUAGGCAAUGGUUUUCUCCUCCCACACAUCUCCAGAUUUUUCAUGGCGACCAAGGUGGAAUGCAUGGUCCGAUUGGAGAAGAAUCCCAUGUUUGAUGGAAUAUACACUAGCUAGCAAUGGUUUUCUCCUCCCACACAUCUCCAGAUUUUUCAUGGCGACCAUGGUGGAAUGCAUGGUCCGAUUGGAGAAGAAUCCCAUGUUUGAUGGAAUAUACACUGGCUAGCUAUGGUUUUCUCCUCCCACGCAUCUCCAGAUUUUUCAUGGUGACCAAGUGGCAUGCAUGGUCCGAUUGCAGAAGAAUCCCAUGUUUGAUGGAAUAUAGGUUAGAUGGGUUUCCUCUCCUGUUUUGUUUGUGUUGACACUAAGUUGGGUGGUACAUGCCUUUACCCUAUCCCCCUAAGAUUGGAUGGAACACAUCCGAUGUACUCCCUCCGUCCGGUGAAGAGUGUACGUUUGGCCUUACAAUUUUUCCACAAAAGAGUGUAUUUUAUCUUUCGAAUGCACUUUAAAAUAGAAAAAACGCUUCUUUCUUAUCACACGGUAAUCAAGAACAAUAACAUUUUACACAUAGUCUUCUUAAUUUUUACAUGCGGUUAGUUCACUGGGGUUGGGUAAUUAAAGAGGAGAUGAUGGCUUGCACCUUUCCAAUGCAUUUUUUACUCCACUUCAUAAUUUGUCCUAAAAUGUCAGUAUGUAAAAUUUUCACCGGACGGAGGGAGUAUUUUUGUUAGGCAAGAAUUUACAUUCAGGCUAACCUCUAUAGGACAGAAAUUUUGGCCAUACGUACUGUCAUUAGGUGUGAUAACUAAAAUUUGUAUGAAGAAACGAUAUGUUGUAGUUGUCCUGCUGCAAUAAAAUCCAUGAUUCUAUUGUCGAUGUUUCAAAUGACACUUGCUGUACAUAUCUAGAACAACCCUGCAGUGCAAACCAUAGUUUUGUGAUUUCUAUGGUGUUCUGGUGGUGAUAAUUUUACCAUAAAUUUCCACUUAAUCAAACAAUCCAAUCAUUGGAUAGACAAGAAAAACAUAGAAAGAUAACUCAAUUUGGUCUUAAUUUACUGCAGUUCCAGACAUAAAAAACCAUUCCCUGGUAAAUGCAUCAUAAUCUUGAAUUAAAACUAUGUUUAACGUGAGAGGAAAUAACAUUAUUGCUAUGAUACCGAUGGUUAAUGUUAGGUAUAAUAGUUGGAUUGCAUUUUGUUGCCCAUCGUGUCCUUCUUAAAAGAUUAAUAUUCUCAAAAACAUAGAUUGCUAAGUUUGUACAAGCUCUCCCCUAACAACUUCUUUGAGAACUGUUAGUUAUGCUUUGUUUAACAAACUUGCAUCCUGUUGCAACUAAAGAGUGAAUAAAUUACAAGGUAUCUUGCUGUAGUAUAUAUACAUAGUACGGUGAUCAUAUUUCUCUUUUCAUUCCUUCAUCUGCUUGAAAUUAGCCGAUGUAAUAUGUUCCCAUAACAUAAACCCUUAACACUGAGGAAAGACCAAAAUUAAUUUUGUGCGUAUGCCGUGUAAUUUACAUUCCUAAAAGAACAAAACAAGUAUAAAAAUAUAUGAAAGGAACAUAACGACAAGUAUAGAAAGACAAUGCUCAUAAAAUAUAGAUUUCAAACCACCUUUUGCCGAGUCAAACAUAAUAUGGAAAAUAAAUACCAGUUAAGAUUCUAGAAUUCUCCCAGAUGACUCAUGUAUAUUCACCACUGAACGACAUCCUCCACCCAUCUGAUUUGCAACAUGAUAAAGAUGGACACAACAACAUAGAGUUCCAAAAGUAGCUUUGUUUCCAAAAGUACUAUCCUAUUCAAUCUUAUGCUCAUAUAGAGAGAGAAGAUUGGAUUUGGAAUCCACUGAAACAUCUUCCGUAAGUAAGAUCUUCAAAUGGCUUUCUAGAAUUGGCCACACUAUCGAGCAAGAAGAAGUGGACCUACAUAGGCGAAUUAAAAUGCAGACUGAGAUGGACUGAUAUAACAAUCCGAUCGAUAUAAACGGAAAACUCAGCAAAGGAUAUGACACCUAUUUUAGCCCCUGGAGAAAAUAGCAAGUAAACUUCCCAUGAUAAAAAUAUAUUAAUGUUUUCAGCAUAUCCUAGAGUUCGGCCACAUUUCAAAUAGUACACUAAAUCUAACUUUUAUAUGCAAGUUUACCUGCUGUGAACAAUUCUAACACCGAAUAUCUAAAUCGAUUGGUGUGUGUGCUGCCACAAACGGGUAAACGAAAAACAGUGGCAUGCCAUACCCCCCCCCCCCCAAUAAAUAUUUGGCCCUGAAAUAAAAUGGUAAAGUAACUGCAAAGCCGUCAAUUAAUAUCAUCUUAAUUAUAUUCAUUAUUUAAAUUUGUAUAAAGUUAGUAUUGUGAAUAUACUAGCCCGUGCGAAUGCACGGGUUGACGACUAGUAAAUAUAAAAUCUGUAGAAUCUUUGAUAUGGACGUCCUAUAGACUUUAAACAUCAUCAACCAGUUCUUUCGUGAAAAACAAGAGCUUGGGAAAUCCGGAGUCACACUUUCACUCCUUUUUUGUUUGAUCGCUCACUCCAUCAUGGAUCGACCUCUUUAAUUAAGACAUACCAGGGACUUGAGACGCGGGAGAGAUCCCUCUUGGAUUUCCAUCUCAGUUAUCACUUUUACCAUGAUGCAUAGGGAAGUUGAGUUGCGAUCGGCUUCAGGAGCUCCUUCCGAAGCGCCAUGACCAUAACAGCUACCCUAGUUAGCAGCAAUGGCUGGAUCAAGGCCAGGCCAGGAGAUGGGUACAGCUUUAUUAGCAAAAGCUGAUGAAGCCAACAUACCCCUCCGUUUCAAAAUAUAAGUCUUUUUAGAGAUUUUACUAGUGGACUACAUACGAAUGUAUAUAGACAUAUUUUAAAGUAUAGAUUAAUUAAUUUUGCUUUGUAUAUAGUCACUUAAUGAAAUCUCUUAAAGACUUAUAUUUAGGAACGAAGGAGGGAGUAGAUUAUAAUAUCGAAAGAACGAAACAUCUAGUCGAGAGUACAAUUUAAAUUAUACAUCCCCGAGUCGAGUCAUGAGCCAAACCGGCCCUGCGGAUUACUAUAUUUAUUAUCCUCUUGCAGUUGUACAGUCUACUAAGAAUCUCUUUAUUUCUUAGCCUCGUGCAGUGCAGUCCACUCCAUCGAGAAUCUCUUUAAUUUUUUUAUUCUAGCAUCUGUUUGCGUUAAUUAAUUGCAUUCCCCCAAAUACUCUGUCCCCCUGCUUCUCACAUGCCCCGAUCUGAUGCAGGCUACCUUUGGCAGAGCUAGCUGUGAGAAGAGUGGGAUCUGAUUAAUUCUUGAUUGAUUGAUGCUGCGAGAGUUGAAGGAGGAGGUGCAGAUCAAACCUCUCCUUGAGCAGCAGGUGGAGGUACCAUCUCCUCCUAAGCACGAGGAAGAUGAGGAGGAGGAGGCCGAGGAAUUUCCUCAAGUGGACAACAUCGCCUUCUCUGAUCCAGGUCCUUCUACCAGAGGUUAGCCCAAGAUGAGGCUCAUCUCACUUGACUUGCUAAUGACUGCUUACAGCUAAAAAGGAUGUACUAUUAUUAAUUGCUUACAGUUUCUCCUGCAAAAUGAAAAAUGAGGACACAGCUUCUAAUCUCUCCCCUUCUUAUAUAUGGUGUUUACUUGAUGUAAGGAUGGUCUUUACCUUCUAAUCUCUCCCCUUGUGGUCUUGAUGUAACGCACAUUAUUUGUUGAUUAGUUUUACCUUUGCUUGUGUAUGUUUAGAUGUUUCGAUCCGAGACAGAGAGAUUGGGGCCCCAAUCAGUGCUUCAAUGGGCGCCAUGAGACCCCUUGUUGGGAAGCUGGAUAUGCUGCUGCAAGCUCCUCUUUUACAACGAUGCUCCAACUCCAAGAGGUUCAAGAGGGUCGAGGACGGGAUAGGCCUCCUCAAAGAUGACGUUCAAAAGAUGGGCUCCUACCUUGAUCAGCUGUCAGAGGUGGAGGACCCUCCCCUGGCGGCCAAUUGCUGGAUGAAUGAGGCACGUAAUCUGUCUUAUGACAUGGAGGAUUACAUUGACAGCUUAAUAUUUGUGGGGCCUGAGAAUCCAUCCCUUGUUCCCAACAACAUCAAGACCACAAGGUCCAACCUCAAAUUCAGAUUCUGCCUCAAAUUCUUGGUUUAUGCCAAGACUCCCAAGACUCAGGUUGUUAGCAUUGCGGAAACGCUAUCAGAAUUCAGGAUGUAUGUCCUUGAGGCAAUUGAACGGCACCAGAGAUACAAUCUCCUUUCUUACAGCACGUUGAAGCGUAGGCUUGUGCCCGUUGGCCCUACGCUGCCAAUUCCAACACAGUAUGAUGAAGAAGCAUCGCACAUCGUGAUCGAUGGCUGGAUGAGUAAGUUUAUCAAUUCAUUGGUGGAUGACGUUGGGGCGGAUCAGCAGCUCAAGGUGGUAUCUAUUCUUGGACCUUCAUGUCUGGGUAAAACUACACUUGCCAACGUGUUGUACAGCAGAAUUGGGAAGCAAUAUCAUUGUUGUGCUUUCGUUCGGGUGUCGAAGAAACCCGAUAUGAAGAGGAUUUUCUGUGACAUUUUCUCGCAACUCCAGCUUCCGGACCACCCAUGGGAUUUUAGGGAGACUGACCUCAUUGAUAGUAUCAAGAAAUACCUACAAAACAAAAGGUACUACUGUUUUUCCUUCUACGGAAUGUCGCCAUAAAACCCUAAUUAGUAUGCCCCCUCAAUUUUGGCAUGUUGCAGGUAUCUGAUUAUUAUUGAUGAUUUGUGGGAAACAUCAGUAUGGGAUUUAAUUAAUCAAGCUUUCCCCAAGGGUAGUCAAGGCAGCAGAAUAGUAACAACUACACAGAUUGAAAACGUAGCAAUAGCUUGCUGUUGUUAUCAGUCGGAGCAUGUCUUUGAAAUGCAACCUCUGGAUGAUGAUCACUCAAAAAAGCUAUUUUUUAACAGACUCUUUGGCUCUGAAAGUGAUUGUCCUGAUGAACUGAAACAAGUUUGUGAUGAAAUUACUGAAAUAUGUGAUGGUUUGCCGCUAGCCACAAUCUGCAUAGCUAGUCUUCUACGAAGCCAGCCUGUCAUGUCAAAUGAUCUCUUCACAUACAUCCAUCAGUCUUUAAUCUCUUGUUUCUCUGCAGUGCCUACUUCUGAAAGAACUAGACAAGCACUGAAUCUGAGCUACAAUAAUCUUCCUCGUUACUUGAAGACAUGCCUGCUCUACCUUAAUAUGUACCCAGAGGGCUACACAUUCUUAAAGGACGAUUUGGUGAAGCAAUGGGUGGCCGAAGGUCUGAUUUAUGCAAUAGAAGGGCAAGACAUCGAGAAAGUUGCAGAAAGCUAUCUCUAUCAACUUAUUGGAAGAAGCUUCAUCCAGCCGAUAUCUGUCAGCUACAACAAGGAGGUGUUGUCCUGUCAAGUGCAUGGCAUGAUACAUGACCUUAUUGCGCACAAGUCUGCAGAAGAGAAUUUCAUCGUGGCAAUAGACUAUAGAUGUCGAAAGAAUGUGUCACUUUCUCACAAAGUCCGUCGACUCUCGCUUGUCUUUGGGGACGCAAGGUAUGCCAAGACACCAACAAACAUCAGAAACUCGCAAGUUCGGUCAGUUCGAUUUUCUGGAUUGCUUGAGUCUAUGCCUUGUCUUACAGAAUUUAAACUUGUUCGUGUCCUAAACCUUCAACUAUCUGGUCAAGGCUGCCAUGAUGAUGAUAUAGCAGACCUCACUGGGAUUUCAGAAAUGUUUCAACUGAGAUAUUUGAAGAUUGCAUGUGAUGUCUGCGUCAAACUACCGAGCCAUGUGCUACAGUACCUGGGAACACUGGAUAUUACAGAUGCAAGACUUGCUCCUGUUCCAUGGGAUGUCAAUUUCCCACGCUUGCUGCACCUGCACCUGAGUCUUCCUGUCCAGAGAGAUCUCCUGGAUGGGAUAGACAGAAUAAGGUCCCCCAGUUUAAUGAGCAUUGGCAAGCUAAACAACCUGCAGGAGCUUCAUCUUACCAUUUCUUCACUGUCUACUUUCCAGCAUGUGGCGAAAAACAUAGAAGCUCUGGGUUCUUUACUCGGAGGUCAUGGCAACCUGAAAACUAUCGCAGUGGCUCAUGCCUCAUCGGUUAUAAAUACCGCAGCUUCAAAAUCAAACAUUUUAUGGGAUUGCAUGGAACCUCCCCCCCUUCUCCAGAGAUUUGAAUUCUCCCCGCACAGCAGCUGCAUUUUCUCACAGGUACCUCUGUGGGUUGGUAAACUUGGCAACCUAUGCAUUUUGAAGAUUGCAGUGAGGGAACUGAUGAUGAAUUCUGUCGAUAUUCUCAGAGGAUUGCCUGCCCUGACUGCUCUAUCGCUGUAUGUGCAAACGCCGCCUGAUGACAAUAUCAUCUUUGAUACGGCUGGGUUCUCAGUUCUCAAGUACUUCAAGUUUACAUUCAUGCGAGGUAUAGCUUGCGUAAAAUUUGAGGCGGAUGCAAUGCCUAAUCUCUGGAAGCUCAAGCUAGUUUUCAAUAUAAUCCCCCCAAUGGACCAACAACUUAUUCUCUGUUCAAACCAUCCCCAGUGGAAAACAUAUGGACAUGGUACGGCAUUAAUCAGCAUCGAUUAUAUGCCAGGCCUUAGAGAGAUCUUCACAAAAUUUGGGGGUGCAGCUGCUGAUCUGGAGUAUGUCUCGAGGACUGGCGUAAUUAGUAAUCAUCCAAGCAAUCCUAUAAUUGACGUGCAAUUAGCGGAUUCUGGCUCCUAUGCUGAUGAAAGCACCGAGACCGAAAUAACAAGCACAAAUGAGAUUCUAGAAGAAAGACCAGAUGAGAUAAUUAAAUCUGGUUCUAGGAAUACUAGUCCAGGUCGGUGAUUAAGUCUUUGUAUUCAGGUGCUAUAAAUAAAUUGAUAAUCAAUAUGGCGGAGCAGAAAUUGUUGUCCUAGCUUUCGCUUGCAUAAAGGAAAUGGUAAGACCCAUGCAUAGAUCAGUUUGUGGGGGGAAUAUCUUUUCUUGCAAGGCGUAUUGUCGUUAACCCGUCAGCUUCGGCAUUCUUGUAAUUCACAACUGUAUUUCGGGAAGAAAGUUUUUUCUCGAUGUUAUUACAAUACACAUAUUCCGCGUUGUGACUUAAUACACUAACUUAUUCCUGUGUUCAUGCAAGUGCAAAGGAGCAUACAAGAUCUCAGUCUACCGCUAAUUCGGAGAAUGAAGACCUGAACGGCAUUAUCAUCUGCAUGUUAUUAUUCGUCUGAACUGUUAUAUUAUUGAUAACAUAUCUUUCUUAGCUGCUUUUUCCAAAGAAAUGUAGACCUUAUGAACAUCAUCAUUCAACUAUAAGUCUACCAAAAGACAUGCUUCGGCAUGGAUGCUCUCCGUGUCUCCAUCACAGAGCAUGUCCUCUACUGAAACUCCAUCCUAAGAUCCGCUGCGCCUUGGGGGGCGAUGAAAACUCCAUGCUUUUUCCAAGUCUCUGCUUCAUCCUGGUUCAGGAAAAACCGCACCCCUGUCCUCUCAGUCCAUGGUGCUGAUCUUACCUCGCAUACUGACAAGGCGUUGUUAGAGUCGUGUCGAAUAUUGUGUACGAGUUGGGUUACAUAUGGACUUGGUGUUGUAGUGUGGAUAGGAUACAUGUAGUGUCGUAGUCGUACACGUCGUACCCUUGGCCUUUUAUAUAUAAGGAGACACCCCACGUUGUAACCUAUGACGACUAGAUAGCGACAGGAUCGCAAGGAGGAGCCAGCGGCUUGUGCCUGCGCCCGGGUGACCGAUGUUGCGGUAUCUCGGGGAGGAGCGCCCGUAGUCAUUGCCCCGGGGAGUAGGCGAGUUCGCCGAACCUCAUUAACAAAUCUUGAUGUCGUCAUCGUGUUAUAAUUGCUUGUUCCUUGGUGGAUCGACCACGUACCUCGAAUUUAUUCCAAAAAUGGUAUCAUGAGCUAGGUUAUGAGGUUGUUGUUGGAUUGAUCCAGUGGUGGAGAUGUCGUGGAAGAAUCGGGCGUCGGCAAGAUCGGAAAGAAAUUGCUUCAUUUCACGUAUGCGUCGACGAGCACGAGACAUGGCCUGAGGCAGCCCGAGCAACAGAAGGAUGCAUGCACGGGCAGCUGGGCGUGGACUCGAUCUCUUGGUGCAGAAGCAAUCAGACACACCAUGGUAACCGGGUUUUUGUUUGGAAGCAAAAGUGCACAGGACUGAGUCCUGGACAACCUCGUGUUGGACACGGAAACCUGGAGGCGCGCUAUUAUAUAUAUAGGGGCUGCUAUUAUAUAUAUAUAGGGGUUGUUUGGAUUGUGACUAUCUUUGUCAUAUCUUACCACAUUAUUUUUGCCGCACUUGCCACACUUGCCUUACUUGAGCUGCUCAAAUUGUUAGCCACACAUUGGCUUGCCUAAGGGAAUCUUGCCACACUUUUUGUGUCUAUGACAUGUGGGGUUUAGUACUCAUUAAAAAAUGCUUGCCUUAGGUGUGGCUAGAACCAAACACCCACCUAACUUGGUCAAACUUGCCUAAGGUAAGUUGUGGCAAAGUGUGGCAAGGUGUGACUAGGAACCAAACAGCCCCAUAGCCACAAUGUCCGGGCACGAGACGUGACGAGGUAACAGCAGAUCAAUCGGCAAAAGAAAAAAGUCCAUUGAUACACAGUAGUACAUUGGAAAGCAUCAGGUUUUGGCAAAGCAAUUAGCAUCAAGGGUCCAAAUUUGUGCUUACGAGUAGAUCACGUGGAAGGCCAAUUUAUUUUGGUGGAUUGCUACUAGUGCACGAAGGCGAGACCACGUGUGUUUUGCUAGUGUACUUCGGCAUCGCGGGAUAACUUGGGUAUUUUUUCACACAGUCAAACGUACAAAGAACCAAGGCGCCGGUGGGUAACAGGUUUGAGGUGGAGAAGUCCGACGGGACUGGAAGCUUUGGGUUAUGGCAGACAAGGGUGAAAGAUUUGUUGGCACAACAGGGAUGCUUGAAGGCGUUGUUGCAGGAAGCCAAGCCAGUUAAGAUGGAGGCUGAGGACUGGGAGGAGUUACAGUUGAGGACAGCCGGAACUAUACGGUUGUGUCUGUCGGACCAGGUUAUUUAUCAUGUGAUGGAUGAGAAUUCGCCGAAGAAGAUCUGAGAGAAGCUGGAGAGUCAAUUUAUGUCCAAGAUUGCGACGAUCAAGGUGUAUCUGAAGCAAAAGUUGUAUGGUAUGAAAUGCAGGAGGGGUCGGAUCUUGUGGAGUAUAUGAACGCCUUUAAUCAAGUCGUGACGGAUCUAGCACGUUUGGGUGCAACGAUUGACGACGAGGAUAGGGCAAUUCUGCUUCUUUGUUCAUUGCCACCAUCCUAUGACCAUUUGAUCACUACUUUGACGCACGGCAAGGAGACCGUCAAGAAUGAGGAUAUUACUGCGGCCUUGCUAUAUUAUCAUAUGAGAAAGAAGAAUGUGGUGGAAGUCUCUCAUGGUGAAGGUUUGCUAGUCAAGGGUGAAGAGUGGCGGAAGGGAUAUGAGGCACGGAAGAACAAGAAAAAGAAAANAGAAAAUAUAGUGUCACAAGUGUAAGCAGAGGGGGUAUAUUAAAAAGGACUAUCCAGAGCUCAAUGGUGGGUCAAGUGCUAAUAUGGCAAUUCAUGGUGAUGAGUCAGACAACAGUAGUGAUGCCCUUGUAGUAUCAGACAAGCGGUCAAUCAAAAGUGAAGCGGGGAUGUUGGAUUCAGCUUGCACUUUUCAUGCGACUCCCAACAAGGAGUGAUUCUCUUUGUACAAGUAUGGUGAUUUUGGUUUAGCCUAUAUGGGCGAUGACACUGGUUAUCGUGUUGCUGGAGUAGGUGACAUCAAAAUCAAGAUGUUUGACGGAGUUGAGCGGAUGCUUCGGGGAGUCAGGCAUGUUCCGGGGCUAAGGAGAAAUCUAAUUUCGCUUGGAGUUCUUCAUGAUGAUGGUAUGGUAUUCCGUUGUGAUCGGGAUAAGAAUACCAUGGAAAUCAUGGAAGAUGAGGUGACCGUGAUGAUUGGAGAGAGGACGGCUUCGCAUCUUUACAAGCUGCAAGGAACCACUAUUGCAGGUGGAGUCACGGAGACUGGAGUUCCAGGAGUAGCAUCGGGAUCCCACGGAGGCGGCGGGUCUAAGGCAGACUCGUCGGGUAGUUCUCGGUAAGCUACGAAGAAGACAACGCAAGUGCGGAGUACAUGAAAGUUUGACGCAUGGACAAAUUCAAAGUGGAGAAGAAUAUUCGUCAAGGUGGAGUUUGUUAGAGUUGUGUCGAAUAUUGUGUACGAGUUGGAUUACAUAUGGGCUUGGUGUUGUAGUAUGGGUAGGAUACAUGUAGUGUCGUAGUUGGACACGUCGUACCCUUGGCCUCUUAUAUAUGCGGAGGCAUCCCACAUUGUAACCUAUGACGACUAGAUAGUGACAGGAUCGCAAGGAGGGAGCCGGCAGCUUGUGCCGGUGCCCGGGUGAUCGGUGUUGCGGUAUCUCGGGGAGGAGCGCCCGUAGUCAUUGCCCCGGGGAGUAGGCGAGUUCGCCGAACCUCAUUAACAAAUCUCGGUGUCGUCAUCGUGUUGUGAUUGCUUGUUUUUCGAUGGAUCGACCGCGUGCCUCGAAUUUAUUCUAACAGGCGUUCGCGCUCCGGGAGUAUUACAAGUUGCUUCUUGGCACUACCUCGCCGUGGCAUUGGGGUUUCUCUCUUUGACGACCUGUACUCUGACGCGGCUCCUCUCCCGGCUGACCGCUCGUCCUCUUUCACCUCUAGGGAGAUUCACAAUGUUUUUCUGGAUAUGAACAAGCUCUCCAACCCCGAUGGUUUUGGCCUGGCCUUUUUACGUCAAGUUUUGGGGCAUUGUCAUUGAUGACAUUGAGCCAGUUUCCCGCUAUUUCUUCUCUGGAUCUACUGAUCUCACUGGCAUUAACUGUUCCAUUCUUGUGCUUCUCCCUAAACAUGAAUCUGCCAGCAAACCCAUCCGAAUUUCGUCCCAUCUUGGUUCAUAAUUGCACUAUGAAGCUCUUCAAUUAAGCCUUGUGUUCCUACCUCCAACAUAAUAUCCACUCGUUGAUGGACUCUGAUCAAACUGGUUUCCGAUACGUGUACACAUGACUCCGCCGCCUGCAGCCCUGCUUCUUCCGCCACGCUUGCUUCCGCAAAGUCAAGGACCCCAUCUUGCCGCAGCGCUGCUCUUACUUCUCUUUGACGCAACACUGAGUCACUGACUUGAACAAAACAGGUCGCCAUGGCUGCCUCCCACACCGACCGAAACUUCUACUGUAUGCAUGACGAUAUCGACGACCACUGAAUGAAGAUUGAAGCGCCCCUGAAAAACACAGACGUAAAGGGCUGGUUUGAUCUAUUCAUGCAGGCACCAACAAGGCGACCCGACCUGACCCUGUACGACAUACUCAUCACACAUCAGGACAUCAUCCCAAGGCGAGCCCAAGAUCGGUUUGGGAGUGAAUUCACGAGGAAGAGAUUGGGAAAGGAGAUGUAUAUGACAGGUGGAUGCAAAGGCCCGGGGUGACCCUCUUAACAAAAAAUGACAGGUGGGUCCAUGUUGUAAGUUAUUGUAGGAGUCAAUCCCGGCUGGGAUCGCGACUUUCCUAUUACAACAAACAAGAUUUUACUCACACAGGUUUCGGAUUGACUGGGAUCUGCAAAUACAGGGUAUCAAUUUCAGAGAUUUAAAGGUGAGGGUUCAUUUCAGUCGACCUCUACGACGUCAGGGUUUAUUUUAAACUUCACUCGAUGCCUGCCUGGGCGCGUUGUGCCGCCGCCUGAUCAAUCCGUGAUCGCUGCACGUCUAGCCCGCACAUGCCUCUUCUUCCUCUAAAUCAACAAUCCAAGACCUUGAUAAGCCUAGCUCAUGAUAUAACUUGUUAAAAUAAAUCUGGGGCGCUGAGUUGAUCAUUUAAGGACCAAUCAAUCACACAAUCAUGACACCAAGAUUUGUUAAGAAGGUUCGUCGAUAUGGUUACAUCCCCGGGGCCUGACUACGGGUGCUCCUUUCCAUGACACUGUCAUAAUACUGCACCCCAGCCGCCCGGGAGCCGGCUCCCCCUGCGUGCUUGUGCUAUUAUGUUGGCAUAAGUUACAUUGUGUGUCUACCCUCUCAUUACAUAAGAGGCCAAGGGUACAAGUAUCCUAUUAGAACAUAAAUCCGUUUAGUACAACUAUAAGUCUAACUGUAACCUACCUUGUACACAAUAUUCGACACAAUUCUAACAAUCUCUACAUGUCAUACGUCUAUCCUCCUCAACAACAUUUUGGGGGAUUGGAUACUCUGCUGUAAUGGCCUCUGCUCUCGGAAUUGACGAGGAGCUCCGGAAUGGUCCGGACGUAAAGAUUCAUAUAUGGGAAGUUGAUAUUCGGGUUUCGGAAUUGUUUCUGGACUUGUCGGUUUUUGUCGGGAGUGCCGGAAGGGGUUCCACCGGGGAGGUCCACCUGUCCCGGAGGACCCCAUGGGCUAAGAGAGGUGGCGCACCAGCCCCUGGUGGGCUGGGCGCCCAACCUCCCAAGGCCCAAGGCGCCCUAGGGUUUGGGGGAAACCCUAGAGGGGGGCGGCCCACUUGGCUUGAGGGCCAAGUUGCCCCCCUUGGUCGCUGCCCCUCCUUGGAGGAGGCCCUAGGGCCAGCGCACCUCCCCCCUCCACCCUAUAUAUAUAUGGGAUGAGAGGGAGGGCGGCCACACCACAAGCCCUGGUGCGCAGCCCGCCCUCUCUCUGGUGUUUACUGGUAUGUCUCAACCGGUGUACGAUGACGCGAAUAGGAAGAUGAUGGGCAUGAUGCACGACGAAGGAGGAGGCGGGGGCUGUUUUGAGGACGGGCAGCUGGAUGACUCUGAGCCAGAGGUGCACGGCCAGCAAUCAGGCACGUCCACAGAGUCCGACACACACACCCAGCCGGACAUGUACAUCUAGCAGCCGGGCACGUACACCGGCCAGCCGGAGUAGGACAAAGUCGUUCGUCCAUCAAUGGUACAUCAUCCAAGAGGCCAUGAUCUGGGGCAGGCGUUAUUGCUACGUACGCAUUUGAAAUUCAAAUUGACCAGACGUUUAGGGGAUGCCAGAUUCUACAUUCCUGUCGACGGACUGAUCCGGACCUGUCCAUGAAUAAAUAUAGUAGUAUCUGUUUUGGACGGUCAGUCGUUGGAGAUGCCCUAAUAUCUCUGGUGGAAAAUAAAAGAAGAAGUGCAGCAAAAAUAAAAUGAUAAUGAUUUGACCUCGGGAGCCAAAGUUCCAAACAGACCAUGUAUACUCCUAUUCCUACAAGAGAAAAGAAAACAGAGAUCUAUUAAGUAGUACGUAUAAUUUUAGUAGACUAGAGAGAAGAAGAGUAACCUUGCUUUUGCCUUCCUGCUCAGCGUUGCUUCUCCUCCUCCUUGCGAUUGGAUUGGGUGGCGCAUCAAUUGGAUCCAACGGUAACACUAUCCGUUUCGAGUCAAUGGGAAGUCGACCAGCAUCACUUUGUCUCACUGCUAGCUGUAGUAAAACAAUGCACCGCCCCUAGCUUUGCAAACAGGGUUACAGGGAGAUAAGUUUAACAACCGGCAAAGCAGGUUGCCAAGCACGAAUCGACAAGAUGGUGUGUUUCCUCAUGCUUGCUUGCUUGCUUAAUACACUUUUUUUUUAACUAAACCCCAAACGCGCAGUCCUCUAAUUAAGUUCGCCAGUAUCGAUGCAAAUGCAUGCUGGAGCUAGCUAGCCAUUAGGGAAGGGCAACCACUAUCUUGUCUACUCUGCACACUAACUGGGCACCCAUGGAUUUCAUUUAUUUUUCUCCCCACCCAAGGUUGCAUCUGAGGCAUGGCAUGCUAGCCCAGGAUCGAUGCAUGCCAUGCCUUAGGAGUAGCGUUGAAAAUUUUAAGGACCCUACUGUUAAGUGAGACCCAACAAACCCACCGACGCUAUCUGCAGUAGCAGCACGGCCCAAAAUACAGUGCAACUGUUAAGAUUUUAGCAGUAUCGCGUACUGCUAGAACACCACUAUUGCUAUUGGACCCCACUUAGUAGUAGCGAUGCUCCUGACAAGCCCUACUACUACGGCCCAUAGCGGUAGUGCCCUGAGGAAUCUAGCGCUACCGCUAAUCAUGGCUGGUCCCACCUUUCCAUCCACACCCCCCCUUUGCCCUCUCCCCUCCUUUCUCAUAUCCCCUCUCUAAGUUACUUCUCCACCAUUAUUGCCCUUCUUCUCUCUUUCUUCUACCUCUCUUCUCUUCCCAUUAAUGCCCCAUCCAUCAUAAUUCUCCUCCAUAAAUGGCCUCUAGCUCUAUCUUCUAUAUUUAUUUGUCUCUCCUUCCUUCCAUACAUAUAGAUCUAGAUAGAUCAUCUCUCUCCCUCUCCAUUAGUUAGCUAGAGUCAUCUCUCCUCCCAACAACUAGAUCUAGCUAGCUAUUUAUCCAUUCAUUUUCGAUCCCUACAAAAAUUAUACAUACGUUUGAGACGUAUCAAGCAUCCCCAAGUUUAACUCCUGCUCGUCCUCGAGUAGGGAAGUGAUAAAGAAUGAAUUUUUGAUGCUUUCAUGCUGUCUAACAUAGAUGUCCUUUGUAACGCCUCUUAUGUGACGUGAAUGUUCAGAUCCAUUAGAUUCAAAACAAUAGUUUGCUAUUGACGUGGAGAUAAUAAUAAUUCAAGAAAACUAGCAAUGUAAUCAUGAACUUUCAAAAUAACAAGGCCAAAAGAAAGUUAUCCCUACAAAAUCAUAUAGUCUGGCUAUGCUCUAUCAUCAUUGCACAACGAAUUUAAAUCAUGCACAACCCCGGUAUUGGCCAAGUAAUUGUUUUCACAGCUUUAUUUUCUUAAACUUUUUCAACUCUCACGCAAUACAUGAGCGUGAGCCAUGGUUUUAGCACUAUAAGUGGUGUGGAGUGUGGUGGAGGUUGCAAGACAAACACAAGGAGAAGAUGAUCACAUUGACUAGGCAUAUCAAUGAGCUGUGGAGAUGCUCAUCAAUAGAUAUCAACGUGAAUGAGUAGGGAUUGCCAUACAAAUGAUGCACUAGAGCUAAGAGUAUGUGAAAGCUCUUAAAGAAAACUAGUGGGUGUGCAUCCAAUUUGCUUGCUCACGAAGACCUAAGGCAAUUAUGAGGAAGCCUAUCAUUGGAAUAUACAAGCCAAGUUAUAUAAUGAAAAUUUCCCACUAGCUAUAUGGUGGUGACAAAACGAGAGACUCUCAAUCAUGAAGAUCAUGGUGCUUAAUAUGCACAAGUGUGGAAAGGUGGUAGCAUUGUCCCUUCUCUCUUUUUCUCUCAUUUUUUUGGAUGGGCUCUUUGGCCUCUUUUUUUUUGUGGGCAUCUUUGGCCUCUUUUAUUUCCUCACAUGGGACAAUGCUCCAUCAAUGAUGAUCAUCACACUUAAAACUCAAAACUUAGAGCAAUGAUGACUCUAUAUGGAAUGCCUUCGGUAGUGUACCGUGAUAAUGAUCUAGCAUGACAUGGACAUUAAUGGAAACAUCAUGCUAGCUAUCUUACGAUCAUGCAAUGGCAAUGUAGACGUGGUGGCACAUGUCAUGGUGGUAGUGGCAUGGCAAUAUAUUUCGGAAUGACUUUGAAAAAGCCAUAGUAGGUAGGUAUGGUGGCUGUUUUGAGGGAGGCCAACGGUGGGUUUUGUGCACCGGUGAAAGUUGCACGGCACUAAAGAAGAUAGUGAUGGUGGAAGGUGAAAGUGCAUCUAAACCAUGGACUCAACAUUAGUCAUGAAGAACUCAUAUACUUGUUGCAAAAGUUUUAUUAGUAAUCGAAACAAAGCAUUCAACGCAUACUCCUACAGGAAGGGUUGGUAGGUAUAAACCAUCGCACGAUCCCGACCGCCACACGAAGGAUGACAAUCAAUAGACUAAUCAUGCUCAGACUUCAUCACAUAGCGGUUCACCAUACGUGCAUGCUACGGGAAUCACUAACUUCAACACAAGUAUUUCUAGAUCCACAACACCUUACUAGCAUAACUUCAAUAUUACCAUAACCACAACUCAAAACUAGUUAAGAUGAAUCAAACUUCUCUAACUAUUCAAUGCACAUGAAGGUGGAAGUUUUCGUAUCCCUUUGGAUAACUACCCCUUUUGAGACUACUUUCAUAUUAUAGAUCAACUACCAAGCCAUGCACCGUCGUGCUCUAAAAGAUAUAACUGAAGCACAAAGAGCAAAAUCAACUAGCUCAAAAGAUAUAAGUGAAGCACAUGUGAGCUGAAUUGUCUACCAAAGGAUAUAAGUGAAGCUCGACAAAAUCACGGUGAGUGCAUGUCUCUCUCUCUAGGUGUGCAGCAAGGAUGAUUGUGACACAACAAAAAUAAAAUAUUCCUAUGAUACAAGACGCUCCAAGCAAAACACAUAACAUGUAGUGAAUAAAAAUAUAGCCCCAAGUAACGUUAUCGAUGGAUUGAAGACGAAAGAGGGGAUGCCUUCCCGGGGCAUCCCCAAGCUUAGGCUUUUACGGCAUCCUUGAAUCAUCUUGGGGUGCCUUGGGCAUCCCCAAGCUUGAGCCCUUGCCACUCUUUAUCUUUUUGUCCAUAAGAACUUCACCCAAAACUUGAAAACUUCACAAUACGAAACUUAAACAGAAACUCGUGAUAAAAUUAGUAUAAGAAAGCAAACCACCACUUCCUUAGGUACUGUAGCAAACUUAAAUUGUACUUAUGUUGAUGUUGGGUUACUGUAUUUUCAAUCUUCCAUGGCUAAUACCCCCCGAUACUAUCCAUAGUUUCAUCAAACUAAGCAACCAACACAACAAAAACAUAAUCUGUUAACAGCAGACCAGUCUGUAGCUAUCUGUAUACUUAGUAUACUUAUGGUACUCCAAAAAUUCUGAAAAAUUACGACAGUCUGAAGAAUUUGCGUAGAAAUCAGCAGAAAAAAGAAUCAACUCAAAAUCGGGGGGGGGGGGGGGGGGGAAAAAAAUGAAAAUUAUUUUCGUGAGCAGAAAGUUUCUGUCUUUUCCAGCAUGACCAAACGAUCAUCCCCAAGACUAAUCAUAACGGUUUUGCUUGGCACAAACGCAAAAAGAAACACAAAAAACACAAUCAUAACAGAAUUAUGAAAGUGUGGAAAACACAAAACAGAAAGAAAAAUGAUAGAUUCGUUGGGUUGCCUCCCAACAAGCGCUGUUGUUUAACGCCCUUAGCUAGGCAUAAGGUGAUGGAAUCACGUAUAGUCAUCUUUGGUUCUCAAACCAUAAGUAGCCCUCAUCAUAGAUUCAUAAGGGAAUCUUAUUUUCUUUCUAGAAAAAUGCUCCAUGCCUUCUUUAGGAGAAAUUGAAAUCUAAUAUUCCCUUCCUACAUAUCGAUGAUAGCACCAAUAGUCCUUCGGAAAGGUCUAUCAAGAAUAAUGGGACAUGAAGGAUUGCAAUAUAUGUCAAGUACAAUGAAAUCCACGGCUACAUAGUUCUUAUUUGCAACAAUAAGAACAUCAUCGAUCCUUCCCAUAAGUUUCUUGACAGUAGAAUCCGCAAGAUACAAAUUAAGAGAACACUCUUCAAUCUCAUGAAAACCAAGAAUGUCACAUAAAGACUUUCGAAUCGCGGAAACACUAGCACCCAAAUCACACAAAGCAUUGCACUCAUAGUUUUUUAUCUUGAUUUUAAUAAUAGGUUCCCAUUCAUCAUGAAGUUUUAUAGGUAUAGAGACUUCUAGUUCGAGCUUCUCUUGAAGAGAUUUCAUCAUAGCAUCUACGAUAUGGGCGGUAAAGGCUUUGCUUUGGCUAUAAGCAUGUGGAGAGUUUGCAAUGGAUUGCAUCAAAGAAAUGCAUUCAAACAAGGAGCAACUAUCAUAACUGAAUUUCUUGAAAUCCAAAGUGGGAGUUUCAUUACUACCCAAAAUUUUGAUUUCUUCUACUCCACUCUCCACUCCUUUAUCAUCAAGAUAGGUGGACUCCGAAUCAUUGGGGCGUUUUUCAACCAAAGUGGAUUCAUAUCCAGCCCCUUCAUCAAUAGGUUUGACAAGCAAAAAUAAAGAUUCAAGAGGAGUCACACCAAACACUUUAAGAUCUUCGUGAUUUGCAUCACUAGAACGCACCCUUUUAAACCAUUCAUGCCUAGCGCGAAUUUGGGCGGUUCUUUCUUUGCUCUCAUUCAUGGAGACACGCAUAGCUUUCAAAGUUUCAUCCAAGUUGACCAUGGGAGGAGCACAUGUAACUUUCAAAGCAUCAAUAUCACAAGACAUCCUAUCAACGCUCUUAGCCAAAUCGUCAAUUUUGAGUAGUUUUUCCUGUAUGGGCGCAUUGAAAAUAUUUUGAGAGUUGAUGAACUCUUUGAUAUUACUCUCUAAAUCAGAGGGUAAUUUGUUGUGAUUUCCAUAAAUGUUGUUGUAGGAAUUUCCAUAAUGUUUAGAGGAGUUACUAGGAAAAGGCCUAGGAACAUAGUUUCCUCUAAAAGCAUUGUUUUUGUCAAAAUUGUUCCUACCAACAAAAUUAACGUCCAAACUAGCGUUGCUACUCUCAAUCAAGGAAGAUAGUGACAUGUCAUUAGGAUCUAAAGGAGCGUUUCUACUAGCAACCAAAUUCAUCAACUCAUCCAUCUUAGCACUAAGCGAGUUAAUUUCGUCUAUAUCGUGUACCUUUUUGCUAGGAGGUGACCUUUCAGUGUGCCACUGAGAGUAGUUGGUCAUGAUAUUGUCUAGGAGUUUUCUAGCGUUUCCUAACGUGAUUUCCAUGAACGUUCCACCUGAGGCGGAGUCCAAGAUAUUGCGAGAGGUAAAAUUCAAGCCAGCGUAAAAUAAUUGUAUAAUCAUCCACAAACUCAAGCCAUGAGCGGGACAAUUUCUAAUCAUUAACUUCAUCCUCUCCCAAGAUUGUGCAACCUGUUCAUGAUCAAGUUGCUUGAAAUUCAUGAUAUCAUUGCGUAAGGAGAUAAUCUUAGGCGGCAGAAAAUACUUGGAUAUGUAAGCAUCUUUGCACUUAUCCCAAUAAUCGAUACUAUUUUUAGGCAAAGAAGAAAACCAAGUUUUUGCGCGAUCUCGCAACGAGAAAGGAAAAAGCUUCAACUUAAUCACGUCAUUAUCCACAUCUCUUUUCUUUUGCAUAUCGCAAAGCUCAAUGAAGGUAUUGAGAUGAGAUGCGGCAUCUUCACUAGGAAGGCCAGAGAAUUGCUCUUUCAUAACAAGAUUCAGCAAAGCUGCGUUGAUUUCAUACGAUUCUGCACUAGUGGCGGGAGCAAUCGGAGUACUAAUAAAAUCAUUAUUAUUGGUAUUCGAGAAGUCGCAAAAUUUGGUGUUUUCAACCAUGAUUACUUCAACAAACAAACAAGCACACAAGCAAGCAAGAAAACCGGCAAAGGAAAUGGCAAAAAGGCAAAAGAAAAAGGCAAAGGAGAAAGGCAAAGGAGAAAGGCAAAUGAAAACGGCAAAUGUGAAGUGGGGGAGAGGAAAAUGAGAGGCAACUGGAAAAAAAAGUAAAUGCAAGAGAUGAGUUUGUGAGACCUACUUGCAUAGAUCUCUCCUUCCCCGGCAACGGCGCCACAAAUACUUUUGCUACUGCAACAAAAGACCUUCCAACGGUGCCAGAAACAAGCGUGCUGACGGGAGAAUAUUCUUGUCUUGAUACUCCUCAGCAACGGCACCAAGAAUCCUUCUGCUACGGCUACGCCUUUAGGGACUUCCUUGGAAAAUAUGCAAAGGAUUCCCCCUUUGCCUUGGAGCCUUGCGUUGGUGGUCCCUCGAAGCGGAAAGGGUGAUGUAGCACAGCGGCAAUAAGUAUUUCCCUCAGUUUUGAGAACCAAGGUAUCGAUCCAGUGAAGGAAUAUCACAAGUACCUGCACAAACACAAAGAGCUUGCUCCCAACACUAUGAAGGGGUUGUUAAUCCCUUAUAGAUUGUUUGCCAAGUGAGAACUAAAAGCAACAAAAAACAAAGCAAAGUAAAAGCGAAAGUGGAAACGAUAGGUGUGAAUAGACCCGGGGGCCGUAGUGUUCACUAGUGGCUUCUCUCAUGAAAGCAAGUAGACAGUGGGUGAACGAAUUACUGUCGAGCAAUUUAUAGAACCGCGCAAAGUCGUGACGUUAUCUAUGGUAAUGAUUAUAUCUAUAGGCAUCACGUCCAAAACAAGUAGACCGAUACUUUCUGCAUCUACUACUAUUACUGCACACGUCGACCUCUAUCUAGCAUGCAUCUAGUGUAUUAAGUUCAUGAGAACAGAGUAACGCCUUAAGCAAGAUGACAUGAUAUAGAUGGACAAUCUCAUAUCUACGAUAAAAGCCCAUCUUGUUACCCUUGAUGGCAACAACACGAUGUGUGUCUUGCUGCCCCUUCUGUCACUGGAAAAGGUCACCACACGGUAUGAACCCAAAACCAAGCACUUCUCGCAUUGCAAGAAUCAUAGAUCUAAUUGGCCAAAUAAAACCCAAGACUCGGAGAGACUUACAAGGAUAUCAAAUCAUGCAUAAAAGAAAUCAGCACAGACUCAAAUAUAUAUCAUAGAUAAUAUGAUCACAAAUCCACAAUUCAUCAGAUCUCGACAAACACACCGCCAAAGAGGAUUACAUCGGAUAGAUCUCCAUGAAGAUCAUGGAGAACUUUGUAUUGAAGAUCCAAGAGAUAUAAGAAGCCAUCUAGCUACUAACUACGGACCCGUAGGUCUGAAGUGAACUACUCACGAGUCAUUGGAGGGGCGAUGAUGUUGAUGAAGAAGCCCUCCACCUCCAACGUCCCUUCUGACAGGGCACCGGGAAGGGUCUCCAGAUGAGAUCUCGUGGAAACGGAAGCUUGCGGCGGCGGAAAAGUGUUUUCGUGGACGCUCUGAUUUUUCUGGAUUUUUAGGAAAUUUAUAGGCCAAAGACCUAGGGCAGUGGAGCGCCAGGGGGGCCACAAGCUUGGUUGUCGCGGCCUCCCCCCUAGCCGCGGCAACAGGACUUGUGGGCCCCCUGUGGGCCCACUUGCUUGCCACUCAAGCCUCCCGAUCUUCUUCCGUUCUGGAAAAAUUCAUUUCGGGGAUUUUAUUCCGUUUGGACUCCGUUCCAAAAUCAGAUCUGAAAAGAGUCAAAAACACAGAAAAACAGGAACUCACACUUGGCACUGAGUUAAUAAGUUAGUCCCAAAAAAUAUAUAAAAGGUAAACAAAACAUCCAAAGUUGACAAGAUAACAGCGUGAAACCAUCAAAAAUUAUAGAUACGUUUGAGACGUAUCAAGACGCCUCCAACUGCCGCCUUCACCGAGACUCAAAUAGCCGAGGUGUGAAAUAUUAUCAGCCCCAACACACUCAAGAAGGUGGUCUCUGAGCAGAACUCGAUCCCGUUACAGCAGAAGAAGCAGAAGGGACGGAAAAGAAAGAAUAACAAGGGUGCGACCAGCCGGCAGCGAGUACGAUCCGUGCUCAGGACGGGCCACCAAUAUCUAAGGAUAUUGAGACGAGGGUGCAUGUGGCGGGUAGGCCGAUGCUAUCGACUAAUCUGCUCAAUGCUGCAACCAGUGCUAUGCGGAGUCUGCAUGACGGUGUUCUUUAUAUGGAGAAGCGGCGUCUCUCCGAGAAUGAUGUGGCAUACCCGGUUUUCGUGGCCAAGGUGCCAGAGGGCAAGGGCUUUGUCCAUAGCAACAUCGGGCGUAUGAUCGUCCUGCGGUUUGAUGACAUCUUCGCUAUGCUUAACCUUUAUCCGCUGCACUACACCUUCAUUCGGCUAUUUUCACUCAGUAUGGAGACGCGGAUCAUUAGAGACAAGACCCCGGACAUCGUGAUAGUCGGCCCCUUCUACAUGCGUGCCAAGAUCUUGGGUAGCGCUGGGGACCGGCAAGUCAUGAGUUCAUACCUCGAAGGCGUCAUUCUGGCGAACGCAGAUAAGGAUAACUUCCUCGUGCCUUACUUUUCCGAGUAAGUCAUCCCCUCAUCGCCCCGUAACAUAUGAUUUCUUAGAUUUCGAUCUUUCUUUUUCCCUAAAACUCCGUGUUUUGUGCAGUGACACACAUUGCACACUCAUCCACUUAAGCCCGAAAUAUUCCAUGGCCACGUAUUUUGACUCGGACCAUGAGUCGAAGAAAGACUACACAAAUAUCAAGAAAGUUCUUGAUGAUGCUCUCCCCGGCUACUCCAAAUCUGGAGGCACCUUCAGGAGGCCAAUUUGUAGGUACGGCAAGCAUGUGUUCACCCACGUAACGACGUUCCCGUGCGUCAAGCAGCCGCCUGGCAGUCAGAAGGAUGCCUACUACGCCCUCCUUCACAUGCGGGCGAUCGUACGGGACUAGCAUCACCGUAUGCUACCAAAUGAUCUCAAAGAAUGGUCCGCACGCUUGUCGGCAAUCCGGGACCAGGACAUCAGACAAGAAUUCUUUCGCAUCCAGUCGGAGUUUGUGGAAAUCAUCUAUCAAGAUGUCUUUCCUAGAUCGGGGCAGUUCUACCUCAUCUUUCAACCGUCCAACAGUGAAAUAAAUACAACGCUACAAAUACAGGCUGACAACGACCGCACAUUCAUGACCAUCACGAAAGACGGCGGCUUCAUCCACGCUCUGGUCCCUGAGACGAGUCAAAAGUAUUGAUGUUAUGUAGUUCUGAAAUAUUGAUUAGCUCAUGUUGUAAAUUAACUUUAAUGAACUUGUAUGUCUCUUUAGUUUGGACAGUCGUUCAACUUAUAUGUAAUCGAUGCUUAUAUAUUAUCUGUGAAUUGCUACUAACGUUUUGUUUGUCUAGUGCAUCGAGAUGCCGUCGUAUGUUGUGUACAAGGGUGAGGUUACCGGAGUCUACGACGACUGGGAGGACUGUCGGAGACAGGUUCACUAUUUCAGCGGUAACAGUUACAAAGGGUACACCACUAGGGCGGAGGCGGAAGCUAGAUACGCGCGCUAUCUAGCGGCGGAGAGGAGGGAGCGGAGGAGGAAACGGAUGAAGAUCAGUUUCAUCAUGAUGAUGCUCAUCGUGACCGCAACCCUCUUCUAUGUGAUGGUAGUUUAGAUAUCGACUUGUAAUGUGAAGAGAAACUCGCUACUCGCGGUCUCGACACUUGUAAUGUUCUAACUUUAUUCGGUAUUUUGAAUUCGGAGACUAAUAUGAUGAAUUGUAUUCGAAGACUAAUCUUCUAUUGUAUUUGAUAAAUCUGUUGUUUAUAUUCUGUGUGGUAAUGUAUUUUGUAACCUGUGCAAAUAUCAAAAAAGCAAAAAAAAAUAAUGGCCCCAGCGGUAGUACCACUUGAGCUGGCGGUAGUACCGCUAGAGGGUCAGUGAGUGAGGGUACCUUACUAAUGACCCACCACUAGAAGGUGCGCCAUUACUAACUUUCAUUAGUGAAUGGCCCCACUAGUAGUACCGCUUGGGGACCAGCGGUAGUACCGCUGGGCUCGUGCUGAUUUUCAUAGUAGUCGCGCACUAUAUUGCAUUUUAGUGGCGCACUUUCAUAAAUAUACUAGUGGCGCAUCGGACAACAGUGCGCCAUUAGUAACCAAGGAUACUAGUGGCGCACCUGUGGGCAUAGUAAUGGCGCACCAUGUGGUGCGCCAUUAGUAUUUGUUACUAGUGGCGUGAUAAUAGUGGCGCACCUAUGGUGCGCCACUAAUAGCUUUUUUUCUAGUAGUGGUGUUUGCGGUCAAUAAGACCAAAGCUGAGUCCAAAGAAGAGUUGGUCAAGGUAGUCGAUGCAAGGGUCAGUGCAGCGGUAGCUGACGUCACGGCUAACUUCACUUCUUCCAUUACGAGCUUGAUUCCGACAAUUAUCGAAUGGAUGAAGAACAAUCCAUAUAAAAGGCCAACGAACUUUCCCCUUCCCAGAUACGUCGGGAGCAAUUGGGUGAACAUCGCACCACCAGCACCUGCUCACGCCACCACUCAUGGUUCCGUACCUGGUCCCGCUACUGUUCAUAGCAUCCCAUUCUUUGUCUCUGGCGUGCUCGGCGGGGCUUCGUCUUUGGAUGAGCUUGACGCCCUCAUGGUAAUUACGUGCCAUACCCUCUUGACCAGCAUAUCUAUAGCAUUCAGUUCAAUUGUCUUUCGGAUGUUUGACCUCAUAGACAUGUCUUCGCAGGCCGGCGAAACCCCGUGCACCCUACUGUAUGACAUUAAUGGCCAGAAGGUGGAUAUGGGAAAGGCAACGAUCGUGAAGCUGAAGGACCACAUGUUCCAUAACUUACAGAUGCCCCAUAGCAUCUUCAAACUUUGUGUGGCUAGUGUCAAAGCGUGAUUCGAGGAUUUGCCUCCUCCAGUACAAGUCGAUGAUGACGAGACCCCUAAACGGAUUGGCGCAUGCAAGAGCUGGUUCUUGACUUGGCCGAAGACUCUUCUUCGUGUCAAGGCGCCCGGUAACACACCAAUGACAACUCCUCAACAAGGUAUGAACACCACCCCACCUACCCAAUUACAUGCACCUUUCGUGGUGGGUGAUAGCGGACGACGCGAGGGAAAGCCUCCAUUAGUGCCAGAUGGCGUCGCCUCGUCGAAGAAGCAAAUGUUAAUGAUGUCAUGGAGGAGGAGGAUGAUGACCCUAACCAGUAUAUCAAUACCGCCCAUGAUGAUGCUCGGGACUAUGACUCAGGCUAUGAGCGUGGAGAUGACUUGAUGCUGCCUGAUUUGCCGGAGGCGGAACGUCCUAAGGCUGAUUGCAAAAAGUCUCUCUUCAUGCAAUCCUCGCAGGAGACGCCUCCAUAUGUCGCCUCUAACCAACAAGAACAAUGCGAGGGUCGUCCACUGAUUAGGUUGAUGACACUGAGGGUGGUGGUUAGUGAAGGUAUUGUGGGAUCACUACUUCCACCCGUCAAGAAGCAAAGGAGGAGACCAGACAAGAAAGGCUCUAAAAGCGCCAGAGCUGCUUCAAGCAGCCAGCUGCCUCUGAAGGCCCGGGAGGUAGACAAAAUCCCUGUAGUAGGUGUGGAGCGUUUCCAUGUCGCCGGCCACCCAAUCCUACCCGAGAAAACGCUACAAGAUAUAUUGAACAAUGACCUAAGGAGACUUCAUGAUGAUGUGCUGGCCAGAGAGAAAAGCCUUCUCAUCUUGGAAAAACCAGGAUAUCCGCUUUACGUGGCUCAGGUUCCGGGUGGGAGGUUAUACGUCGAGAGGAUGCCCAUGGAUAAGUUCAUCCUGCAAUUUGACUACAUCUACGACAUGUUCCACAUGACCAAGCUUAAUUUUCAGUUCAUCUGCAUGUAUGCACUAUAUCUCAAGUACGUCAUCAAGCAUGAGAACAUAGAAUAUAUCUGCGUCGUGGACCCGAACUAUAUGCACGAGACCUUCUUGGCAGUCUACAAAGAGCAUCAUGACUAUGCAAGCAAGUACAUGGGCGAGUUCAUGAUCGCUAAUAAGGACAAGGAAACGAUUCUCCUUCUUUAUCAUCCCACGUAAGUCAUCCGCGGGUAUCCUUUCGUAAGUUUUAAUCAUUCCUCUGCAAACAUGGAGGCUAACUUGAGGUGUACUUAUUUUGCAUAGCGGGGGGGGGGNNNNNNNNNNNNNGGGGGGGGAGGCGUCCUCAUCUGUCUGUACCCACAAUACUCCCAUGUUGUGUACUUGGACUCAGCGAAGAACAUCAAGAAAAGGGAUUACACUCACAUAAAGAGUGUUCUCGAUAGUGCCAUUUUAACCUUCAGCAUAACUGGUGGAUAUAUCAAGGUGAGAAAGUAUAGGAAUAAAGGGCCGGUUUUCGGCCAUAAGACCUACUUCUGCUGCAUCCAACAACCGAGCGAUAGUAAGGCUGAUGGAUUCUACCUCAUGCAUCACAUGAUCGAGUACCGAAGGUAUAAUCAAUGCCUUCGCAUGUCAGCUACUUCCAGCGAUGCCAAGAUUGUCAACUGGGCCACAAGCAUAGGAAGGACACCGGAUCAUCUAAUCUGAGCUGAGUUUUAUCACGUACAGUGUGAACUUGCCCAAGUGAUCAUGAAGGAGGUCCUCGAAAAAACAGGGAUGUUCUACCAUUGGCCAAUGAGGCGGGAUAAUGUCUACACACUGCUAAUCGCUCAGCGUCUGGACCUGAAGCCUUUCACAAAGCUCAGGUGCUUACUCCCUGGCUAUGAAGAUUGGAGCGCCGACAUGGAGGAUUGACAGACGAUGACAAUAUGUAUGUUUAUUUAGUACUAUUGUCUUUCUAUGAACCAGCAUAGAUCGCUCUAGUUAAUUAGUUUGGGUAUGAGGAACUUUUUUAUUUAUGUUUACUAUACGUUGCUUGUAUUUUACUAACUAUGCCUCUUUGUGUUUUUCAAAUACAUUAUGCUGCAUAUUAUCGUUGAAUUCAUCAACUUAUGAUGCAGGUACAUAGAUCGGAGAUGGCGAAGGACUGCUAGGCCGUAUUCACUUGGAUGGUUCGAGGAGUGUACGAUCACUGGCCAGACGCUCAGGUUCGGGUGGACAGGUACCCGGGCGCUAACCACAAAGGCUCGACAGCAGAGCCAAAGUGGAAAAUAGUUACUUGAGGUGGAUGCUACGGCAAGAGAGGAAGCGAAACCAGUGCCUCAAGAAGUACUACAUAGUCGCGCACUUGCUCAUACUGAUCGUUCCCUUCUUCUAUAUCAUGGUUUAGAUAGAGAUGAUGAAACUUGUGGACCAUGCAACUGCAUUUAUUCGAGACAUGACUUGUGUAUCGCUAUUUUCGAGAUGUGAUGAUAUUUGUGUUGGAUAAUAAUGAUGAUGAUAAUGGUAUGACGAGAUUAUUGUAUGUGUAUGAUGAUGGGCGAAUAAGCCACGACGACGAGUCGGGCACGUCCAGUGCGGGUAUGGGCACGCGCUGGACAUGCUGGGCGCGUCGGGUCCGAGGACCAGGGCAUGCGUGUGUGCGUGCGUUGGGUACAUGGGCGUGUCCGUGCACCAGGGUAGAGUGUGAGUGUGUCUGUUGGCGAGCCGUGCGGCGCGAUCGGAUCGUCUGGUGCUGCUCAGCGCGAGACACGGGCGCACGCGUGUGUGUAGCGGGCGCGGCGAGAGGAUGCAGGACGUGGAGUAGAUCGCGGGCGAGUAGAGGCGUGGGUGCGUGCCCAGUACGCUGGCUCGGGGAUAUAAACCCACGGGAUGAUCGUUGUAACGAAUGACAUGGUCGAGUUCGGGCUCGAGGGAAGGAGAAAGUGUAUGUGCGUUGGAAAAAUCUCUGUGUCCACCACUGUCUGUGAACUUCUCUGAAUCUCCUUCUUCCUCCUCUGGCUGAUCGAGCCACGGCUGUUGGAGAGAGCAAGCGAGGGGUAGACGAGAGCUAGGGCAAGGGAGUGGCGGCUCCAACAAUUGGUAUCAGAGCCUCGGGUGACGGGAGGGCUCGCCGGACAUGGCGUUGGUCCCGUACUCCGGCGGGACGGGGACGACGAUGGCGACAUCGGUCCCGAUGCUGACGGGGGACAACUACACCACCUGGGCCAUCAAGGUGGAGGCGGACCUCGACGCCGCAGGGCUCUGGGAGGCGGUGGCUCCGGCGGAGGACUCGGCGGCGGUGGUGAUCGCCAAGAAAGACAAGCGGGCGAGGGCUUAUCUGCUCCAGACGCUCGCCGACGACCUUCUGCUGCAGGUGGCUGCGAAGAAAACAGCGGCAGAGAUAUGGGCUAGCCUGAAGGCGCGCUUCGUCGGCGCGGACCGUGUGCGCGCGGCACGGCUGGGCACACUGCGCGGGGAGUUCGAGCUCCUGCGCAUGGCGAGCGACGAGUCACUGGAUACGUUCGCGGGGAAGAUCAGUGGCAUGGCGGCGCGCUACGCCGGGCUGGGAGCGACUCUCGACGACGCGGCUAUGGUGAAGAAGCUCCUGGACUGCGUCCCGGAUCGCCUGUACGCGGCAGUCGCCGGGAUGGAGCAGUUUUGUGACAUGCCGACAUUGCUGUUCGAGGACGCGCUCGGACGCCUGAAGGCGUUCGACGAGCGGCUGUGUCGGCGCGGGCAGACGGACGGCGAACAGCUCAUGCUCACCGCGGCACAGUGGCGUGCGCGUGAGCGGCGUCGGGAUGGUGCGCGUGGAGGGGACGACAACGACGGCACGGCAUGCACAACAUCGGGCGGCACGGACAACCGUCGUGGGAAGUGCUACAAGUGCGGCGUGAGGGGACAUUUUAAGAGGGAGUGCCCUCUACUACGGAAGGAGCCGGCCGCGGGGCAUGCACUGAUGAUGGACGCCGACGUCGAGGACGCCGGGCUGCUCUGAGCCGCGGCUUAGGGCGUGAAUGAUGGGCGAAUAAGCCACGGCGACGAGCCGGGCACGUCCAGUGCGGGUAUGGGCGCGCGCUGGACAUGCUGGGCGCGUCGGGUCCGAGGACCAGGGCGUGCGUGUGUGCGCGCGUUGGGUGCAUGGGCGUGUCCGUGCACCAGGGUAGAGUGUGAGUGUGUCUGUUGGCGAGCCGUGCGGCGCGAUCGGAUCGUCUGGUGCUGCUCAGCGCGAGACGCGGGCGCACGCGUGUGUGUAGCGGGCGCGGCGAGAGCAUGCAGGACGUGGAGUAGAUCGCGGGCGAGUAGAGGCGUGGGUGCGUGCCCAAUACGCUUGCUCGGGGAUAUAAACCCACGGGAUGAUCGUUGUAACGAAUGACAUGGUCGAGUUCGGGCUCGAGGGAAGGAGAAAGCGUAUGUGCGUUGGAAAAAUCUCUGUGUCCACCACUGUCUCCGAACUUCUCUGAAUCUCCUUCUUCCUCCUCUGACUGAUCGAGCCACGGCUGUUGGAGAGAGCAAGCGAGGGGUAGGCGAGAGCUAGGGCAAGGGAGUGGCGGCUCCAACAUAUGAUACGACGAGAAUAAUGUAUGUUUAUAGAGCAUGCACAAAUACGUAAAGGAGAAUUAAAUAUUUGAAAGCAGGAAUAUUAGCAGCGGUAGAUGUGUAGUGACAGCGCUGGUUUAGCAGCAGUGCUUGUUGUUUUCCAGCGCUACUGCUAGCCGUCCUUACCAGUAGCGCUACUGAUACUACUUAGUUGUUGCGCUUUAGUAGUGGCGCUGUCACCAGCGCUAUUGGUAUGGGUAAUUCCAACGCUACUACUAAGCUUUCUUCUAAUAGUAAUCCUCCACAAAUCCUGUUGAUUGGACGGCGUGUGAUUUUCAUCUUGUGUUAUGUGGAAACUUGUGAAAAUAUAACUAUAUUGGUAGAUGUGGUGUGAAAGACUUACGAGUUCAUUGGGCUAUUGAACGAAAUGCAAAGUUGAUUCUCACUGCGUGCUAGACUGACAAUUUGAAAUAAACUACAAAUGCAGCGCCAGCUGCUUGGACCGAUGAGGCUGAUAACCGAGAGACAAGGCGUCAAAGGUCCAGAGUUCAUUAGUGCAUCAAACGUAAAUUUUUUUUUCUUUCAAAUUGGCACUGCAAGCAUCCACAGCGAGCCAAACUACUACCUGUACUGCUUGGAUCAAUGAGGUGGAGAAACUGGAGAUAAGUUUGAACAACUUUCGAGAUUGAGGAUGCUUGCAGUGCUUUAGUAAUAGAUUAGUGAACUCUAAGCCGCCCCAGUUCUUUAUGUUUUCCUCACCUCCCAAGGUUGCAUCUGAAUCUUGCUCGUCUACUGGCAGCUUACUGAGGUAUCAAGGGCAAUGGAAAUCAUUAUGCAGUGCACAGUGCUUUCAGUUGAGCCUCCUAACGGGUCUAGGUAGCUUAGCUUAGCUGAACUUCAUCCCUGCCAUGGAUGUUCUCACCCGUGAAAACUCCAUGAUGUGAUCUUGCAACCAAACGCACACCACGCACACCCACACCCACAAACAGGGAUGUUCUUAUUCGUGAAAACUCCAUGAUGUGAUCUUGCAACCAUACGCACACCACUCACACCCACACCCAAACCCACAAACAGGGAUGUUCUCAUUCGUGAAAACUCCAUGAUGUGAUCUUGCAACCAUACGCACACCCACACCCACGCACCCACAAAGUGAGAGAGAAAAAGAGCGAUGGAGGUUGUGGCGACGGUCGCGGCCACCUCAUUCGUGGAGUGGCUGGUGCCGAAGCUCUUUGAUACCUUGGUGGAAAAGCACAAGCUCAGGAAUGAUCUCAAGAUGGACAUCAACUACAUCAAGAACGAGUUUGCUAUGAUUUCGUCCGUCAUCCAGGAUGAUGAUCGCAGCAGCGGCUGCCGUGGCCGCCGUGAAGAUGUGAAUAUGGUGUGGAUCAACAUGGUGCGUGAAUUGGCGCACGCCAUAGAGGACUGCAUCGACCGCUUCAUGCACCGUGUGACGGCCGACCCAGACACUGGGAGACUGUGUCAGGCUGUCCACCGGGCGAAGACGGUAAGGGCCCGAAGCAAGUUUGCUGAGGAGAUCCGGCAGCUCAGGAAGACAUCGGAGGAUAUAUUCAAGCUGAGAGUCACAUACAGCAACACUAGCAGCAGUAGCACCUCCUCACCAAGGCGUUCCUUGUCGUCUGAGCAGACAGACAUGCCGAUGCCGCCGACUGCAAUUGAGGACGACGACGAUGGCAGCCAUUCAGCAGCAUCCACGGCCGUGCCCGUGGGUAUGGAUGGUCCCCGCAACGAGAUUCUGGAUCUUAUCCAGCAGGAGCAGCAGCUGAAAGUGAUUACCAUUGUGGGGUUCCAUGGUAUGGGGAAGACUCUUCUUGCAAAUCAUGUGUACAAGGCAAUCGAGAGCCAACACGAAUACGAAGCAAGGGCUUGGGUCCCUCCAAGGAAACUAGGGGAGAGCUGGGCACCCGCCCAAGUUCUCAAGGACAUACUCUCGCAGCUUGGCCACCUUCCCCUGCCCACCAGUGGUGGUCUCGCCCAGCUUAAGGCAAGCAUCAAACAAUGCAUUGGCACCAAGAGGUAGCUCAUUCAUUCUCUAUUUUUCUCUGCUUGCUUCAUCUACUAUUGAUGUCUAAUUGGUUUAUUAUAUGUUUUAUAUAUUUGGGUACCUAGGUUUUUCAUUGUAAUUGAUGACUUGCGGAAACCAGCAUAUUGGCGCGAUAUGAAAGUGGCCUUUGCCGGGUUAAGCGGCAGAUUUCUGGUGACAACGACCAUUCAGCGCGUGGCAAAUAUCUGCAGCAGCUCAGUUGUUCAUGAUCAUGUGUACACAAUGGCAACUCUUGCCGACCAACACUCAAGACUAUUGUUCUUCAAGGAAGCUUUCCAAGACGACGAUCCACCACCCGAUGCCAAGGAGCUCGGCUCUGCAGUGCUCAAGAAAUGUGAUGGUCUUCCCCUUGCACUUGUCACCACCGCUAGGUUCUUGCAAAGCAUGGGCAGUCCAACACCCAUGAAAUGGGCAAAGUUAUGCGCUGACCUGGGUACACAUCUGGAGAGAGAUGAGCUAUUUGCAAGAAUGAGGCGUGUGCUUGUGCAGAGCUACAUCAGCCUUGAUAGCGAGGUUGACAGGAUAUUCUUGUUAUAUUUGAGUACCUACCCAAGUGGCCGUCCUAUCAGGAGAUCAACCCUCAUAUGGAAGUGGUUAGCCGAGGGGUUUUCACCAGGAAACAUUACAGGCAGCAGUGCCCUCGACGCCGCUGCCAGCUGUUUUGAGAAGCUAGUUGACCGGAGUAUCAUCCAACCUAUUAUUGAUGCCGGUGGUAACAGCACAGAGGUGAAGACAUGCCAUACGCAUGGCAUGAUGCUGGAGUUUGUCAUCCGCAAGUCCAUGUCUGACAACUUUCUUACCUUGUUGUGUGAUCAACCGUCUGCUCCACCCCUACCCAGUAAAAUCCGUCGGCUGUCUCUUCAUCAUGCGGCCAGAGAAGUGAAUGAUUUGUCUCUUGUCCGGUCAUUGACUGUCUCCGGCGAGACGCACCCAUCAAUCCUAGACUUUUCCAAGUAUGAACUCAUGCGGGUUUUGGAUCUGGGAGAGUAUGACCAUCAGUUGGGGGAUACCGAUCUCAAGUUGGUAUGCAGUAGCCUGUUGCUGCUGAGGUACCUAAGCCUCGGAGCCGCUGUCACGGCGCUUCCAAAAAAUAUCAAGAAGCUUAAGUUCUUGGAGACGCUCGAUGUAACAAGGACAAAGAUAGAGAUUCUGCCAACACAAGUCAUGGAGCUGCCACGUUUACUUCGUCUGUUUGGGAAGUUCAAGCUCAAACAAGAUGUAGGAGCCCGCAGAAUGAGUAAGCUACAGGCUUGGUUGUCAGCCAACAGCAAAUUGGAAACAGUAGCAGGAUUUGUCGUGGACAGCAACAAGAGCCAAGGAUUUGCACAGCUCAUGGAUCAUAUGAAGCAUUUGACAAAGGUGAAAAUAUGGUAUGAGUCUCACGCCGAUGCCAGCAGCACAAGUACUCUUUCGAAGGCCAUCAAAGGGUUCAUCGAGGAAGGCACCAAUUUCACAACUUCACAUGCACUCUCACUCAUUCUCAGUGGUGAAGGGUCUCAAGACUUGCUGAAUUUCACCCUGGAAAAUGACAAGUCCUACUAUCUUAGCUCACUCAAGCUACAAGGGGACAGCAUAUUCAGCCUCCCUCCCUUUGUUACCAUGUUGGCUGGUCUCAAUAAACUGUGCCUUUCAUUCCCUCAUCAACUGAGCAGUGACAUUAUUGCUG